UUUACUUGCCUAGUCUCUUUACAAAAAAAUUUUCCUGUGAGCCUUUUUGAAAAAUAUUUCCAAUUUAGCCUUAUUUUUAUAUUUUAGAAAAAAAUAAUAAGUUAAUAAUAAUUUUUAUGUAAAUUAAUAUGUUUUUUUCUUUUCUUUAAAAUUAAGUGAAUGUAAUAUGAUUUUAUAUAUGAACACUUUUAAAUUAUAUUGACUUGUAUAAUAAAAUUAAGUACUAAUAGUACUAAUAAAAAAUUAUAAUUUAGAAAUAUUAUUAUUAAUAAAUAAAUUUUUUAUUAACUGUUUAUAUAAAAAAUUACAUUACAUUUACUUAAUUUUAAAGAAAAAAAAAAAUAAUCUCCACCUACUUAACAUAUUAAUCAAUGUAAAAAUUAUUAAUUUAUUAUUUUUUUUCUAAUCUAUAAAAGUAAGAUUAGAUUGAGAAUAUUUUUCAAAAGAAGAGAUUAGAUUGAGAAAAUUAUAUAUUUUUUUAAAGAGGCUAGACAAGUCAAUGAGUCUGCAGCGCACGGCUAUUAAAGUGCUUUCCCGAGAAGCCGCGAACAAAUAAUCUAAAACAAAAAAAAAAGAAAAAAAGAAAAAAAAGAUCAGGCGAUGGGCGUGGAGAAGCGGAUUCUGAAGGCCGGCGAGGGCCCCGAAAUCGUGAAGGGCCAACUCGUCACCGUCCACUGCACCGGCUUCGGUUUGCUCACAUUUUCUUCUUAUUUAUUCCCCUUUUUUUUGUCUAUCUAAUAAUAAUUUGUGCUAUUUUGUAAAAAGAAUAUUUGUGGCGUAGCACGAAUCAUCGUUAGCACACAAGAUAAAAGGGAUUAAUGGUUUUUGUUAAAGUUUUUCUCUAGGGUUUGUAAUAUAGGCAAGGAUUUAAGUGCCAAUCUAUGGCACGAUACAGCCUCCGUGGUGACGUUACAGUUUAAAACUUUUUAUUUUUUAAAUUAGUAAAGUUAAAAUGAUUUAAUAAAGAUACAUAAUAAGUAAUUGAGAUAUUUUGUUGCUAAAAAAAAUAAAUAUUUUAUAUCAUUAUUAUGCGUUGGUAUAUUUUUUUUAUGUUUUGUUACCGUACUGGUAAAUUUUCGGCACGACCUCAUUGCCACGGGACUUAAAUCCUUGAAUAUAGGUUUGGUUUUAAUUGAAACCCUAGGCUUAUACAUUGGAAAUAAUUUGUAGAGGGAAUCAACAAAUACCUAGGAAAGCUAUAUAGUGCACAAUCUUUGUUGUUUUUUUCUUUUUAAAGCGUAAAUCCAGUUACUUCUGAUUAAUGGUUAAAAUUUUCAUGUUUUAAUUUGUAUUGGUUUUGUAUUUCUAGAGAGUUCGUGCUAUCAGUGGAUGUAUUUUUGCUGCUGUUUUCAAGUCUUCAUCUGAAGCCAAUAUUUGUAAAUUGCGUGCGAAAUUCAAUUUUGCUAACGCGAUUGUGAUUUUCAGCAGGAAAGAAGGGUUCUUGCCGAAAAAGGUUUUGGAGGUAAAUGUUCUUCUCCGCACGAAAAAAAAAAAGAGAAAAAAAAAAUGUGCUAAGACACUUUGAACUAAAAGUACUUUUGCAAACAGACGCCUGAACUUAAGACACUUUGACACUUUGAACUUAGUAAAAUGUACUAAGACAUACUUUGAAGUUACUAUUAAACAGCUGUUUUCGUCGCAUCUCUUGCACAUAAUUUUGUGUGAUUUCAAGACACAUAGAAAUCUAUUUUUUCGUUUUAUAGUCACGAUAAUUAAACAUCGGGGUUGAAGAACAAAGUGAAUAUAUCGUCUUCAUGUGUCAGAAUACAAACAAAUAUAUUUCUCUGUCUUUUUGAAGCUUUACAAGAUUGCGGAAUACAAAGCAAUCAUAACCGUUGUAGUAGUAACUGCGAUUGAGGAGAGGGCCUAUUGAGCUAUUUGAUAAAGUUUAGGGGGAUCCAAUUGUCAUAACUUAAAAGUUCAAGCACCUGUUUGCAAAAGCGGUAAUGUUCAGGGGGCAUUUGUAAAUUUUUCUCAAAAGAAAAUCGAUCGAGUGCACGAAUAUGACAUUAGUUCCCUCAAUUUCACUUUUCAGCACUAGAGAUGCCGGGCAGCAGCCGUUCAGGUUUAGAGUCGGUUUUGGUUCAGUAAUAAAAGGUAGUCUCUUCACACAGUUUGAAUAUUGAGGAUUGAUUUUCUUGCGACUUUGCAUGGUGAACCAUCCAUGUCUUUUCAAAUUUGCAAGGUACUUUUUUUAGGAAAUUUGUCAGCGUUCAAAUUCUUAAGACUUCUUCGUAUGUUAGCUAAUAUGUUCUCCACGAGGUUUUUUCUUGUUUUGCUUUGUCUUUUAUUUUUUUACAUGCUGCACCACUUAUAAAUUGUCGUAUUAUAAUAAUGAGACGUAAAUGUUCUCUAAAGUUGCCUUUUGUUUUCAAUUAGUAGAAUGUAACUGCAAAAUCCAGCCGCCACAUUACCAAACGCCUUAAGCAUUCUGUGAUUUUUUUAAUCUGAAUCUGAAUUUUUGUUUCUUAUACAAGGUUAGCUCUUCAAAUUGAUCUUUAAUUAGGUCUUCGAUGAUCAGAUUGUAAAAUUGAAAAAUAAUUGCUUCCGAGUGAUGAAAGCAAGUCGGAGUUUUAGAGUGAGCUAGUAGUAUAGCAAGGACAAAAGAUGAUAACAGUGACAAUCGUCCCUUGAGCAAGUGGUAAAGGGCUUGAUGGUUGGUAUCCAAGAUUCCAAGUUCGAAGUCUAAUUGCUUCAUAUUUCAAGCUAAGUUCAUUUCUAGAGAAAAUGAACGAAGCGGGUAGAAUGCAACCUUUCUCUCAAAAAAUAGAUGAAAACAGUGUAUUGCGCAACUUAGGUCCAAUGCCUAAGCAUCUACUGCCUAUACAUGAUCUAACCAGAAUUGCUAUUCCAAGUGAUAUUUUGCCUACAUAUCAGAUUUUUCAUUAGCUACAGAUCUAACUUAUUAUGGUAGUAUUUACAAUAUUCUUUUGACAGACUUCAAAAUGUCAGUUGUGCUUCCCUUGGUGUCUUUAUAUUCUUGGGUGUUUGUUUAUCUUCUCUGUUGACAAGCAGAUGAAACUAACUAUUCUUUGAAAUACUAUAUGAUGUUUAGAUAGCUGCUAUUUUCGAUGUAUAUAAUGAUGUCAACAGCUCUUAACAUUUCUAGAUAAGGUAAGCUUGAACUUUGUAGUAGAUUAAUGUCAUCCAGCUCUUAAGAUUUAGGUAUUUAACAGAAGAUUGUGUUCUGUAUCCUUUAAAAGAUUCGUAGGCAAGAACGUCAACUAAACUGAUACCUUCUCUCUGUAGGAUGGGACGAGGGAGUGAUUGGCAUGCAGUUGGGGGAAAUUGCAUUUCUUCAGGUAGCGUUCUCAAAUACUGAAAAAGCUCUUCCAUUUUUGUGCCGCUUUGCAUAGACUUGCUAACAGUGUCAAUCCAUCAUCGACCUUUUUGCAUUUCGCAAGUGAGCCUGUUUGAUGAACAUAAUUUGCGAAACACACGUCAGUUUUCUGUCUAUCUUAGUGCUUGUUACUCUUCUUAAUUUGUGCAAUGGAACUGCUCCAUGUUUUACUCCUGUGACUCCGUUUGGCCUUGUUUAUUUCCAAUUGUCUAGUUGAUUUUAAAUCGAGUAUUGACCUAUUAUUCUGAUUUCACAGUGCACUCCAGAUUACGGUUACGGAGCUAAUGGAUUUCCAUUCUGGGGGAUUCCACCCAACUCUGAUCUGGCAUUCGAGGUUGAAGUCCUUCGAAUUCUUAAUGUUCAUUCUUGAAGUAGUAUGCAAUUUGAUAGGUGGACCUUAAGUUAAUAGGUACAUGACAAACAAUAGUUUUGGCUAGAAUGUUAGAUGACCUUGGCCAUCUUAUUUUACCAUAUCAUCUUUUUCUUUUCCUUUUAUUCUGACAUAAUAUGUGAACAGAUGAGCAAAAUUUUAUGCAUUGCAUUUUGCUGCUUUUCUACGGUUAGCUAUUUCCUACUUUUCCUCUUGAAAAUUCAAGAGUUCACAGGUUUUUGCUGAACUAAAUUGCUGCUAAGAUUCAGGUAAAGCUGAAGCAAAUAAAUGAUGUGAUGUGAAUGCUUGUUUUGUAACUUUGCUCUGUAAACUCCAGAAAUGCAUCUGAAUUGGACAAAUAAUAAGUCAAUAUUAAAUAAUUUUAUAAUGUUUGGAACUGUAAAUCUUAGUGAGUUUCUUUUUCUUUUUUUUUUGUAUAAUAGUAUAAACACACAAUUCCAAUCAUCCUCAUAAUCUCAGGUUCUUUUUAGAUUUAGUUUUAAGUGGUACCAGUUAUUCAUUGAUGAAUGCGAUUCCUUUUUGAACUUAAAAUUGUGUCAAAGUGAUCUGCUUAAAUCGAGGUCCGCCUUGCUGGAUUAAGUAGAUCCCACUCCUUCAUCAGCUGCUUAAAAAAGAACGGUAUUUUUAUAUUUGUUUUAUAUUUAACAUUCUUCCUCACGCGUGCGUUCGAAAUUUUUUGAUAGACUCAAAACCCAAAAUGUGAAUUUAAUUAAACAUGAAAAAGUUAAAUAAUAGUAGAAAUCUGGCGGGACUGUUCUGAUACCAUAUUACAUGAUAUCAAACAAUCUUUUUUGAUUUUCUAACUUUAGCCGAGUGUUGGUUUAUUCCGGCCCCAUAGCGCUUGAGAUGUUUUAUUUUGAUAUCAUGUUAAAUUAUUUAGAAUAAUAGCUGGUAUUCAGAAACUUAAACAACUAAAGAAUAAUAAUUUUAUAUUCAACUGAUAUCCCCUGUUAAGAUCAAAAUCUCCUAAUACUUCUGGAAGAAAGGGUAUUGGUCACAAAUUUAGAACUAGUCAACUGGUUGGAUUUGGACUUGACCAACUUUAUACUAAUUGCUUGGCUGGGUAUGAAUCAAUUCCUACCAAAACCUAUUUCAUUUCUAUUCCUUUCCACUUAGAAGAUUUUUUUUUUUUUUUUUUUUUUUCGUUCCACCAAUUCUCGAAAGUUCAGAAUUCGAAAUUGAUAGAAAAGUAAGAAUAUGGGCCCAUGUGUGUAGGCAGGUCGACUCAUCAAGUUUCUAUUGAAAUAGAAUCUACACAAAUUUAUUUCGAAAAUUCAUUUUUCAAUAUCUUUCCUAUAAUAUGACACUUGGAUUGAAAAGAUGUAAAAUAUCCGACCGUCCUUAAAGCAAGUGGCAAAGGGCUUGGUGGUUGGUACCCGAGACCCAAGUUCGAAUCCUAGUUGAUUCACAUUUCUAGCUAAGUUUAUUUCUAAAUGAAAUAAACGAAGCAGGUAGCGUGCUACCUAUCUCUCAAAAAAAAAAAAAAGAAAAAGAAAAAAGAAAAGAUGUAAAAUACUUGCUCAUUUUAAUGUUACUGGAUGGUGAAAAUAAUUUAUUUAGCAAAAUUCCUCAGCAUUGGUAUUGUAACAGAGCUGCUUCCACUACUACAUCAAAUUUCCUAACACCUAUUCAAUUUUAACAGUUGUAUGAUAUUAAUUUGAACAUUUUAAUUAAAAAAAAUACACAAAAAAUCUCUAUUUUUUUGAGAAUUUCUUUUUAAAAAAAUUACUGAAACUUUAAAUACCUCCCGUGGUUUCGCACUUUCUCACUUUAGUACCCUGUGGUUUCAAGUGUAUCCGGUUAGUAUUCUAUAGUUUUGCACUUUCUCACUUUAGUAUCCUAUGGUUUCAAGUGUAUCCGGUUAGUACUCUAUGGUUUUGCACUUUCUCACUUUAGUACUCUGUGGUUUCAAGUGUAUCAAGUUAGUAUUUUGUGGUUUCGCAUUUUCUCACUUUAGUACCUUGUGGUUUAAUAUUUCGUUAAAUUAUAUACCCCGAAGUGGAUAAUAAAAAGAGAAAAUUGAAAUCACAGAGUACUAACUUGAUACAAAAAUAAAACCAUAGGGUACUAACUUGAUAUACUUGAAACCAUAGAAUACUAAAGUAAAAAAGUACGAAAAUAUAAGAUACUAACUUGAUAUAUUUUAAAUCAUAUAGUACUAAAAUGAGAACGUGCGAAAUUAUAGGAAGGUAUUUGAAGUUUUCCCAAAAAAAUUUAGAAAAUUCUGCGCCACCGUGUAUUGUGGAGUCUCACAAAUUCUAGAUGGCUUGUGCGCGGCGUGGACUCGCGGGAUGGUGGAGCCCACACGGAACACCCCCCCUCGGCGACGCGGCGUAUUAUAGCGAUGUGCGCCGGUGGUGAUGCUGAGCCCAGGAGGUUCCUUUUAUGGGCUUUUUCGCGCGCGCGGGCGCGCUUUUCGACAACGGAGCCACGUGGCGAACGGGUGGAAGGACCAUUGACGCGUGCGGGGCCCACAUAAGUGAGCGUCCUGUGAUCCGGCACGCUUUUGCGUCGCUCUCCCCGCUGAUUUGUUGAUCCUAUGAUUCGCAGAACCGAAUGGACGGCCCUUGUUGAUUCGGGCGAUGCUCCACCGUCUCCCCACGUGUGCCACGUGGAGAUCACCCGGCGUUUAAAUAUCUCUACACAAAAUUAAAUAUUGUAACGAAACUUCUGGGCCCCCACCCCGUAGCCCGUGUAACAUCGACACGUCAUCUGUAGCGGGGCCCACAAGGGUCAAUCCCUAGUGGGCGGGGAUUCGAACAGAUUCCGUGGGGGUACAGAGCCACCCACAUCUUGUGGACUUGGGGUCCGGCCGCGGCGCAUCGUCAGCCGUCCGAUCAUCCGAAUAAACCAACUCUCAAGAUCCGACGCUCCAAAAGCACCGGACCCAGUUAUUCGAAACCCUAAUUAGGGUUCAUGGAAUAAUCGCUAGGGCAUCCGAAGAGCCGCGUCGUGGCUAAGCAAGUAGGGGAGGUCCUCAAAAUGAAAAAGCAAAAAGUACGAAUAAUAUAAAUUGAGUAUUAAAUAAUUAAAUACUACCUUCACCAGGAAAAACCCUCCCUUGGUGUUCCGACUCCAUUUCGACUCCCCUUCCUAUUAGGAUCGAUGGACCUAUAAAUACGGUUCUCUCUCCCUCCUCUCGAACUCGUCUUCAACAAAGAGGAAAACCCUAGCUUAUGUCUCAGCGAGCAAGCGUCCCACACUCCGCCUCUAUAGCCUUCGCUCGCCAUUCCCAUCUCCUGGUCUCCAGUGAGAUGAACCCUAACUCCAACUGGUAGCGGCAAAGAAGUUUCAUUGCUUUGAUCUAAGAUUUCUCUCGAUCCUCUUCGAGAGUUCGAGAUCUCCGGUCCCUUUCUUUUGAUCACAGCAAGAAGAAUAUUUUUAUAAGAAAAAAAAAGUGAGAUGGGUUUGAAGGGUUUCGUCGAGGGGGGCAUCGCCUCGAUCGUGGCGGGGUGCUCGACCCACCCGCUCGAUCUCAUCAAGGUGCGGAUGCAGCUCCAGGGGGAGACGCUCUCCCCGGCCGUGACCGCCGCGCAACUCCGCCCCGCCCUCGCCUUCCCGAGCGGCGGCGCCGUGGCGCUCCCCCACCACCACCACCACCACCACCUCCUCCCGCCGCCGCCGCGGAAGCCGGGGCCGAUCGCGGUGGGGGCGCAGAUCCUACGGUCGGAGGGCCCCGCCGCCCUCUUCUCCGGGGUCUCGGCCACGGUGCUCCGCCAGACGCUGUACUCGACGACCCGGAUGGGGCUCUACGACGUGCUGAAGAAGAAGUGGUCCCCCGGGGGCGACGGCGCCGCGCUCCCGCUCCACCGCAAGAUCGCGGCUGGGCUGGUGGCGGGCGCCGUGGGCGCGGCGGUGGGCAACCCCGCGGACGUGGCCAUGGUCCGGAUGCAGGCCGACGGGCGCCUCCCCGCCGCGGAGCGCCGCAACUACCGCGGCGUCGGCGACGCGAUCGCGCGCAUGGCGCGCUCCGAGGGCGUGGCGAGCCUGUGGCGCGGGUCGGCGCUGACGGUGAACCGCGCGAUGAUCGUGACCGCGUCGCAGCUCGCGACCUACGACCAGGCCAAGGAGGCGAUCCUCGCGCGCCGCGGCCCCGGCGCCGACGGGCUGGGGACGCACGUGGCGGCGAGCUUCGCGGCGGGGCUGGUUGCGGCGGCGGCGUCGAACCCGGUGGACGUGGUGAAGACGCGGGUGAUGAACAUGCGGGUCGAGAAGGGCGCCGCCCCGCCCUACGCCGGCGCCCUCGACUGCGCCCUCAAGACCGUGCGCGCCGAGGGCGUCACCGCCCUCUACAAGGGCUUCAUCCCCACCGUCUCGCGCCAGGGCCCCUUCACUGUCGUCCUCUUCGUCACCCUCGAGCAGGUCCGCAACCUCCUCAAGGACUUCUAAUGGCGAUGAUGAUGAUCCGAUUCGAUCAGAUCGAAUGUUUUCUUCUCAUUCUUCUUUACCCAUGAUGAUGACGACGAUAAAAUAAACUUUUAAUGAAAAAAAUAUAUUUUAUAUAUUUAAUUGGUAUUAUUAUUCUUAUUAUUAUUGGUUUGGUUUAGUGUUGUUGUUACUAUUAUUGCUUUAGUAAGAGGUUUCCCGUGAUCUUGGGCCUCUUAAGGCUGCGUUUGGUUCGGGUAUAAGUAAGAACUGCUAGUUCUAGGGAUAGGUACAAGUUCAGGUAUAAGCAGGAACUAGACCAAUUUUGCGUUUGGAUGAAAAUUGGGUUGUUCCUAGGAAUAAGGUAAAUAGUGUUUGGAUGGUUAGAUUGGAACAAGAGGAAUAAGAGUUAUAAUUUGAAAUUAAAAUUAUAUUAUGUAAUUAAUAGUAAUAAAAAUAUUACUUAAAAAUAAAUAAGAAAUUAAUUAUUAAUAAUUAAUUAUUAAUAAUUAAUUAUUAAUAAUUAAUUAUAAAUAAUAAUUAUUAUUAUUAAUUAAUUAUAAAUAAUAAAUUAAUAAUAUGGAUUAUCUAAUUAAUUAUUAUUAUUAUUAUUAUUAUUAUUAUUAAUUAUUAAUAAAUAAUAAUAAUUAUUAAUUAUUCUUAUUAAUUAAUUAUAAAUAAUAAAUUAAUAAUAAUAAUUAUCUAAUUAUUAAUAUUUAAUUAUAAAUAAUAAAUUAUUUAAAUUAUUUAAUUAUUAAAGUAAUAAAUAAUAAUUUAAAUAUAUUAAUUAGAUUAAUUAAUAAUUUACUGCCAUUAAAAUUAAAUUUAGAUUUUAAUUAAUCUUGUUCUCAUCAAGGAACAAGCUUGUUCCAGGAAACGGGUGGAACAGCAGUUCCAGCCUUAUACCAGCUAGUUCCAGAUUCCCGGGAACUACUGUUCCCGGGAACCAAAAUUGCGUUUGGGAACAAAGGGGGGAACAAGGGCUUAUUCCCCCCCUUGUUCCCGAACCAAACACUACCUUAAAGUUUAAAGGCGAAGGACAGUCGUGGCUUAGCUGUUAUGCUUUUUCGUUGUUUGUUUAAUUGUAUCAGUUCUCAAGAAGCCAAAAAAAAUAUGAACCUGCUGGAUUUUGUAUUAAAUUUCAAAUUGUCAUUUGAAAAAUUACUAUUAAUUGUUAUUAUGUAUGCUGUACGUUUGAUUAAUUGAAUUGUGGCCAGUUUGUGGAGCACGUUAGAAUUUAACGACUCUUUUACGCUUUUUCUAGAAAGUUUUAACUUUCAAAUAGUAUUGUCCAAAUCAUGUUUUUUUUUUUUUUAUUGUUAUUAUUAGGAAGUGUGAAAAGGUGACUUGAAUGGUAUUGUAAGCAUUACAUCAUAGAUGCGCGUGUGGCACUGAGAUUCUCUCCUUUGCAUGUUUUGGACUAAUUGACAAAAUUUAUAGGAAUAAUUUCAUAGAUGCCCUUUUAGAAACUAUGAAUUUCAUCAAUACCUUUCUAAAAAUGAUAAUAUUAUGAAUGCCCUUCGAUAUAUCAACACUAGAAAUACUAAUAGAUAUUUUAAGAUAAUUUUUAUAAACCUAAAUUUGAAUUAUUAAAUUAAAUUAUCAAUAUAUAUUAAUUAUUAAAAAAUAUAUAAAAAAUGUAUUUUAUAUAUAGUGUGUUUUUAUAUGAUUUUGGUUUUAUUUCCGGCUUCGGAUUUCAAUUCAGGUUUUGUUUGAAUAUAGACCAACUGAGUUUGAAUAAAGAACUAUCUCUAUAAAAAAAAAUAAAGCAAAUGUAUGUUAAAUUUGAAAAUCAAAUGUAUGUUAAAUUUGAAAAUGAAAUCGUAUCUUAUAUUUUGAUCAGAAAGAACUAACUCUAAUUUGAGUUUGUAACAGAUUAUUUCCACCGCGAAAAAAUAAUUCGCAACAGAUUAUUGCGUAUUUCGCAAUCAAUAAUUUUAAAUAAUUAAUUAAACCAAUAAUUUCAAAUAAUUCGUAACCAAAUAUCCAUAUUUGAGUUUGACACGUGGCAAGCAUAUAGAAAGCCACGUGUCAGCUUCUCACAUAGGGUUCAUUACACGUGGCAAGCAUAUAGAAAUAUCCAUAUUUGAGUUUGACACGUGGCAAGCAUAUAGAAAGCCACGUGUCAGCUUCUCACAUAGAGUUCAUUAAGGGUUCUACUUUUAUAUAUAGUAAUAGAUUUGACACGUGGCAAGCAUAUAGAAAGCCACGUGUCAACUUCUCACAUAGGGUUCAUUAAGGGUUCUAGUUUUAUAUAUAGUAAUAGAUAAUAGAUUUAAUUUUUUUCCUAUUUAAUUAAAAAUAUAUCAAAUAACUAUAUGCAUGCAUUUUUUGGUCGAUUGAAAAAAAGAGAGUUUUGUUCGUCAGCUAAAAUAUAUUAUAUUUUAGUUUUUUAAUGUAUUUAAUGCAGAUAAAAUUAUUGAGAAUAAUUUUGGUUUAAAAAAAACUUGAUAAAUUUCUCAUUUUUCAGACACUAAAAUUAGUUAAUUUUUUAGAAAACUAAAAGUUAAUGAGUUGUCAACUAAAAGAAUAAAAAUUAAGGGAGUAGUUUCAAAACGUCAUAGUUGAGGGGGUCUCCAUACAUUUUUUACUUAAGGGAUAGUUAAGGGCAAAUAGGUCAUUUUAAAAGUUAACCCAUCUUUAACUCUUUAAUAACUAUAGUAAAGCUAACACAACUAACAAUAGGGGUAUGGAUGAUAAUUUUUUAUGUUUGCGAGGGCAUAUAUGAUAUUUUAAACUUUAUAGGGGCAUAUACGAUAUUUUAGACUUUGGGAGGGGUAUUUAUGAAAUUGCCCCAAAUUUAUAUACAUUUAUUGUGUAUAUCUUUUGUCAUUGAACUUAUCACAAAGUCUGCUUGAAUACGUUGUUGCCACAUUCUGUAGAAAUCGAAUUUGUGAUCUCUGACUCUGAUGCUAUUUGUCUGAUCAUUGACGCUAAUUAUUAAUCUCUAAAGCUCAAGUUAUUAGAAAGAUGUAAUCAAUUCAUUCAAAAUAUAUAGACACAAUUCUCACGUGUCUUGAUUGUGAUUCAGCCGAAUCAGCCUUAUGUCACUUCGAAGAUGAUCCGAUACUAUCCAAUUUCAUGUCAUUUUGAGUAUAACUUAAUCCAAUCUGAUCUCGCGUUAUAAGAUAGGAUGCUGAUCCAUUUAAACCAAUAAAAUUGUGAUAUUCUUCUUAUUUCUCUAAUAAUAAAAAGGAAACAAUGACCGACUUAUCUAGAGCAACUCACUCAUCAACUUUGCAUUAUCGUGAAUUAAUUGUUGCGUUAUCUGACCGACCGUCCAGUUGAUGCAUUAUCGUGAAUUAAUUGUUGCGUUAUCUCACCGACCGUCCCUAGAGCAAGUGGCAAAGGAGCUUGAUGGUUGGUACCCGAGACCCAAGUUCGAAUCCUAGUUGAUUCACAUUUCCAGCUAAGUUUAUUUCUAAAUGAAAUAAACGAAGCGGGUAGCGUGCUACCUAUCUCUUUAAAAAAAAAAAAAAAAAAAAAACUGUUGCGUUAUCUCUUGAAAACAAACAAGAGCAUGUGAGCCAGUUUCAUGCACCUCUCUUCGUAAAUUACUACCCAAUUUAUUAAUGUAUUAAAUUGAAGAUUGAUGAUCAAAAUUAAAUCUACUGAUGAGUUUAGUGGCGAAUGAUGCAAUUUGUUUGUUGAAUGCGUUUAGCAAUGUAAUUUACCAGAAUAAAAGGACAGUUAUUCUAAAGCUAAAGUAAACACAAAACCACAAAAAUAAGACCCAUUUGCUUCAGCCGUUUGAUUCUUGGGUAUCUACUUGUAUUAUACUACGAGAAGCAUCUGGAGAAGUUGAUUUGUCGCAGCUCCAGUACCAAAGAUCUCCACCAUAUUCACAAAUGUGAGUUCUGAGGAAAGAAGCAUCUUAUGCUUAGUCCAAAAACGAAAUAUCUCAUUUUUGCACUUCUGGUUAAAAAAAAAAAAACUAGAUUUUUUUAAAAAUCUUUUAAGAUUCCAGGAAACACUAUUAUUUUUAUUUUCUGAUUCUUUUUUUCUGAAAGUGUAAAUAUUAUUUUUUUACAAAAUUUAAUUUUAUUUAUAAAGCUAAUUUAUUUUGGAAACAAGUGGAAAACUGAAAAGUAAAAUCAUAAAAAAUCAUUUUUUAGAAAAAUAUUUUUGUACUUUUUCUAAAACCAAAAAGUCUAUAAGAGGAUUGAAUUUGAGACAUAUGAUGACUAUGUUAGUUGUCACUUUAUUAUUUUUGCUCGCGGAAUAUUUUGCCAUAAAAAUUUCUAUAACAACAAUGAACUAUUUUACCUAUCGUUUUUAAUAUAAUUGGCAAACGAUUUGGUGGUUGAUACUUGAUAUAAUAUAUCAAGUUAAAAAACAGUGGACUACUUUAAGCCUCUAACUUUGAGGCAAUUUUUUAUAGUUUUUAACAAAAUACAUGUCAUUUGGUGAACAAGGUUUUGGUUUUGGCAUCAUAUUUACAACAGAACAUGGAGUGACAAUUGUCCUGAUGCUACGUUACAUCAUCAAAAUAUUAGUGGGUGUAUCAGGUACCAACACGUUUUUUGGGUGUAGUACGCACCAACACGUUUUUUGGGUGUAGUAGGCAUUAAUUUUUGGGAAAACUUCAAAAAAACCCCUGUGAUUUCGUAUUUUCUCAUUUUGCCCCUCUGUGGUUUAAAAUGUAUUAAUUUGCCCCUCUGGUUUUUUUUUCUCUUUUUUUUAUCAAUUUCAUUAUUUUUUUUUCUUAAAUCAGUGGUAAAAUUAAAAUUAAAGGGUACUAAAGUAAAUAUUUGAUAAAUCUAGAUGGGUAUCUGAAGUUUUUUAUAUAUAAUUUAAUUAAAUAUUAACAAAAAAGCUACCGAAAAGAUAAAAACGAAACCACAGGGGGGGCAAUUUGUUACAUUUUAAACCACAGGGGUAUAAAGUGAGAAAAUACGAAACCACAGGGAAGGUUUUUGAAGUUUCCCUUAAUUUUUCAGGCCUCCGUGUUUUAACCCAGUUCACAUAUGCUGUAUCACGUCCUCCUUUUUAUUAUUUUUUUUUUUAAGAAAAAUAUAGUAUACUAUCUAUUUUAUUUAUUUUUUAAAAUAUGAAUUUAGUUAAAAUUUAAAAGUGUGGGCAGUUAGAUUUCGAAUUUGAGAUCUCAGAUAUUUACUACUUAUGCUAGGAAUGAUUAGUAUAUUCACUACAAAAAAUUUUUAAGAAAGCUUUUUAGACGAUGCUUGAAGAAAAUAUUCCUAUAAUAUAAUAAAUAUCGACGUUUCAAAAAAUAUCGUCAUAUGAACUCUUUAUCAAGUCAAUUUAUUAAAUGAUAAGCUUUUCUACUAUUUUUAAUUUGCCGACGUUUUAAAGUGUAUAUAUAUAUAUAUAUAUAUAUAUAUAUAUAUAUAUAUAUAUAUAUANAUAUAUAUAUUACCGACGCUUGGUAUAAGCGUCGGUAUAUGUAUGAUGAUUCUUUAUUUAUAGACGUUUUAACCAACAUUUUCAAAUAUGACGCUAUACUAUAUUGGAACAUUUUUAAGUAUCGUUAAAUAUAAAAAAAGAUUUUUAAAUGUUAAUUUUCUUGUAGUGAUUGUAUUAUGUUAUAAUGUAUUGCAAAAGGGCUUUUAGACACAUUUUACUUAGAAGGGAUCUAUAUAUAUAUCUAAUUCUAUUCAUAUAAAAAUGAUGGCAAACUAGGCUUUACAAGUUAGAGCUUUAGCAAAGUGCUUUUUAAGAUCAUUUGUGACUUUUAUUGUUGCACCGAGUUGUCUUAUACCAUGUUAUUAGAUCCAAGUUUAAGCCCACUUCUAUAUAUGGGGUGGUAAAUUGGGUUCAAUCAAUCAAAUGUCUUCUAAUAUAUUUGAGCUGAGAAUUGAAAAGUAAGUCUCACCAUCAAUUAAGUCCACUAUUCGAAGUUUAUAAAAUGCAAGUAAACUGAUCUUAAAUGAUAAAGUGAUUAGUAGUUAUCCAGCAAGGUCAGAUGGAUAGCUCCAAAAAAAAAAAAAAAGAUUACUGCAAUUGAAUUUAAUAGAAAAUUAUAGAUAAUUUGGGUGCUGACCCUUAAUCUUCGGAGGAGAAAUAGUCACAAAACAUACCAUUUGGUUCGGGUAUAAGUAACAACUAGCUAUUACAGGGAUAGGUAUAAGUAUGAGGAUAAGAAAAAUAACGUUUGGAUAAAAAUUGGGUUGUUUCCGGAGAUAAGAAAAAUAACGUUUGGAUAGAUAAUAUGGAAUAAGAAAAAUAUUAUGUAGUUUUAUAUAGAAAAUAAAGGUGUUGGUGGGGAUAGUUAUAACUGAUUAUUAUAGAUAAUCGAAAAUUACUGUUCUCGAAUAAAAGCGUUUGGAUAUAAAGAGGAUAAGGGUCUAUCUCUAUUCCUAUCCCCUUGCCAAACGGUGCUUCAUGAAGGAUCUCAAAGAGCACUUUAUAUAAAUUAAUGUUUAGGAAACAACUAGUAUCUGACUCUUUGCCACUGCAAAGAGAACAGGUCACGUAAGUUACAAGGUUGAGUGACUCUUCCGUUUAUUUAGAGCUCUCUCUCUUGAGGACGUAAACGUACGUGCAUGAAUCAGAGAGAGAGAGAGAGAGAGAGAGAUCAAUAAGUAAUUAAUAAUUUUUCUGGGUUUGCAAAGGGUAGAAGCUAGAUGAUCCAAGGACGAUUUAGUACACUUAAUAUAUUGAUUAUAAAAUAGUAAUGAAUGAUUGAUUAGACCACUUCUCUACCAAGAGAACAGUAAUAAGAGACGCGUAUGUUAUAAUUAAUAGGUAUCGAAUAGUACCGACCGUCUCUAGCGCAAGUGGCAAAAAGAUUUGGUGGUUAGUAUUCGAGAUAAGUUCGAAUCCUAAUUGAUUCAUAUUUCCAGCUAAGUUUAUUUCUAAAUGAAAUAAACGAAGCGGGUAGCAUGUUAUUUUUUUUUUUAAAAAAAAAUGGUAUCGAAUAGUUGACAUGAACUUAAGUUAAACGGAUUCAAAAUCACAUGCUCCGAUAUUAUGUAAAAUACACAAUAAUUAUUAUUUUUAAAGAAUUUUGGAUUAGGAAAUGACUAAAAUUAAAGAGUGACUUCUUCAAUGUAUUAUGCUUGUUGCAUCAGCAAUCCGAAGACAGGGCGCCACUGAACUCUGGUCAUAAGAAGCUCCUUGUUUUUUUCUAUUAUCUUUACAGUUGACCAAAAAUUUUUUUACAAAAGAAUGUUCCAUCUUUUAGUAGUGCGUUUGUGCUUGAUCCAUCAAAUUUAUGCCAAUAUGGGUGGUUAUUCCCUCGUUGCAUACUAGUCUCGACUCCGCGUCCGCACAUUUAAAUAUUUUUUGUUAUGGAGUAAAUUAAACAUGUUUAAUCAUGUGGUAGGUCCACCUGUUCGAUAAAAAAAAAUACAAUGAAAAGGCACAGAACUUAGAUAAACUAUAAGCCAUUUUGAAUCAAAUAUCUAAAUUUUUAAAAUUUUGAUAUAAUUAUCCAAUCAUUCAACUUGUUUCAUUUGAGUCAGCGAAUGAUACUUUAAUUUUUUAAUUUAAGCUAAUUAUUUACUUUAAUAAAUUUAUAGUUACAAAAAAACUGUAUGAAGUAUGCUGGUCCCGUAAAGAUAACUACGUGAUCAAAUGAAAAAUUAAAGUGUUAUUAAGUGACUCAAAUCAAACAAAUUAAAAGAUUAGAUAAUAAAAUCAAAAUUUUAAAAGUGAUCUUUUAAAAGAUUAGCUAAUUUUUGUUUGUUUUAAUUAAAACAAAUUAAAACAAAUUAAAAUAUUAGACAACAAAAUUUUGAAGAAAGCUUAUCAUAAUACAGGCCCCAGUAGUCUGGAGCUUGUUAUUAUUAUUAGGGAUAAUUGCCUAUAAACCCUUCGAACGUUUAAAAAUAUCCGAUUUACUGCUACUUUUUUUUUCUUUCUAAAAUACCUCUCAUAUGUUCCACCAUUAUUGCAAAAUACCCCUGCAGUUAUCUCCUGUUAAAUUAACUUGGGUUAAAUAUGAGUUAAAUAUCUAUCACAGUUAAAAUAAAUUAAAAUAUUAAUUUUGCCCUUAACUUAAAGGCAAAUAAGAAAUGUUGGUGACGGUAAAGAGGUAUAUUGGAAGAGACCAAAAGUCAAAAUACUUUUUGUGCCCCUGACUUUAAGUGCAGAUAAAAAAAUCAGUGAUGGUGGAAGGGUAUAUUUGAAAGGGCAAAAUAGUAAUUUUAUAGAGAUAACAGAGUUCAUUAACAGAUUUGAACUCUACGGGUAUAUUAGAAAUAGGUUGGAACGUAGAAAGAGUAUUUUCAAUAUUAACCUUCUGAGAAGGGUAAAUCGAAAAGUCAGAAACUUUUCAGGAGUAUAUAAGCAAUUGCCACUUAUUAUUAAUUUUUGUACUUAUAAAUUUUUGCCCGUUAGAUGAAGAUAUGUACGGUUAUGAUGAUAAUGAUUUUUGGUUAGAAUAAUAGCGGUUUUCUAGGGUUGAGUGGGUGGUUGGUUGAAUAGUAUGAUUAUAUGGGUGAAAAUAAUCAAAAGGAUAGAUCCAACGAUUGAAAACUUAUGAAUACAAAAAAAUUUAUACUCGUGAGAGUAUAGUAGUCGGACUCUCUCUCUCUCUCUCUCUCUUUAUAAUUUUUUUCUAGCUUUAUUUUGACAUUCUAAAAAUUUAGAAUAGUUAAGGUAUAGUAGAAUUAAACUUUUUAACCUAACUAUAAUAUUAAAGGUAAGAUCCAAAUGAUUAAAAGGAUUGAGCGAGUUCGGAGACAGAGCUGUUUUAGGAUAAGUGACUCUCUGAGAAGUGGGUCGUCGCACUUUUUACCGAGUAAUAUUAAAUGCCCCUCAAUCUGGGCCAGCCCAACUUGUAGAAGGUGGACUAAUCUUGAAACCUUCGAACCAAGCCUACCAAUUAAGCCUCGAGCUUAAAUUACCUGCUUAGCCCAUGAACAGAUGUAAUCCAUGGUGGUUUGCCUUAAUACAUAGCUAAUAUACUCUUAAACUCUGAAUCCAACCAAUAGGAUAGAUGAUAUCCUACACUAUUUUAAAAUAUUAUUCUAUUACAUAUAAUUAAAAAUAUAUCCAAAGAGUGCAGAUUGUUAAAAGAUUAAUGCAUAUUUCAAAUUUCAAAUUAAACUAUUGAAAUACAAAAUAGGUAAAAACUUAAUUAUGGAAUUCACUUGAACUAUAAAACAUUUUAAAUCCGCUAUCUACCUUUCAAACUUUUGAUUUUAAUAUAUUUGUUUGAUUUGAUAAGUUCUACGUGUUUUUACCUAUAAUAAAAAGAAACUUGGCCGCCUCUCAUAAAAUCAAAUCGGUUAACCGAUUCGCUGGUGAACUACGGGUCUAAAUGAGUCAAAAUAGGUUUUAAGCCGGUCCAAUUUUAUAAGUUGAAUCUAACUGAUUUGGACACCGAAUUAUGAUUCGACUAGUUGGUUCCAUCUGAAUUAAAAAAAAAUAAAAUUUUAACUGCAUUGAAUAUUUUAUAUAUAUAUAUAUAUAUAUAUAUAUAUAUAUAUAUAUAUAAUAUAAAAAUUUAACUAUUUACAAAAGUUGCUUUGUAAGAAAGAUCUCAAACCUAGAUUACCAUGUGAACCGACACUGCAGAAAUAUUCCGAUCGUUUCUAGUGCAAAUAGCAAAGAAUUUGUUGAUUGAUAUUCCAGGUUCCAAAUUUAAAAAUUAAUUUUUUCAUAUUUUAAAAAAACGAAAUAAAUAGCAUGUUAUCUUUUUUCUCUCUAAAAACAAAAACACUGUCUUAAAUAACUUUUCAGCAAGAAUUUAAGUGUUGUUGUACGGAAUCGUGCCAGAAACUUGCUGGUACGGUAUGACACGAUGUGUGCCGAACGUGUCAGUCAUAAAUAUUUCAUAUGUGCCGACACAUAAUAGUAUGAAAUAUUUAUUUUUUUUAUCAACAAAAUAGUCAAAUUAUUUAUUGUGUAUUUUUUAUCAAAUAUUUUGAAUUUUAUUAAAAAAAUUAUUUACUAAUUUAAAGAAUAGAGGGUUUUGAACUGUGCCAUUGGUACAAAAACUGUAUCGUAUCGAUAUCUUGUUAGCACGAUGAGAUAGAUAUGACUUGUGUCGAUGGACACUUUUUUAUCUUUCCGUAUAAAAUUAAAAAGAGUUUGGCUUAAUAAUCUCACCAUGCCAUCAUUAUUAUUAAUUAAUCAUUUAUAUAUCGAGAGUACCUAUAUAACGUGUUUUAGAAAUUUGACACGAAAUAGCUGUUGAAAGAAAAGUUAUGUUUUUUUUAAAUAAAACAAUAUUUUAUAAAAUGGUUCAUACUUUCAUGGAAUGCGACGUUAUUUAAGCCGACAAAUUUGCCAGGUUGGACUUACUACAGUGAUAACAUUUGCGUGGAUUGCUCGAAACAUCAUUAAUAAUUUUUAUAAAAUUAUUUCUUCUAUUUGAAAAAAAUUAAAGUAUUUAAGUUGGAAUUUUUUUAGGACUUGGAAGUUUUCUUAACUUCCACAAAAUUUAUAAUUUUCUUACACUUUAGUUUGAAUCUUAAUCAGGCUCUUGCCUAAUAACUGUAAGAAAAAUACUAAAGUAAGUUGAAUAUUUAGCUUUAAAAUUUUUAAAUAUUAUCAUUGCCUUUUGUCCUACAGUAAAAAUUUUAAUUAAUUAAUUUUUUUUAUCAAAAAAUAACAUAAAAAUAAGAGAAGGUCAAGAUACUUAAACAUCCAAAUCCAGAUAUGAUCCCGAUAUUGCAUUUAUUUUGUAAGCAUAUCAAAUCCAACGCAUCUAAAUAUUUAUUUUUUUGUUUGAGAGAAAAAAUUAGCAUGCAAAUGCGCCUUAUCUUUUUUUAUAUAAAUAAAUUUAGUUAAAAAUAUAAAUUAAUUAAGAUUUAAAUUUGAGAUCUCGAAAAUCAACCAUCAAUUAUUUUGCUAUUUGCACUAGGGCCAAUGGGUAUCUUAACAUUCAUUGAACAUGUGUUUUUGAGAAUCUUUUUGUUGGGGGAAUCAAUUAGCACAUUCUAUGUCACGACCCGCGACCAUCCGCUUAUUUGGUCGAGGUCGCGGCGUCGCCGACAGACCGCCGAAAAGAUAGAGUCUCCUCUGUACGUCUUAGGCGUCGCAAUCAAUACAAGUAUAAAAAGUUUCAAUCAGAAACAGUAUUCAAACAAAAUUGCAUAAGAAAUGUAUCAAACAACAUAACACUCUAAAAUAAUAUAAGUAUAUAUAUUAUGUUAUAUUUAUUUUUUUAUAUUAAUUUGUUAUGUAUGUUAUCGGAAAAGAAAAGAACAAAAAAAAAAAAAAAAAAGUAAAAAAGAAAAAAAAAAUUGUAAGUGCGUGAGGACUCGGAGAAGAGACGAAUACGAAACAGCUCACGCCGCUCCAUCUUUACGUUUUAGCUACGAACUCCCCGAAUUCUUUUUUUAGUACGAUAUUGUGUCUUCUUUCCUUGUCCCCAUCGUUCGCACCCUCUUCCUCCUAGGGUUAGGGUUUCAUGGACGCCGAAGCGGCCGCGUCUCCCGGGUCCGCCGGCGGCGACGGCGGCGACGGCGGCGCCGCUCGGAGCCCCGCCGAGGCGUCAGAGGAGGACCAGGUGCGGGUGCGGCGGCGGACGCUCGAGGCGGUGCUCGAGCAGUGCCAGAGAGCGCUCGAGCUUCUCCGGGACGCCGAUCUGAAGGGCGAUACCACCAUGGCGGAGGAGGAGGAGGCGAUGGAGGAGGAGGAGGAGGGGAUGGUGGAGGGGGAAGGCCCCUCGACGAGCUCCCCGACGGAUGUUGAUUGUGAGAUCGUUGAGGUAAGGGAUGGUUUUCUUCAAGAAUUUGCACUUCUUGAAGGAUUAUGCUGAUUUUGCGAUUAGGGUUCAAGCUUCUGAUUCUCGACAAUUUGAUGUUCGCGUAGUUUUUUUUACUCGUGGCUAUAUAAUCCGUUUUCAUUUAUGCAAUGCAAAUAGGAAAUUGUUGCUCAGUUGGGAUGGAGAAACCUUGUGAAUGUCAGAUAAAUCUUGCUUAAUAUAGAUAUGUGAAGCGAUUGCUCGUUUCUGAAUGCUUAAGAUUGUCUCGAAGAAUUGAAAAAGACUGUGACCCUGCAUGUAACUAGUUUAUUGUAUGAAAUUACUUGUGUUGAGCCCAUGAUUCUAGAUAAGCAUAUGUGGUCGCAUCUGUUCUUCUUCAAAUAUAUCUUGGGCAUCUUUUUCUCUAUGCCUUGUAUGAAGAUGUUAUUUUCGUCCUUGACGGGAGAAAGUAGAGGCAACUACAUGUGAAUAUUUAUAGUUAACAUGAGAAAUCUAGAGACCAAAAUCUAUAUUAAUUCAUAGGAUAAAUGUGUAACAACCUGAAGAUUAAAGGAGUCGAGUCCAGGACAUUACAAAAUGUUGGUCCUCCACUUCAGAAGCUGCACGAAGAAAGCGCCUGUUCUUGCACUUUCCGGAUUUCUCAUAGUUAUCAGCAUAUUGUGUACUAGAGGAAUAAGAAGUCGAUAAAAUAAAAAUAGGCCUAUGGCCAGCUCUUUUAGUGCAGUUAUAUAUGAAUUCUAUUAUUUCAUUUGGCUAUCUUUCAGACAUUAUGUACGUAACCUAGGUGUUAUCAUGUUCUGUGCUGCUGCUUUAUCCUUUGUCGAUCUUGGUCUUACUCUCCCUCUCAAGGCACCUUAUCUUUAUCAUUUGGUUUCUGCCGGAAAUGUUCAACCCAUCUCAGUCAAUUUUCACACAAUUUAUUCUCAAUUUAGUGUUGCACCUAAGCUGUGGACAUGUUCAACCCAUCUCAGUCAAAUUUUACGCAACUUAUCCUCUAUACGGUGCUACACCUAAGUUAUGUGAAGACAGUCUUUUUCCCCCUUGGUGACCACACUUAGCCUCAUGUCAUAUCAUGCCUCUUUUCUUUUCUCUUCUUAGUCAUUACAGUAGGAUACUGGUAAUUAUGCAUUAGCAUAUAAUUUAGUUAAGAGUUUUGGUUUCCAAUUUGUUUUUGAUUUAGGGUUUAGGCUUGAGUGUGUGUUCUUAUUUCGAGGCUAGGUCUCAGUUUCAGGUUUCGAUUUAGCCCUAAAUCCUUAGCAUGUAUGAGAAAUAGUGAUAUAUAUAGUCAAACAUUCUUUAAUUAUUGUUAGAUACUUGUGUAGAAAAGCUUGGUGCUCUAUAUUGCAAAUAUGAUAAGAAGCAAAGAUGGCAUACCUUCCUCCAAAAAUGUUGUUGUCUAGGUUGCUAAAUGAUAUCUUUACAAUUUACAUCAUAAUAUUGCUUCAGAAUUGUGCAUCUUUUAUCUUAAAUAUCCUCCUUUUUUCAGCUUUGUGAUCUUCUUAAGUCCAAAGUCGAAUCGCCUAAGUUUCUUGAAAAGCUUGGCUGCAGUCACCAGUCAGUCUUGCACAAUGUUGCUGGUAAGCAUAAUGCUAAACCAACUUCAUUCUUUUACUGUGCUGUGUUUGUUAUUCCAAAAUCCAUUUGUAAAGCACCAUUUAAAUUGAGCAGAUUAUCGAAUGACUUCCUCUCAUCUAAUGUUGAAAUAUAUGCAGCAUCCACAAGUAUCGAUGAUUACAGUGCCUAUUUAUUCAUAACCUGUUUUGUGUCAUCUUAUGUUAAAGUAAUUGCAGCAAUGUACAAUGCUAGAUACGUACGGUUUACUUUUAAUUUAUGCAAACCUUUGCACUAUUAGUUCUGGCAGUUUGCUGAUUGGUAUAUUUAUAUGUGGUAGCCGAUGACAAUGCAUCUUGGGAUAUGGUUACCCAGAUGGACCUCUGGGAUGAUAGACAUAAUACUGCUGACAAUGGAUCGGAUCAAGAUGAAUAUGUUCUUGUUCGUCAAGAGGAUAUCGUGGACGGGAUCGCCUGCUUCAUGGCAACAUACUUACUCUCACUGAAAGAAACCAAGGUCAGUGUCUUUCUUUUGCUCUAAUAUCUACAUUUCUCUUUAUUGAACUUUAAUCAUAGUAAUUUGCAGAAUCAUCUUGCAACAUAUUUAACUUGGAAAAAAACUAUGCAAAGUCUAGUCUUAUUAUGUCUCAUCUAAUGAAACUAUGGUCGAAGUAUAGAUUUGGAGAUACAUAUAUCACUUUGGUGGUGUGCCAACAUUUAGUUUUAGAUACAUAUUACUCUCUUAUUCACUUUGGUAUUAUGCCAAAUCUUGUUAUCGUGGAGCUUCAUUUAAGCUCUCAUUCUAUGAAUUUUAAAGUGGGUAAUUUAGGCCUUAUAUGGUUACACUUUUUUUUAUUUUUCCUUUUGGAGCCUUGUUAUACUUAAUUUCCAUCCAAUUGAAUGUGUCAGCGGAUGGACUUUGUCAUUCUUGUUGUUAGCUUGCAUAUUCAUCUUAAAAAAGAAACAAAGCAGCAAAGAGAAAAAAAAAGAGUUACUACUAACUACUAAGUUUGUGUGUUUUUCACUACAUUUAUUUUACUCAUAGAUUGCCAAAAAAAACAAAAACAGCUUGCCUAUGGCGUAUUUUUUUACUCAUAGAUUGCAAAAGAUAAAUAUACAGCUUGCUGAAAUAUUCAGUUUGUGCAGGAAAUGAAUCCUGAUCAACUACAAAAAGGUAAGUUCCUUUAAAUUAUUUCUCGACUUUGUCACUCGAGUUCUUUUUGUGAUGUCUCAACUAUUCUGAAUCGCUAAAAUAAAGUUGCAUUCUGAUUGUAAAACUUGCCAACCAUGUGUUCUACAGCCCUUAGCAAGACGUUUUCCUUAAAAAAGAAGAAAAGUAAGCUACGCAAGGCCUGGGAUGGAAGCAAAGUUAUCUAUAACGUUGUUUCCUGGGGUGCAACUGCUAUUGGGUGAGCCCCCUUCCUAAUCCUCCUGAAUAUAUGUUUUUGUUCUUUGCUUCACAACAUUUAGGCCUAGUUUGCUAAUGUCGUGGCUAAAAAAAACAUUUUUAAGGCCCAAAAAAUUCAAAAGCGAUUGCAAUCUUUCCUCUAAUGCUUUAAAAUUGCGGUUGCAACGCGACGAAGUGCUAGUGAAGCAAGCAUGCAACCAAUAACAUUCAAGCAAGCAUUAUCUAGUUAAAGAAAUAGUUAUUUCUUUAUAUAAAACUACAACGCAUGGAAUAUAGACAUGAAGCAAGAAGCAAUUAAGCAUUAAAAAGACGCAAGUGAAAGAUAGAAAUAAUAUAGAAAAUCAAAAAAUGCGAUCAAGCAUCAAGUUAGUAAUUAAGUUGAAAGCCGAUGAUUUGAAAGGUUAAAGGGGAUUCCAGUUUUGGCUUGAAUCCGCUUUCCCAUCUCCGUCGCCAAGCUGUAAGCAUAGCGAGCUCGUUAGGGACCCUAAAAUACAAAUGGAGUCGCCACCUAAAAAAUCAGUGAAAAUUGGAAUUGUUAUAUAAAACCAAUGGCUAUCUUCCUUCAAGUGACAGAGAGAAUCGAGAAAGUACCACCCAAAGGUGCUUUCACAGAAACCAUUCUCCAGUGGUAAAGAACUUUUCUUCACUCUAGAAGCCUUCAAAUCAUCCGCUGGAUUUUCUUGUUCAUAAGGGAGGAAUAUGUGUGUUGUAUAACAAUAAAGGACUUUUCGGUGACACGUUGUCAUUUUGACGAGAUUUUAGAUAAUCCAACUGCCACAUGCUUCUCUGGUGGCGGUUCUAAUCAUAAUUUUGUAGUAUAAAAGAUGAGAAGAUUAAAAGCGCUUUAAAUUAUUUGACCUUGUAUAGUAUAAAAAUAGUUUUUGUGGCCACAACAUUACCAAACUAGGCCUUAGUAGCGCACUAAGCAAAUAAACAUCAGUUUCUUGUAGGACAUUUGAACUUGUCAUUGAUGCAUCAUUUUAGAAAAUAUGGCAAACAAAUGCAUUAGACAAAAUCGUUCAGCACCAAAAAACAUACACAACAGCGGACAGAUUCACUGGCUUAACUGUUGGAUCAAUUUUAGUCGAGCUGUGACAUCACGAGGUUAUGUAGUAAAUUAUUCAUUAUUUCAAAGAAUAAAAUCGUGUAUUACAAUAACAUUUAUUCUCUUUUUAGUCAUCAAUUUCUGUUAGAAAAAACAUGUACUAAUCGCUAAGCAGAAAUCAAUAAACACUAUAUCAAGACAAUUGGUGAGACUUUGUAACUAUUAGUUAAAUCAGCCAAAUAUGUGCCCUUAUAAUUUAUCUAGUUAUGGUAGAUGUUUUGUUCCUGAUUCAUAUUGUUCUAUUCUUUUCUUCUUCUUCUUUUCCUCCCUUCCGCAGCAUCUACCAGAAUCCAGCUCUUCUCAGAGCAGCGUCAGCAGCCUUUUGGACAUCCUGCCGCGUUAUAUCGAAGUUAAUAUGAACUAUUCGCCUCUAUUGAACUCCCAGUGAUUCAGGUGCUUCACAAAACUUGUUGGCUCACAAACUUUGCUGAACCCCCCCUUAACUUGUGCUUUAGAUGAUUAAAAAAAGACUCCACCGGAUUCCAUCCAUUUUGUGGAGCUUAUAGAGAUGCCUGUGCAUAGUUCAAAGUUUCUUGGUUGUAUUAAUUCUUUCAAAGUUCUUGUUGUAUCAUAACCUCUUUGUAAGUGUAUAUAUAUCACUCUUUCAAAGUUUCUUGGUUGAGACGUGAUGUAUCCUUACAAUAUAACACAAAGUUGUGCUAUUUUAACAGCGUUUGCCAUCUUCUUGUGCCAAAGAUUACUUAUCCUACUCCAUGAUUUUCAACAUGAUGAGAAAAGGAUGGACUGAAAUUUAACCAACAAAAUAAAUUGAUAAUCCAAUAGGUGCCUUUGGAUAUCAGGCCAUAUAAUGCCCGGUUAAAAAAAGUGUUUAAGUAAGGUUGUUGCCGAGAAGCUGUAUUUAUUGCUAGUCAACAAAUGCUCAUCCAAAAAUCAAUAAUCAGACACGAGUAUUAUAUCAAUCUGCUAAUCUGAUUUCUUCAUCAUCUACACGGGUCCAUGACACAUUACUAUGGAAUGAUAAUAAACUACGAUAAUUAUUGCGUUACAUUCUUUGACAUAUUUAUAACAACAUUUACGAGUCCCAUAAUUUCCAUUAUACUUAUAUUUCUUAUAGUACAAAAAAAAAAAAAAAAAAGAAAAAAAAGAGAAACAGGUGACCAUCCAAGAGGAAUUGGAAAACGGAGUAAAGUCGAAAUCUUCGCAAAACCCAAAAGAAAAAGGCUCAAAAUGUGGUCUUUCUCAGCCUUACCCUAGCAAUUCUUGCUUUGCAUGGACUGACGUUCACUUCUGCAUCGAGCAGGUUCAGUUGUGUAUAUGAAUCUUCCUGAUCAAAACAACUCCAAUAUAGUUAAUAUAUAUUUCUCACCUCGCCGCUGCAUUUCAAGCUUCUGAUUCAUGCCAAGAACUCAUUAUAUACAUUUGCCCACUCUUAAUAGUAGAAAUUGGAAUCCUUCUUAACUGCCGCAUCCUUGCAAAGCAUCGAACGCACUUCCAUGCUUGAUCUAGGAGGUUCCAGAUCUUUCUCUUGCAGUGCAUUGCCAAGCAGCUGUUGCAUCUGGGAUGCAAAUGUAUCAUCCAAUACCUGUACGUGAAAACCUCUAAUUAGAUCAGUCUUUAGAUGAAAUAAAAAACGAGUGGCUUGUGUACAGAUAUGGGUAACUGAUCAACUAGCAGUUGAAAGCUAUAAAGAGCACUUCUCAUCAUAGACUAAGGUACUUACAGCAACCGUGACUCUUGCACCUUUAUACCAAGAGCGAUUCUCUUUCCGGUUCUCCAAGAAACUAAGAACAUCCUGUAAUUGAAGGUUGAUUUAGAAUACAUUAUAAGAACAACAGCGAGAAGCUAGCAAAAUAGAAGAAAAUCCACGUACUUGACCCAAUCUAUCCCAAAACCCUCGGCAUACGGCCACAAAUACAUGAACCCCAAAUACAGUACGGACAUGAUUAAUAGUUUCUACAAGCUGAUCCUUUAACGGUUGCAUUCUGCUCCGAAUGUCUGAUUCCAUAAUCAUGUCCUUUGAGUCCUGAAUAAUCUUCUUAAGCUUUGUGUUGCUCUGCAAACGAGUCUGCAUUCGACAAAAUUAAAAGACAGUCAUUACAGAUAUCAUGCUAUCAUUUGUCUUCUAAUAAUGAAACAUUUUCCACUUCUAGACAUCUCCCACCCAAUUGUUGUACAAAUUAUAAAUAUAACUGUCAAAGAGAUAAUUUAACAAGAAAGAAUUUUCCAGAUAUACUCACAUUUUCUGCAAGUUUCUCCACAACAGCUUGCAAGUAAUUUCUGAACUUAGCUCUCAGAGUUACCGUUACUUCAUUGAGGCAAUCUCCAGCAACUGCAUUUCCACCAUCAGGCAUACAAGAACCCCAAGAUUUUAAUUGGGCUUCUAUUUUAGGCCGCAGCACAUCAAGCAGUCUUUUCAUCGUAUUCAAAAGAAUACCUAGCUGAAAAGGGAAAAGAAAGAAGAUAUAGUGGUCAACUUCUACGAACUGCUAGUAAGUAAAAUUUCUAGUAGUUCGAUUAAACUGCUUACUUCGUCAGGCACAAUAUAAGGGGAUAUUGAAUUGCGUUUGGCAAGUUUAUGAACAUAUUUGAGGCCAAAUUUUUUAGGUGUCAUACUAUCCUUCAGAGGAGCCAAAACAUCUGCAUACUGUUUCUCCAGAGCUUCAAUCACUGCCUUCUCAACAUCUGCAAUAGCCUUGAAGUUUGAAAGGCAACAAAAGAAAAUCAACCAAGUCAAGUGUUUAUUAUGGAAAGGAAUACACAAACAGUAAGGACAAUAGAUGACAUACAAACAUACAUUCUCGAGAGCGAAAAUGUAUUCUGGCCAACGGCAAAUGAUGACUUCAUAUUCCAGCAAUGUAUUCUUUAGUUGCUCGUACAUAUCAUCAACAAAUGGUGUUGUCAUAUGCUGUGUCCGAACUCCUGACCAUUUCACCUGCUAAUUGAAAAAAGUCACUACUGAAAUCCAAAUUAAGAAAUGCUACAAUUUUGAAUGAAGAGCUAAUGGCAUUUCUGAAGCACAAAAUUAGAAUAAUAAAUCAGGAGGUCCAUCUAUUUCUUUAUGGAGAAAAAAAGGUAAAAGGAGAAACUCAGCGGAUAUUAUUGAAAAUUCAGGAAAUAGCUAGUAAUCACUCAACAUAACUGCAAUAAAACUUACCUUAUCUAACUUGCAAGACUCAAGUAAACUGAGGCGCUUAUCUUGAAUCCAUAAUAUAAUAUACAAGUGGAACAACUCCUUAGCAUCAACACCUCCUUUAAUGGGGCUGUUAAGAUAUUAUGAAAAAUAUAACUAAAAGGAGAGUGGCUUAAAGGAAACGAGACAUUAGACGAAAAACUGUAUAAGAAUUUACCAUAUGUUCCAACUAGCAAGAUCCUUCUGAAACUCAGCAGUUGCAAUCACAAGAUCAGCCACUGGUGACGAAGGGCCAGUUGGAGGACAUGCAACUAGGAAUGCGCGCAGUCUACUAGAAAGCUCGACACUGUAAAUGGAUGCAGCUAAAUUUGGAAGGUCGACAAAACUGUAAUAAGAAUAAAAUGUGUCAACAAUAAGUUAAAUAACAAUAACAUAAACUCCUUUGCAUAGUUCUUACAGUAAAUUUAUUUAUGACAGAGCUCUAUUUAGAAUAUAUAAGGUUUACAAGUACAAAAGAUAGAUAUCAUAGUACUUGUGUAAUUCUUUUUCUGGUUUCUUUAUUGGCUACAGAUAGGGAUAAACAAAAAACUACAAGCCACGAAAUGCUUUAGAUCAGUCAAACAAGACUAUCGGUACUUUUAGAGAUAAACUUCUAAAGUUUGUCGCAAAUAUAUCGCAAAUAUAUCUAAGUGCAGAACAUUCAGCAACUAUGAGUAAAAAACUGUGUAAAACAAAGGAACUACAAAUUGAUCUUACCUAGGAAGUACAUGCUGAUUAUGAAUUUCAAUGUCAGUAGAUAUCUCAUUUCGAAUAUUGAAGCACAACGCUCUCAUUUUCUGGUAAGCAGUAGAAUAAGUCACAACAUCCAUCAGAUUGCAUUCAGUGUUCCCUGCAACAUACUCAUCAGUCUCAAGCAAGUGCCUCCUAGCUCUCUUCUUAGCAGCAGCCUGAGCAUAUAUGGUGUGUUAAAUAUCACAUUAGAAACCCAAAUUUAAGCACCAAAAGCAAAAUCAUUGAUAUAGAUGAACCUGGAAAUAUUUGCACAGCUUUAGUUGGGCUUCAGGAGAUAAAAUGUCAUAGAGAAGAUUAUACAACUUCACUGCCGGUGCUAGUGCUGGUGCUGGCAAUCCGGUAGCAGGCCUAAAACCUUCCACCAUUCCCGAAGGUAAAGACUCAUCUAAUGACUUGUAAUUCUCGAAAAGCAUCUCCAAAUUAUGUUCAAUCUGCUCCUUGAUUUCUCCAAGAAUGCGGUUCUAAUAAAGAAGCGUAAUUUUACAUGUUACUUUAGAUAGUGUUUCCAAAACAACAGCUGAGAAAGAACUUGUAUAAGGAAAAAAGACAAACACAAAAGUUAAAACCUAAAAAAAGAAUCAGCAAUAUGGAGCUUGACAUUACAAGGUGGAAAUCAUCUUUGAAGAACCACAAGAAAGUAAUAAAAAAAUUAAGGUGUCAAAAAGUACCAAAUUGUUUUGUAGUAUAUUUUAUCAUUUACAUAGGAUUGUAUUGUGUAUUCACAACCAAACUAAUCCCAAAGCAGUGCAUCAGUUAAUAAGAGCAACAGAAUGAUUACACCAGCUAGAACUUGAUAUUAAAAAAAAUAUGAACAACACCAACAGAUAUUGUUAAUUGAAAUACGGACAAAGAAUAACUAAAUAGAAUAGGAAUAUUUCUGAAUAUGCUAAAUAAGUACCUCUUGAUGACUCAAUGUAUUGUUACUACGGCUCUUCAUAACUACCGGAAGCAGCAGAUCAUGAACCAGCGUAAGACAGUCCUCUGUGGGGGUUGCCACAUCCAUAACAUAUGAAAGGUACCUGAGAAGUAUUUAACACCACUAGUGACAAGGUUAUUUUGAUAAAUUUAACAUGCAACACCCAAUAAGAGAAGAUCAUUAAACUUUAAUAGUAAUGGCAAACUUUAGAUUCAGAGCAAGCCAUAAAUUGCUCUUAAGUUCAAUUCUAUAUUUAUUGGGAAGCUCAUGUUGAUUUAGAAUAGCAGCAAGCAAAUAAUAUCAUAUCUUUUUUAACAAAAUAUUAUGACAAGAAUGUACCUUAAUUUGGUGUAAGCAUCUGAAACUCCAUAAUAAGAUGCAAAUUCUGUCAAUAACCAUUUCCAAGAUCCAUGCAACAACAAGUUUCUUUGUUGAAAAUGCUGGGUUUUCAUAGCUACUUCAAGAACAAUAUCAUAUGCCACAGUCUCUGCAACAGAGCCAUACUGUAAAGGUAGAAGAUAUUAGAAAAGCAAUUAUGGCAUAUACAACUAUCAGAACAAAUAGAAGAAACCUCUAGACAACUACAUGACCUCAAGCAAACACCAAUAGAUAGAAAGAUCUAAGCCAGAGAAUACAACAAUUUGUAGGAAAAAAUUAUACAAGAUUAACACAGCAGUUAACGAAUGUAGAGAUAAAGACUCCACAAAACACAAGUAAACUCUUCCUGAAAUCUGUGACAUCUAAAUCUGCUUGACUUUUUCUUGGUAUUGUAUAGUUUUUCCUGCUCACAAUCUGCUCCCAACUUGAAAUAAGCAAGGCAACAGUAGGAUAGUCAAGGCUUUCCAUGAACUCAUUGAUUCACGACAAACAGGUCCCAAUGAGGCUUAUUUUAACUUGAGAAUAGGAUCCAAAAUUAAACGAAACACACUUUCUUUUGUUUUCUUUUCUUUACUUUUCUUUUUAGAGAGAGGCAGCAAGCUACUCGAUUUGUUCAUUUUUUUAAAGAACUAAAAUCCGCUAGAAAUGUGAAGCAACCAGGCUUCGUACUUGGAACCCAGGUACCAAACAUCAAGCCCUUAACGAAUUGUGCUAGGUAUGGUCUAGGUAUGGUCUGUUAAGCAAAAUACACUUUAUUACUAAAUGAUUAGGCAAAUGCAUUAGAAUUUCAAGUUUUAUUAUAGGAUCUCAUGACAAAUAAAAAAAAAUGAAGAAUUGGGAAUUGUGGGCUGAAGAGUACGUGCAAGAUAUUGAUGCCAUUGCCACUGAAAGCAUUGGACCUUAAACAUGAACAAGAUGCAAUGAACAUCUUAACAGCUUACUAUCAGAAUGGCUCCCAUACCUUCAAAUUGCCGUUCUCAUCAAGAGUAGUUGUAUAAUUUGCAUACAGUUGUAUUCGGCCGACAAGUUCAUGUUCUGGUUCACGAUAUAUCGACCACCAGCGAAGUUUGUUUGUCUGCAUGGAAGAAAUUUUGAGAUCACAACAGAAAUAAAUCCUUUCAGUUCGAAUGAAUACCAAGGGCUUGGAAACUCUUACCGGAUCCUCAGCAAUGCUAGCUACUUGACCUACGACACGACCACAAGACUUUCCUUUGGAAUCAUAGAUGUCAAUAAUUAGAUCAUCUCCUAAGCUGUCAGGGAAGCUGCAAUAUCCAGGCAAGUGUGUUAAUGCACACCUCAACUAUUGCAUCAAACUAGUUGAACUACUUGAUUUUAGAGAAAAUGAUUAAUUUCUUCUGCAAAGAAUACAUGUAGAGAAAUUUAAGCAUCAACUUAGUAACAACUAUUUGAAGAAAGGUAGUUUAUACAUACAAAACAUGUGUUUCACCAGAUCCAGGUUGCAUCCGAACACAGCUAUCUUCAGCUGAACUUUUGAGCCUCAACUGGCAAGAGUAUGUUUCUGAGAAAACCAGUAGUUCAUCAGAGAAGAUUGCUAAUGCUAAAUGCUCUAAAAGAAUGUAAUAUACAAUACCUUGUACAAUUUCAUACGAUGAACUGCUGCGCAGAGUAGUGACUCCAACUUUAAGAAGCCCAGAUACUUGUUUAAUGUACUGAGCACUCGCAUGCAUAUAUGCCAAGCUAUGCCUUGAGAAGGAACUAUUAGCAGGGAGGUGCGGUAAAACACGUACUUUCCGAAGUGACUCCCAUCCUGAUGAGAGAGUUGACUGUACAUUGGACAAACGAUACCGAAGUGUCUCAAUUUUUACCACUGGGCUUCUCAAUGAUGAGAAACUGCAUCCAGAAGGCAUAUCCAGCGACAUUCUAACUUUACGAACUGAUCAUGAGCAGAAAAUCUUGUUAGAGUCCAUUAUCUAUUUAGAUUAUAAUAAUAAAAAAAACAGACACUGGAAGGGGAAAGAGUUCUCAGUGCCCCCAUUAACUGUAUGAAAUAUGAGCUGGCCUUAUCAGAAUUCCAAACAUCUCACAGAAUUACCAGUUUUCACUAAUAAGAACUUAAGAAAGCAAAAUAUACUGUUAGUGAAAUAAGCUGCACACCUUGGACCUUCAGCUUGCCAAUUGUUUUCUUGGGCUUUGGUGCAGCUCCUUCACUGCUGAGCUCUGAUGUCCGCUUGGCCAGCAGCUCCUCCUCUGAUUGUAGCAAGAUUUGCUGCAAGCUACAACACGAAGUAGGAAAGACUGAGAUUUAGUUUAUACUUGACUUAAUAAGGUAAAGGUCCAACAUGUAUAUGCAGCAUAUGCUUAUAUUUAACUAUGAAAACUACCAACAGCUGCAACAAAAACUGAUACACCACUAAUAGGAGUGCAACAUAAAUUUUGGCCUCUAAUUUUACUUUUUAAAAGAGAAAGCUGAAAGAUAUGUCUGCAUAUCCAGUAUCUCCAGCAGUGGAAUUUGUAUCCAGUGGAAAGAAUAGCUAGCACAUUGAAAAUAUUGCUAUUAAUAGCAUAGAAUUUCAACAAUCUAGGAGACUAGGACUAAAGCUAAAUUACAUGUCAGCAGCAUUAUAAAACAAAACAAUAACAGCACUCAGCACUAAACAUUUAUUACACUCUUCUCAAAAUUUAAAUGACCAGGAUGAUUUAACUAACAAGAAUAAUGAGUUCCAACUGAAUAGACUCACUUACCCAAAUGUACUUCGCAACAGUGCACAUUCAUUUUCCAGAAAAAUGGGAGCUUCCAUGCAGCCUCUAGCCCAUGAAUGAAGGCAUAAUCGAACACAUGCAUCAUAUGCAAUCACAGAGUGCCAAGGUCCUUGUCCACUAAAAUCCAAGGAAACAAAUGAGUUACAAAGAAAUAAGAAAUGUGAAUACAAGUUAUUAAUGAAUAUCUAACAAUUAUACCUGGCAUGAAAAGUGGGAACUUUAGCAGGUAAUGAACUAGAGGAUGCACCAACUUCUGCACCACCUAGUGUAGUCCUGUAAAGCGGGAGGAAUGGUUUAAAUUAAAGAAACAGAUAACAGGGUAAAUUUAGAUACUUUGCAUAAUGUGUAACACAAAGUCAUUACUAUAUUAAGAACCUCGAAUUUUGGUCAGGUAUAUUGCUUCCUUCAUUAACAUGAGAACUUGGCUCCUUUCCUAAAGUUGAACUAUUAGAUCCAAUAGUUCGAGUACAGCAAGAUCUGGCGGCUGAUAUUUGAUCAGUAGCUUGGGAAAUUUCUUCAUCACAGCCAUGUAUAGGUGGUGCACUGGGAACACCAGUAAAACCAUUCUGCAAACAAAUUUACACAGGUAUGAGCACAAGUAAAAUGGACUUCAUUUGUUGACACAGCAAAAAAAUUUCUAACUGUGCAAACUAGCUGAAUUAGUGAAAGAUGGAUUCAAUGUCCAAUAACAGCUGAAACAUAAGUUCACCAUAAAUUAAAGAAUUAGCAUCCCCUCCCGUCACCAUAUUGUUCAAUCUCAACUGUUCAACUAAAUUAUGUAAAGGACAGCAAAUUGAGCACAGAAGCAAGAAUUUUAUUGCAUCUGGUAUAAUUGCCAUAAACCUUCAGUCAAUUGAAAGAACAGGCGCCCUUUCUAAGUUUCAAGGAUAGCCCAUAAUACUAUAUCUAAACAUUUUAACCCAAUAAGAAUGUUCUUGUUGUUUGGUAUUUGAUGUGAGGUCAUGUAGUGCAUACGCCCGGUGACAUCGCACAAGUGAAAUUCAAGGUAGGCUGCUCUCUGUACGUGAGAAAGAUCCAGGAAAAAGAGAAAUAAGGAUUUAUCUGACAGGCUAUAUCAACUAAAACUUGCAGUAUCCAGCUACAAACACUAGAAUUUUGACAUUGAAAGCAAAGCCCUGACUUGUAAAAAACUAGCCCUGCAAAGAUUAGCGUACUGUGUAAAGAAAAAACCAUCUAUUCUAAACAGAAGACCUGCAAACAGACAAUGUGAUGAAAAGGACACUGUAUCUGCAGUUAGAAGAGAAUUUUAUUGGAAAUGCGGCACAUUUCAGCUAUAAAUAAUAUAUGUAGAGGUUUGUGAUGGAACCAACAAACAAUCUAUCAGACCCGAAGUUCCUAUCGCACCAUAGCUCAAACCUGGCUUUCAUAUUCCAGUCCAACAUUAUUUUUCUUAAAAGCAAUUUAACAUAACCUGACUCGUAAAACAAUUUACAAUCAUUCUUCUAUUAUCUGUUCUCAAUUUCCUCAAAACUAAAAAGACUAUCUGCAGUAUCUAAAUUUGGUAGACAAUAUAAUCAAUAAAAUGUCAACUUCAAAGGUACAUCAGUUGAACAAUUCAAAAGAUAAGACACAGCAAUUGUUACCUAUCAAUCAACUCGGAUAAAAUAAUAAGCUUCAAAGAACAUUUAAGGAACUUUGAGGAACAUGGAAUUUUGAGGAACAAACCAUGUUAGAGGGAACUUUCAUAUUAUCUCUGAAGGGAGCGCGGUGAGAGUAGUUAUCUGACUGGUAAUUCCCUUGUGAAGUAACACUGGCUUUAUCAGCUGCAACAUUUGCAGCUUCUCUGAAGGGCACAUUCCGGUUGUAGUUCUCCGCAGGGUUGAUUCCUCGCGAAGCCCCAUUUACGCCUCCAUGGAUCGGACGAUCACGAGAGUAAGUCUCCCUAACAUAACUGCCCCCAUUAGGGACCCUCGCCUGACUUGAAAAUUCCGAGCUACCGCCUGAAUCCGAGAGCUCCUCCUCCUCCUCUACAUACCCAUUCACCCGAACCGGCUUCUUGAACUGCUGUGGCUGCUGCUGCCGGGGAGCAGUGUCCCUCGACGAACUGAUAUCGGAGUACCCAUCGCUCGAAUAGUAUCGCGGCGCUGAGACUGGCCGCACAUACCGGUUACCAAUUCCUGAUCUCCUUGAAGACCCAUUAGGGUUAUCAUCGUCUCGCGAGGAUGAGUCAAUGGAAUACCUCCCAACGUAAUUCUCCGCCUCGGUGUCGGAGGACUCAUCCAUGUCGGAUCCGGAGCCGCUCUCGACGUCCUCCGUGCGGAUGGCGUGGGAAAUGGGCAUCGCAGCUUUUGGCAGGUGGCCACUCCGAAACUUCUCUGGCGGCGGGACGCCAAGCCCUCGUCCGCCUCCACCGCCAUUGCGGAUGCUGCGAAAGGGGUCGAUCCGGUUCUGCUGCCUCGAAACCGAACCCUGGCCCUAUACAUUGCCUCUCAAUUAGAUCAAGAUACCAAAAAAUAGAGAAAUAGAGCGUGUAAGGGAGCAAUGCUCACCUCGCGAACCCAUCGAAGCGCGUUUGGAUCGAGCCCCUCAGUGAACAUGGCGGCCUCCGCCGAGGGUUUCGUUCAUAAACCCUUCCCCACCAAAAUUCCCAACGUAAACCUAGCAUUGUUCAAAUUCAAAAAAAAAAGAGAAGAAGAUUUGAGCACUAUAACAAUAUUCUAAUCAGAUCCAUUAGGUAUACGAGGGUUUACUCCGAACCAAGAGAUCAAGAACACAAUGCUCCCACUAAAUCGCCACCAGAGUAUCCAAAAAAAAUUCAAAAAAAUAGGGUAUAUCCCUCCGACAGCGACACAAAUUCACCCAAAACGAUCAUGAAAAAUCCAAACAAAAUGUUAAGAAAAAAAUUGCUUACUUUGAAGAAAAGUGCUCCGGAUUGGAAAUUUUGGAGGAUUAUCUUCACCGAUUAAAUCGACAAAAAUGCGAACGCGAAGCUCACAGUGAACUCGCUCCUCUCCUCUCUCUUUGUUUUUUUUCAAAAAAAUUCAAACAAUUAGAGGGAGCAUAAGGUGUGAAGAAGAGAGCGAUGGGGAGAGAAAGAGACAAGAGACAGAGUCGCGGACGUAUGCGGAGAAUUAUUAUUAUUAUUAAAAUUUAAAAAGAAAAAAAGAAAAUUUCUGAUUCCUUACAAUGUUAACGGAAAGGGCCAACCACGUUCCCGACGCCGUUAGAUGUCCCGCGCGAGGGUGACGUGGCGGCGCGGCACCGUUGGGCUCCGUAACGGUCGAACGUUAGUGGGAGUGAAAAGACGCGGUCGCCCACCACGGCACCACCCCCACUCCCCCGUUACCGUCGCGGACGGAAAGGACAAGCACGUUCUAGACGCCGUUAGAUUCCCAACGGGAGGAUGACGUGGCGGGGCCGCGCCGUUGGGGCCUUGUAACGGUCGAACGUUAGUGGGGGGAGAGGAGGAGGUGGGAGCGUCCCACACUACACUCAAGCCGCUAUAUACACUCGGAUUAAUUAAUUAGUUAAUUAAUUAAUUAAUUAGUGUAUUUGAGUCGCUUCAGAUCGCUCGGAUGUGCGACGCGUGUCAGAAGGGACGAUUGAGCUCGAGCGAAGAUAUAUGCUAAUUUAAUUAGUCAUAUUUGCCUAGAUUUCUAUUUUUAUUUUUUAUUUUCCUUUUUAGGUGCGCUCGACCGCUGGAUUUGACACUUGUCGAGCAUCCGUGGGAUCAUCCGAAUACUUUACAUAAUUCACAUGUGUGAUUGGAGUGAUGUAGCGAAGUGCUCAUCGUAGGACCGGGACCACCACUUUCGAAAUUCUUCACGGUCAACAAUCUACAGCAGCAGUGUGAACCAGCACAUGUUUCAAUUUUAAAAUUUUAAAUUUUAACACACGUUUCAAUUUUAAAAUUUCAAAAUUUAAUAUCUAGUUAAUUUAUAUUUUUCAAUUAAACUUAUUUAUUAAAAAAAUGAACUGGGUAGAAUGUUGCCAUUCUCUCAGAAAAAAUAAAAACUAUAUAUCCUUCUCAGUAUUCAUGAAUAAGGGGUGCAUUCAGGGAGAAUUAUUUGAUUGUAUGUGGCUUUAACUAUAUAUAGUUAUAAUUGGAUAUAGGUUCAAAUAUAAUAUUUAAUUUGAUAAACUACAAAAAAAAAAAAAAACUCAACUGCAACAACUAGAAUUAGAUUGAAAUUAAUAGGUUCCAACAACAGCAAUCAGAGAAAAUAAGUUAGAUAAAAGACAUGUUAACUUUGCUUAUCGUCUUUUAAAUAAAAAAAAAAAACUUCCACAUUGAGAGAUAAUCUCACCAUCCUAUAUAUCAAUUAGUAAAAUUUGUCAAUGCAAAUCACCAUUACAUGCAAUCAAACAAGCUAUUUAUAACUACAACAGUUUCUAUUACAUCCAACCAAAUAUAAUACAUGCAAUUAUAUACUAUUAAAUUGAAGUUUAUACUGUAAACAAUUGCGUUUGCAUGGAAAGAUGGACUGAUUUAGUGCUUCAAACUAGUGUUUUGUAUCCAAUAAAUUCAAGUGAAACAAAGAAAUGCCUUUCUAAAUUUCUAAUUUCACCAUUACAUGCAAUCAAACAAGCUAUUUAUAACUACAACAGUUUCUAUUACAUCCAAUCAAAUAUAAUGCAUGCAAUUAUAACUAUUAAAUUGAAGUUUAUUCUGUAAACAAUUGCAUUUGCAUGGAAAGAUGGACUGAUUUGGUGCUUCAAACUAGUGUUUUGCAUCCAAUAAAUUCAAGUGAAACAAAGAAAUGCCUUUCUAAAUUUCUAAUUUCAGCAAAUAUCGUUUAGAAGAGUUUUUUUUUUUGGGUCUCAGUACCAACCACCAAGCCCUAGACCCAAAAAGAAAAAAGCACUUGCCGUAACUGGUAUGUAAUGCAAUGCAUCUAAUCAUAUUUGAAGAAUAAGAAGCGCUUGCGGGAGCCGAAUAAGCCCUCUAUAUAUCAUCUGCGCGUAUACGAAAAAAACAAGCAGAUGUAUACAUUAAACAUGUACGAGAUAUUUAUAUCCGUUGCCUUAUAAAGGUUGUUCAUGUGUGAUCAUCCACUACUGAGCAAAGCCCACCAUCAAGCAAAAGGAGCAUUGAUAUACUCUAUUAUUGUUUUCUUGUAAUAGUAUAGUGCGCCGAACGCUUCGCACACUAUUUUUUUAUGAAUUCGUCUAUGAAUUUUGUCAAAAAAACGAAAACACUAAAAAGAAAAGUUCUACGUCAUAUCUAUAGUUGUGCACAUGCACUUGCUUCCAAUGGUGGCCUAGCUUCAAUGUAUGCACAUGUUGGAUAAAUCUAUCAGCAAAAAGUAAUACCGACGGUCCGUAGCGCAAGUAAUAAAAAAUUUGAUAUCCAAGAUAUCAAGUUUAAAGUUUAAUUACUUUAUAUUUUCAACUAAAUUUAUUUUAAAAAAAAUAAAAUAAGUAGCAUGUUAUCUUUUUCUCUCUAAAAAGAAAAAAAAAAAAUUAAGUUCUACACUAGCGCGCCAGGUCAGCUUGUGCAUUGCAACUUUCGAACCAAGGACAAUAUCUUGUCUUUUUAAGUCCAACUAUCCCAUCAGCAUAGUAUUUGAUUUGAAAUUGAAAGUAAAUUUGGACGGCGAGAUUGAUGCAUGCGAUGCGAUGCAAUGAAAUAAAUAGUUUCAAUAGUGUAGUACAAAAGCACAUCUUGUAAGUCAAGUUUAGGCAAUAAAUUUUGCAUGGCCUAGCAACAAAAUCCAACAGAUCAGUGUACAAACGUACGGGGAUUUUUAAUUAAUAGGAAAUUUUUGAUCUGUAGGCACAUGAGUGUGCAGUGAAUACUAUUCAAAUUUUUUUAAUAUCUUAAAUUUAAAUAAGUCUAAUUAAGAAUGGAAAGCAAAUGUUUAAGAAUUGCUGAUCAACGUAAGUAAAACUAGUGUAUCUUAAUUUCGUUAGCUAAAUACUUGAUAAAUCUGUUUUGUCAAUAAUGAAGCUAAUAUUCUUUUAAAGUAACUUACAAUUGAGAUGAACCUAAAUUAUUGUAAGAUUAGUAUAAACCAAGCUCCAAUGGGCAUCCAUGCAUGUGCUUUACAUGUGGAGUAACAUGCGUAAUUUGCGGAUAACAUGAAAGGUACGUAAAGGGCUCAUAUCCUUCGUGUUUAAGAGAUUAAUGGGAGACCGACCAUCUCUAAAGCAAAUGGCAAAGAAUUUGAUGGUUGGUAUCUGAGAUCCAAGUUCGAAUCCUAGUUGAUUACAUUUCUAACUAAGUUUAUUUCUAAAUGAAAUAAACGAAGCGGGUAGCGUGCUACUUAUCUCUUAAAAAAAAAAAGAUUAAUGGGAGGAUUAUGAAUUGAAAAUUUGCUGGAAAGCUCCUCUAAAGUCUCCUGUGAACUCUCAUUUAUUCUCACCUCUCUCUCUCUCUCUCUCUCUCUAUAUAUAUAUAUAGAGUUCGGCUACUAUGCUAUUAAUAGCACAAAGCAUUUGGUACUACCAAGUUUUUCGCCGUUAGAUCUAUCAUUUUGAUCACUUUCACCCAUUAGAUCAUACUAUUCAACCAACCACCCACUCAACUCUAGAGGGUCCACAUCAUCCUGAUCACACAUCUCUUAAUCCAACGGCCAAAAAUUUGGUGGCACUAAUAACUUGGUGCUAUUAAUAGCAUAGUAGCCUAGUUCUCUCUCUCUCUCUAUAUAUAUAUACUUUAAUUUGAACAUAAGACGCGGGAAUGGGCCCUACAUGUUUGUGUGCUCUUGAUAGCUGCAAGUUAGAAUUAGCUUGCUCCCAAUUCCACUCCCAUGGACAAACAGCUAAGUACAGUUACGCAUGGGUGAUUUUUUAAGAUAAAAACACCAAGGUACCUAUUUUACCUGAUUACACUAAUAGUAGAUUUUUUCUGAUAUCAGUUUGUUACAAUUAAAGCAGAAAGAUUUAGUUCGUCGAGUGUGAAAAUAUUAAAGAAAAAGGAUAAGAAGGAGAAGAAAAAUAAAACAUACAAAUAUUUACAUAUUUCGACUACUGGCCUACGUCCAUGGAUGAAUAAGUGAAAACUUUUAUUAUAAUCAAAGUGGUGCACAAAAUAUGCUUUUUUUACAAAACCCUACACACAUAUUUCUCCUCAUGCACUAAAUUAAUAGAACAAAGAUAUAUUUAUAGCAAUAGCUAAAUCUUAAUAUAAUUAGAAAUACAAAUCUACUAACAUUAGGAAUAAUCUCAAUUAGAUAAUACAUAAUUUAAACUUAACUUUAUAAAUAAUUAAAACGGAAUAGCGUUAGAAAAAUCUUAUGGCUUCAGAAUUCGGGACAACUAACAAUGGGGUAGCUGCAUAAGGGUGAUUUUUCUAGAUAAAAACGCCGAGCUAGCUAUUCUAACUCCAUACAAAUAGUCGGCAUUUUUGUGUGGCAGCUUGAUUUAAAAAUCGAGUAACGAAUUUACUUUCAAAGGACAAAGCAACCUCCUCACCAGUAUUAUAUCCAGCAAUCAUACUUCCAUUCCGUAAGAAUAAAUUGAUUGUAUCUUAACAUCCAUCUACUGCUCACCCAGUCAAAUUUAGGUACGGCUUGAGCCAUACAUGGCCCCGUGACAAAAUUUAAAUUCUUAACAUGUAUCUUAGCAACUCUAUGCGCUAUAGUUUUUCAUUAAUUAAAAAACUUAAUUUCUCACCUGAAACAAUGUUAUACGCCAUCUUUGGAAGGCAUUUUCUAAUUUCAUUCACUAUUUCCAAACGUAGUCAUCUAUCUAUUAAUGGAUGAUUCCCAUUUCCCUUACGUUUACACAUACAUUUACUAAUAAAAGGCCUAAAAGGGGCUCCUCACUUGGAAAGAGACGAGAAUGAAUAGGCAACUUAUAGUAGCAAUAAUAAUUCAUUAAUACGUUGCGUUACUUCGGUAAGAAGGUGACCUGCGACGCGAGGACACCGUGAGUAGAAAGUAACGCGUUGCAUUCAGGAAUCAGGAGGACUUUUUUCGAAAAUAAUUUUGUGAAAUUUCGUAUUUGCCAAAUUAACCUUAUGAAAUUUUUAUUUGUGAAACUAAUCCUCCUCUCGCCACGUGGGCGCCACGUCAGGGAUUCCUCAAAAAAACGGUGAAUCAUUCACCGUCUUUGAUAUUUGUUGUGAAGGCGGUGAAUGGUUCACCGUCUUCAUAAGGCGGUUAAUCAUUCACCGUCUUUAGUACAAAUCCCUACUCUGCGCAAAUCUUUCCAAAUCCAUAAUAUGGUGUCCUUGAUAAGACGGUGAAUCAUUCCCCGUCUUUUCUAGGGCACAGAAACGGCGGACUUGAAAGGGCGGAAAGGGAAAAGGGCGGAAAGAAAAAUUUUGCACUAAAGGCGAUGAAUGGUUCACCGUCUUCUAAAGGCGGUGAACCAUUCACCGUUUUUACAACAAAAAUUACAAAGACGGUGAACGAUUCACCGUCUUUUUGAGGAAUUCCUGACGUGGUGCCUACGUGGCGAAAGGAGGGUUAGUUUUACAAAUAAAAUUUUGAUAGGGUUAUUUUGUCAAAAUCGAAUUUUUGGAGGGCCAUUUUAUAAAAAAGCCCAAUCAGGAUCUUGGUCUGACGUGGUAACUCCUUUUUUCUGGGAAUUUCUCGUGGGUUGGUCUGAAAAAGUGAACCGCCCAAAGCCUCUUUUCCAGCUGUUCUAGAUCACUUAUUACUGAACUAGAAAAUCCUGCGUAUUUAAACAUCAGAAUAAAUUAUUUAGCAAUUAUUUUAUUGGAUGUGAAUUUUUGAAAAAAAAUUAUAAUUGAAAGUUAGAAAUAUGGUUGUAUAUUUAGAAUGAAAUAAUAUAUUCCACCUUCAUAUUAAUUUUUUAGAAUAAAAUGAAUGUAAAAGCCCUUCAAAGAGCAAAAUUCAAAGUCCUAUUUUCAAUUUUAAAUAAAAAUUUUCAUACUGAAUAAAUUGACAUUGGAUAACUUAUUCCAUCAACCAAAUAAAACAUAGGAGUAAAUCUUAUGUCCUUCCAUCGAAGAGUUUAGAUGACCUUUUUUAAGUAUUUUAGCAUUAAAAAAAUAGUAAUAGUAAGACUAAUGUGAAACUAUUAGCUUUUGAUGGAAAGCCCUAAAAUUUACAGCAGUUGUGGUGCAAGAAGCAUUGCACUUUACCAUAAUAUAGAGAAAAAAAAAAAAUUAUGAGCAAUUUCAAGCAUACUCCUCAAUUCUCGAAAAAUAUUAUGGAUGCUCUUUCGAAAUUAAUUAUCCCUCUAAACCCCAAACUCAAAGCCUAAACACUAGAAGGGAAUCUGGUUCGGUCCAUGAGAAGGGAAGAAACUAGUUAGCUUAUAAAUAGAGCUAGGAAAAUCACCACAAUCUCUCAACAUUAGGACAUAAUUGUUUGGCCGUUAACUAAUUUUUCAUCUAAAUAUAGUUUUCAUUUAAACUAGAAUUCAAAUAAAAAUCAUUCUUUUACUAUUGUUUGUUUGAUGAAAAACCAAUAACUUUGGAAUUAAAGUUCUCUUACUUUACUUUCUGUAUUUGUUUCAGCCCACAUUUUCACUCUAGCACAUAAAAGGGCGGGCGAAAAAAUUUAUCAACAGUCGACAUUUUAUUGUUUCUUUUCCAUUUCUUUCUCUUCUGUAAUUGACAUCGCCACCGAUCCAAGCGAAGUCAAUUACAGCGUUCUGACGAAGUUGAGUUACGGCCGAACUUAACAUAUGUUAACAUAUGGCAAACCAAACGAAAUUGAAUGUCUCCAGCUAAAAAUCACUUCACCAUCCCCUCUAGUUAGCGGCAAAACAAACAAUCCUAAAUUGCUCUAGCAGAAACCAUCUAAAAAGCACACUCAGAACCUGAUGAACAAAUAAAUUGAGAGGGCAACUAUCAAUUAAAACAAAUUAUUAAGUCAUGCCACCGCCAAUGGUCACAAAAUCCAUAGUUUUCUUUUCCCUUUCAGUAGCAUUCAAGUGGCCCGUGCCUCAUGCAGCAUUCCCCGAGUCUUAUAUUUUAGUGAAUCUCUUCUUAUUAUUUGACUGUUACACACAAUAGUGAAUGAUAAAGCUUUACCAUUUUACUCGAGUGCUUCGCACUGUGUAUCAUAAACAGUGAUGCCCUGAGGUGAACCACAGUUGCCGUCCACGAUAAGUGCUCUCUCAUUCGCAGCCAUGUGCGCAAUUAUCUUGUAAAUCAUCUCAAUCUGAUGAGCCGGCAAAAAUAAAUGUUAAAUGAAUAAUAUAGAAUAAAGCUUAAUGUCCAAGUAUGAUGCCUAAUAAUGAUUGAUAAUAAAUGAGUCUUUCAGGAAUUUUCCUUGUCGUAUAUUUAUGUUCUUCCAAUUUAAACACAUCACCGAUAUUUGAAUAAAUUUUAAUCAAAAUUAUCAUGAAGCUUAUGCAUGUUUGUGUAACUGCACCUAUUUUAACCCAUCUUCCUCACACCUGCUCCCAGGCAUGUAUGACAGUCCAAGAUUGCAAGUCCUCAGCAAAUUGAUAAAUAGAAUGUUUAUGGCUUGUCGUCAAGGUUAUGGUAUGGAAAGCAAAAAAUAUGAGGCCAUGUUUCAAGCACUUCUACGCAGAAGAAUGAAGUUUUAGAACAUAAUCAAAGGAAAUUCAAAACACCAUACUCUGCGGCGAUCGCUCCAACAACCUAGAUAUGGAAACUGUGAAAACUGUGAAUGAUGGUUUCGGUAAUCCAUAAAUUAUUUUUUAAGAAAUCAAUGAAUAUAAAACUACUAAGCAGAAAAUUUUCUAUCUUGCAAAUAACACCGGAAGAUCACUUACAUCUUCAGUGGCAUGGCAACGAUCAGCGAUUUCCGUGAGCGUCAGCGCCUCAGCAGGCUCUUUGCAGCUAAAAGAUAAUAAAAAGUCACACAAUUAUCUAAUGUUACUGGAAUAUACAGAUGCACUGAACGAUUUUCUAUGCCAAGAGCUAAUCACAGUAUAAGAGAGUUUAAGAGAGACUUGGACCCAAACUGGUUCACAUGCUAGAUGGCAAAAAACAAAUAAAAUAAGAUAAUGCAAUAGAAACAUUAAAAGUAUAAAACUCAUAUAAGCUAAUGCCAGUAUUAGGAAACCUUUACGACUAAGUUUGCUUCUGAAGUUCACUUAGUACUGAAUCCUGGACUAGUUUAUAUUUGGCUGAAAGAUGGCAACCAUUUUGUAAGCAUGUGAGACAUAGUGAAGAUUUUUGCCAUCAGCAGCCAUGAGAUGAUUACUGUUACAAUUACUUUGAAAGCAAUCAGAACUAACAGGUGAACCAAGACAAACAACUUUGCACAGAAUGAAGACGUCAAAUAUAAGAAACUUCAAUGCCAAUACAUUUCAAGAAUGAUCACUACUAUCCACACAACUGAGCAUGUUUUUUUUUGGGGUGUGUCACAUAUGAUAAAUGCUAUCUUUAUGUGUAGGCUAAAGCUCUCAAGAUAAUUUUUAUUAGUAAAACCUUUAAGAGUCCAAAAUUAGUUGUUAUGAGUAUGUAGGAAAGUGAAGUCAAGUAAAUUCGUUUGAAAUAAACAUGAAAAUAAUUAUUUUAAAUGUUAAAACUCUGUAUGCAUAUUUCUAGCUUCUAAAAUAACUAGUUGCAAUAGAGAUAUCCAAUUCAGUUCUCAAUGGAUCCACACACAGAAGAGGUCCAACGAAAAAAACUGAAUGCUUUGUAUGCGUACCAGUACUUGAUGGUGGGAAGUGAAACAAAAUCAACAAGCAAACAGAAUAUGUACCUGGCCUCAUUGAGAACAGCCAAGACCCUCUUUUGAAGAGCCAAAACUUCUCCUGCUGCCUUUUUUCCUGCUUCUACGCCUGCAGUAAUAACCAAAAAAUCAGGCAUUGGUGUUUAAUAUGAUAAAGCUAAAGCUUUAAGAGUAUGAUUAUUUACAAUAUUGCCUUCCUCCUAGUUUAUCAAGUAAGCAAUAAAAUACUAAGUAACAUACCAGGCUGAUGGUAAGCAUUAAUGUUGAUGAGGGAAGCAUAUAUCCCAACAGCUCGUUCAUAAAGUGCAAUAAGAGCUCCUACAGAAGUAGGAUUUACUUCUUGCACAGUUACUGUAAUUGAUUCCCUAUCAUUUGCAUAGAGAGCUGAACGGGUACCCUGUACAAAGAGCCUGCUGGCUUUAGUGGUAGACAACAGCAAACUAGUAAUAAUCCAGAAUUCUAGAUAUUGUUGCCAUGUUGCAUAGCAUAGAUAUAAAAAUCUAUAUUAGUUGCCUAUGCAAGACAGAAACUAGCUUUAGAGCACACAGCUAUUAGUACGAAUGUUUCUCAAGAACCAUACUGAAUCAUCCUCAAAGAACUCAAAAGUUGAAAGGAUCCAUCGAAUGUCUGAAUAGAUAACAAUUACUCAGUUUGAACGGCAACAAAACAUGAGAUAAACUCUAAUUAAAUUUAGGCAAGACAGGACUGGCAUCAAACAUACUUCAAAUCAGUUUCUGGAAGAAAGUCAUGGUUGCACAUUAGAUUCAUAUGACAAUGGCAGGAGUAUGUUACCCAGGACGGAAUACAUGGUGGUACGCUAGUUUCUCAGGGACACGGUAGAAGGGGGGUAACAUUAGUCAGAACGUUAUUUGAAAACGCGGUUCAGUCGGAACAUCAAUAUGGAUCGACAUACGUAGAAAAUCAAUAACUUACCUUUGUUACUGUAUAGUUCUUAUCUCUCAUUAAGGUCAAUUAGGUAUUCUCUCUUCUGAUCAAAAGCAACUCUUCCUUUUUUUUCAUAUGGGCGUAACUCUUUUGCAUUAUUUAUUAAGGUGGCCUAAUAAAUUAGAUCUAGAAAAUUGUAGUUCUUCACUGUUCUCAGUUACCCACUUUUUGUGAUCCGGAUCAAGAAUCCAUGACAAAUCAGAACGUGCGAUCUAGAUUGCAGUUUGAAGGGUGAAGGGGGAUCUGUGAUCAUGGUUACUAUGGGCACAACCACUAACAAAAAAGGCUACAAAAAUAGAUGCAAUCGACAUUUACAGUUUGUAGCAGCUUUCUGUGUACUUCAAUGGAAGUAAGAACAGUUAAUAUUAGACCAUGAGCCCGAAAGGAAGCCCAAUAUGAAAACAGAUCGAAAAUCAUUAGUUUCAGAUGUUAAGGAAGAAUAGUCGAAACAAGACCUGAAGCAUUCCAAACAAGUAGUCACCACAUGUAACACCUGGCUCAAGCUCCUCCUCUUGACCAGGAUGCCUAUCCCGUAAUACUUCAAUGAAAGUAGCAAAAAAGUUAUGGACGCCUUCUCUUAGCUGUUGAAUAUAGCUGCAAUAACAAAAUCAAGCUUAUAAGCAGACAUUCACUGAUAUCAAGUCAAACAAGAGAAAAAGUUGCAGAAACUCACGCAUGCUGAUCAGUGCUUCCUUUAUUUCCAUACACAGUUAACCCUUGAUUAACCUGCCAGAAGAAAACAGUCAUUGUCAGCGGCAGGAAAUCUGCAAUAAACCAUUAAAUAUCAUCCUACUAAGCUGCAUCAGCAUAAUAGAUCCCAAGUAGAUGGAUCCAGCGACAUGCACUGGGCAAUGAUAAGUACUAAGUACCAAAUUCAUCCAUUUGCUAAAGUGUUUUUCUCUAUUUUCUGUUCAUGGAAAGCACUCCUUUCGCAAUGUACAGCAAUACGAAGGAUUGAGCUGAAUGAGACAAAAUCACAGCUCAUAAAAAUUGAUAGAGACAAAACACUUGCUGUUAUUGCUGGCGUUGCACAACUGACCUCAAGUAAACAACUGAAAAAUGAGUCAGGCCACCUCAGGCUUUGCCUGCUUAUCACAAAACAGAACUCAAGUCAACUGAUCUAAAGGCACAAUUUGACGGUCAAGUGGCAAUUAGAUCUCAUUUGAGCCGCUUAUAGAUUAAAGUCCUCAAUUUUUCAUGUAUAUAUACCUUGAUUCAAUUGCAUCCGAAAACGAAGUCCACCUUAUGAGAGGUAUUCUACAUCAUGAAAAGUAUUUUGUUGCUACAUGUAUAGUCUGAACUUCUCAUAAUUGGCACUAACUGUGAGGAGGGAUAUAUUAGCCAAUCUAGAUAAUAAAAAUGCAACAAGAAGUGACGUCAAGGUGCCAUUUCUCUGUAAAAUGAAAGCAUUUCUAUUGACUGUGUAAACAACAUAUUUCAACAAAUAACCUCAGCUGAUAAAAGAAUCUUAUAAGAAAAAUCAGUAAUAGAUACCCGAUUCCCAUCAAGAUCAAAUUCUUUUCCAAGAGAUUCCAUGACCAAUUGUUGCAAAUACCGACUAAAAAGUAGUAAACUGUCCUUAUAAGGAAGCACAACCAUAUCCUGCAAGCAGGAAAAAAGCACAGAAGAUGAACCAAACACGCUGAACUGAAUGAGAUGAAUGUAGAAACUACAGUUGAAACAAAAUUAUAUGAGUAAAUAUUGCACACCUUAGAUCCCACACCAUCAGAAGCCCAGUACCAACACAUAGCAAGCAAGGCUGCUGGAUUAUCCUUAAGCUUGAUAAGACGACCAAAUCAAAAGUAAGUUAUUCUUAAUUCGCAUAAAGAUUAAGCAACAUUUGGGGUCAAUAUACAAGAUGUAAAAUAUCUUUACCACAGUAGUCCGAGUUGCCUCAUCCAUCAAGGCUGCACCAGCAAGCAUUUCUUUGAUCUUGAUACCCUGUGAAAGUCAUUACUGAUAUUAGUCCAAAUGUUCACAUUUUGCCUGUAACAACUUUUUAAAAUGACAAGACUACACCUGUAGUGCAGCCGGAAGUAGACCAACUGCUGACAUCUCUGAGGUUCUACCUCCCACCCAGUCAAACAUAGGAAAUCUUGCUAACCAACCCUCUAUUCUUGCAGUAUUGUCUAAUAAAGAAUUCUCCUGAGUGAUUGCAACACCCUGCAGAAGAAUUGGUGCUCUAAGCAAUGGACCAAAUGAGAGUGAAAAUAAAUGAUCAUGCAUGCUUGACCACCUCCGUAUGUAUGAAUUGACUAUCAUUAAAUCCUCCUCUGUACGUAUGAAUUGACUAUCAUUAAAUCCUAAGCAAGAAAUUACUAGAUCUUAUGGUAAAAAAUGGUCUUGAAGGAAACAACUUGUAGUUGCUAAAGAUGGAGAGGAUUCUUUACCCAGCGUAGGGUGUUAGGAUCCAAAUACCAUUGCAUGAAGCCAGAAUUUAGCAGCAAACAUGGUAUGACAGUUUGAAAUUUCACAUCUUCUUCAAAUAAUAAAACAAGUAAAGGUGCUUUCUUUAAAACUAACGUUGUGUAAUAUACUGAAUAUAACCAUUAAUAAACUGUUGUGCCACCAAUAUAAACAGAAAUUAAUAAACUGUUGUCAACCUAUUUGAGUAUCGAGAAAUGAUGCUACACAGAAUUGCGAAAGACAGAUCAUGGAACUAUAAUGAAGAGAGACAGUUGCUAUAAAAUUUACUAGUCAUCUACCAUGUUAUCACUAAAAGAUCUAAGCAUGACCGCAGUUCCAUUCCGCAGCCUUUCUUUGUUCAGUGACAUCAGCCUGACCAUUUUCUUACCAUUAAUGUUGACCGUAUCAUGAACUUUUAACUUGUUUUUGAGAACUAAACAUAACUCUUAUGCCCCGACUAAAGAAAAGGGGAAUAUGACGCUGUGAAACGGGAUUCCAAGUUCAAUAGCUUCACAAAUAUGCUGAAGGGCACAAAAAAAAAGAGAGCUAGCUAAAGUUAGUUUGUUUUUAUUGAAUAUUGAUACUACCGAGUCAACAUUUUGAAUCCACGACCUCACAAAACUGAAGGGGUUUAGAAUUGGUUUUGAUACCAUAUUACCCAAAAGAUCGAUCUAAUAGGAAAUAGACUUGGUAAUAUGAUCAACAGCCCUCCACACAAGUGCAUGAUGAUUUUGAAAGGCACGUGGAACUGACAUGUGAGGUUAGACAUGGGGAUUCAAUCCAUUAGAAUAUAAUGUGGGAAUUUCAAUCCAUUAAACACUGAGGGGGGAUAGAACCCAUGACCUCAUAUAAUAAAGGGUAGGAUUAGUACGUAGUCCUAACAUUAAAAAUGAUGAACAAGCACUUAUAUUGUCCCGAUGUACCCUGAGACAUCCAUGUCCAACUCUAAAAUAGAGAAGAUAUAUAUAAAGCAAAAAAAGAACCUGGGAUUAAAACCUGUUUUGAGAAAAUCAGUCCAGCUUUGCGGAAAGCUCUCUGUACUUCUAACAGACCAUUUCGAGUUUCAGGGGUACCUCCGCUCUGAAAUUACAAAAACAAAAAUGAAACUAUACUACAUUAUGAACAAUUACAAUUCGAACAAACAUUACAAUUCCUCAGAAAAAAAUGGAACAGACCAAAAGGAAGACAAUGGGUAUAUCUUGCAGACCUUAGAUAUUACAAUUACAAGAGUUGAGGCGAGUUCCGCUCCAAGUUGUGCAAUUUGAUGAUCAAUACCGGCUGGGUCUGUAUUGUCAACAAAUCUUAUCUGGCAUGUCAAGGAAGAUGGAAAGAAAAAAUUAACAUGUAAGAACAGCAUUUACACAACAAUUGUCACAGAAAUUGUUGAAUGUUAAUAGUAUCUUGGGAAAAAUGAUUAAAACACACAAGAUAAUUAGCUACAUUGACUAAUACCUCCAAACAAACUGAAAAAAAGAAACAUAGAAAGACAGUGAGUCAGAACAUUUAUGGGUAAAAUUUGUUGCCAUGGUUAAUGGCAUUGCCAAGAGUAGAAUCAUCUUAAUAGGGGUUUAAACUUUAAACAAGACAAGCCUGAACAAUCAUGGUGCUUGAAAUACCUAAAUGACAAGAUCAAGCUCUUUUGAAGCUCAAUUCAAGCUGGGAAUGGUUGAGCUUGAACUUGGCUUGUAACUAUUAUGGGCCAGUACAAGAUCAGCUAGUUAGCUUGGCAAGAAGACUGAAUAAACUGAAUCAAUCUGUAAGCUCAGUUAGGCUUGUUGGCUUGGCUAGCCAGCUCCAAAAUGAACACUGAAUAAAGUUUCCUUUUUUAGAAAAGAAAAGCUCCGAAUGCUAUUUGUUGGACAAAGAUUCGAAUGAGUAGCCUGUGGUUUGUGCACGGAGAAGUUGAUUGUUAUCCUAGAUUGAGCUCAUAUAAAACUUUUAUUGAUUAUUGUACUUACUGAUAUAUACAUAUAUAAUCAAGUGUUUUGAGCUGAGCCCAGUUCAAGCUUGGCUCGUGAAACAAACCAAGCUCAAAAUCUUGUCUUGAGCUGGGCUUGUUUAACAAUUGAGUGAGCUUGGCUCAGGCAAAACCGAAAAUGAGUUGACCUUGAGCAGCUCACAAGCCAUGAGGUUUUUUCACACCUUAACUAAAAGGAUAAAAUAAGACUUUCAGCUGAAGUUAGAGCGAUUUUUCACCAGGUAGCGGCAAUGAGAAGAAAACAAUCCCAAUAGACGCGACUUCAAUUCAUCUCAGUUGCAUCAAUAACUUGGAGAAAAACCAUUGGAGCAGAGUGACUAUCAUGACUUCGAAGAUGCAGGAUAUACCUUUAGAGGAGGAUUGUCAGGAGCCAAUGCCUCGGCAACAAACUGCGGCCCUAGAGCUGAACCUCCAAUUCCGAUAGAAAGUAUCUGGGUAAAGCAACCAGCUGUAGAGGAUGGCGGCUUAAUCUGUUCAUAUAUCAAUGGCAGCAGCACAAGAGAAGCAAACUUUAGUAUGAAAAAAAGUUGAUCGAUGCUUUGUGGAACGCAUGGCAUAUCUAGUAAAGUGCUAGCAUAUAGAGCGGUAAAAGGAAAACAUCUAACUAAGAGGGUGAAACAGAGAAAAUUCAGCUAUGCCAAUCAAUUAUUAACAUUAGUCCACUACUUCGAUGAGAGGGCCCUUAAAAAUUAGAAAUAGUUAGACAAAGCAAUCCGAGUAGAUAUGGUUAUUUUGAUGUAUCAGAUAUAUAAACAAUUUGUGACUUUUACCCCUUCUUGACAUUUAAACUACCAAUGUUAAAAAUGAUACAGAAUAAGUAACAAAUUGCCUGCAAAAAAAGUCGCCUUAACGAACUAACUAACCAAUUCGAAGUCAUGAUAGUCCCUCUAUUCUGUCAAACCUGUAAUAGAUUUUUCUAGGACAUCUUACACAACGGAAGAACCUUUGAUGCGUUCAACAGGCAAAGAAUAUUUUAGCACUCAAGGUGCAAAAAAACGAAAUUGUAUUUCACAAGAGCAAGAUCAUGCAAUGCCAAGGACCGCUUAAACGCCUUGACAAAUGGUGGCGUCCAGAAAUCAUAGGGAUCCCUCAGCCUAAGAGACCGGUUGGGCACCUUGACUACCGUUAAUGAUAGUAGAGAGUCAAAAACUUCACAAUUCCCACUUUUUUUGCCAUUUAUAGAUAUGCCUGAAGUUCAGUAGAUUAACUUAGCAAAGGAAAUGGUAUAGAAAUAUUGUAACUAGCCCUACCUUAGCACUGAUGAUGUCGUCCGCAAAUUUGCAGAUGGCAUCAAUCGUGUUCUCGAUCUGCGACCUCAGGAUCUCGGUCGGCGCGAGCAUAGGGCUCCUGAGCCAGUAGUGGCCCACCAUCCGCCCCUCGUCCGGGUUCGAGAUCGCUCCCUUCUCGAGCUCCUGCAUCGCCCGGAACGCCUCCUGGAACCGCGGCUCCAUCCGCUCGACGAACUCGUCGGUGAACCCGAUCCGGCUCACGUCCAGAUACAGCUUCAGCUCCUUGUGGUGGUACAACCAGCGGACGUAGCGCUUCCAGAGGCGGAUCGGGUCCUUGUCGACGCCCCCGGGCUUCUUCUCGAUGGGAGCGAAGUUUGACCCGCCGGAGGAGGAGGCGGAGGAGCGGGAUAGGUCGGCGACGGAGUGCGGCGGCCGGAACCGGCGGAGGCGGCCGGAGGGGGCGACGAGGAGGGAGGCGGCGUCGGGGCGGAGGGUUCGGGAGGGGCGGGGGCCGAGGGUGGAGGAAGGGGCGCAUACCCCGGGGAUCGACGCCAUGGAAAUCGAACGAGAGAGCUCGAGAGCGAGCCGUAGAAGACGAUGGGGGGGGGGGGGGGAGGCUGGGGGGGUGUGUGGUGUUCGCUCUCACCAAGUGGGGUCAGUGAGGGAGGUGGCACGUGUGGGAGACGGCGCGAGGGCUUCGCACGCGCGGCGGGGCGUCGCUGGCGGUGUCCCCUAGCGAGAGCGGCGAUAUUGGAAAAUCCUUGUUGGUUGGUGUUCGCACACUAUGACGGUCGUUGAUUGGACGGAGUGUUCUGUGGCACCAAAGGUAGGUGGCUCUGUGGGCAAUUAUUUUUCUUUGAAUUCCUACAUUUUAUUCGAUAAAAUUUAAUUAUUUAACAAAUAUGGUUGUAAUUUUAACAUAAAAUUAUAGUAAAAUAAACAAAAAAAUAUGAUAUAAAACUACUUUAUCCCUCUAUAAUAUAUAUUUAUUUAUUUAUAAUCAUCUUAUCUCUUCGGAUUCAGAGUAAAAACGGCCGUAUACGGAGGGCAGGGAUGAAGCCAGAAUUUAAAUAGUAGAGGAGUCAAAAGCUAUAAUUUUUAGAUAUCUACAUUUUAUAGUGUAUAAUAUAUAUAUAUAUAUAUAUAUAUANNNNNNNNNNNNUUUUGAAGUUUAUGCGAUCUAGUUCAAAUUGCCUCGUAUAGCAGCUAAACUUUUAAGGUAGUAGCUUAAUUUUUAAAGUAGUAGCUUUUGCCGAGUCCUCGUGCCUCCGGAGGCAUGAGGAUUGUCGUGUCGUUAGGACUAUAUAUAUAGAAAAUAAUUUAAAAAUUAUUAAUUUUGAAUCUUUUUGAUUGCUAGGUAAAUAAUAUUGAAAAAUCGUAAAAUUUAUUUCCUAGAUACUUCAAAUAUGUUAGAUCAAGUCUAACGGAGCCGAUUGUUGAUUCGAAAACCCAUCAUCAAAAACGGCGGAGCACAGAGACCUCCGUGCUCCUAAUAGCACACAAGACCUACUUUAUAUAUAUAUAGUUUUUUACACUGUUGUUUUUUUUUAGAACUACUAGAUAACUAAUAUAUACUCAAAAUUUAUAAUUUUUAAUUUAUAAUUUUUCAUAUAAAAACCUUUCAAAUGAAGCAGAUUACAUUUACAGGAUAAAUUUUAAUUUGUAAUAUAUACAUACUCCGAAUCUCGUCAAGUAUGAUGUAUGGUGUAUUAGGUGCAUGCAAUUUUAUUUUUUCUUUUUUUCUCUGGUGAUUGACUCUCUACCAUUCAUGUUGUGCCUCAUGACACACUAAAGAACAUUUCAUGUAGGUCACUAUUAUAAUAUUUGUUUAACUAUAAUUUCUUAUCUUUUAAGUCUUAGCAAUAUAAGGGCAAAAAAUGAACAUUUUAAAAGUUGAGGGGGGCCUACAUAUGGCUUCGUCUCUGAUUGGAGGGGAUUUUUUUUUAAAAGAACGAAAUUUGCAUCCAUUUUUCUUUUUUUUUUUUCGAAUGCGAAUUCUGAUACGAAUAAAUGUUGAAUUCCAAAUGUGACACCUCACCUUUUUUUUCUUUCUUGUAACUUUUAUUUUUUAUUUAUUUUUUAUUUAAAAGUAAAUUAGCAAUUUUGUUAAAUAUGAUGGUGUAAUUGGCCAUUAUGGGGCAAGUAAUCCAGUUUUAUUUGCGACAAAAUUAUUUGAACUAUGAAACUGAUAACAUUAUCAAAAAAAGUUGAUAAUCUCUUCUUUGUUUUUUGGCUAAAUUCAAUUAACUCCUAAUUGUUUGGUUGCUAUUAUAUAUAGAAUGCCCUUUAUCUGAAGGGGGUCCUCAUUCAAGAAAGAAAGAAGAAACAGAAGAAAUUCUCUGAAGAGUAUAAAACAGUAGGGACUAUGAUCUUGUGAAGAAACCAGGGACAGCUUCAACAACAAUAAAAGGGAGAAAAAGUAAGAGCUACAUUCUUUGUCCAUUGCAUCGUCAAAAAAUUGGAACAGUAUUUUGGGCCAGUGAAUUGGUGGCGAAGCCACGCAAAAGAAGGUGAUGCGUUUGCUUUUAUGAGAUAUGAACAUGCAUAUCCUGACAGCUGCGCUUCUCGAUUUUACUUUAGGCUAAAUAACAUUCUAUUAUACCACACUUUAGUGUUAUUUUUAUUCACUAUAUUAUUAUUUUCAAAGAUAUUUAUUAUAUUAUUGUCUUUUAUCAAUCUCUAAUUAUAUUUUAAAUUUAUUUUUAUUUUUUUAAUUCCAACUAUUUUUUCUCUUAUAUAUCACUAAGUUACAUUUUUUUUUCUCAUCAAUCUUUACAUUAUUAUUAGCAAAUCUAUUUAUUUUAGACAAAAAUGUAAAAAUUUUAUAAAAAGACAUUGAUUAAAUAGUUAAAAAAAUAUAAAAUGAUCCCUAUGAUAUACUCAUUGAAAGCUUCUAUCAAAUUAUUUUUAAUUAUUUUUCUAUAAUUUAUUUUUUUUUUGUGUUAAAAUGAGUUGAAUAUAUAUUUUGUCACUUUUAAUCAAUAAAUUUUUAACAGCUUUCAUAUAAAAUUGUCAGUUUGUUACUUAUAAUGUAGGGAUUAAAAAAAAAAGGAUAGUUGAGUAGUGCUUUUGAAAAAGAAAAAUAGUAUAAUAUAGAAAGUGAAAAAAAAAAGUAAUAAUUAAGCUUUUAUUUUAUAAAAAAUGUAGUCUCUACUGGAUGCAAUGUGGGCCCAGUACGGCCAAUGUUUUCCAGGCCAAAUGGGCCAUGGCUAGGCCUGCCCAGACCCGUUGCAUAUUCCGAGCCAGGCAGGUUCCGUUCCGGCCCAUUUUUUUUUUAUCAUCUCCAAAAUUCAAAAAACAAAAAUCUCAAUGUUUUUAGACUUAACUGGAUAUUGAGGUCAAUCUAACGCUAUCAGAUAGAAUGGAGUUAAAAAAAAAUAUAUAAGAUAUGCUUCUCCGUUUUUUGAUGGGACCAUAAAAAAUAUAUCGUAACCGAUUAACCGCAAUAUGCGGAACGCAAUAUUAUGUACGGAAACAAACAAGAUAUUUUUUCAUCGUCUUUUUUACAGUACGUAACGUAAUCUUUCCGCAAUUUCAAAUGAAACCUUAGACUAUUAUAAGAAAAUUAUUUGGAUAGAAUUAAAAAAAAACAAAAUUUAAAAACUGUUUGAACAAAAACUAUUUGGAUAGAUGUGUAGGCAUCUUCAACCUAAACGUUACAUUGCGUUACGUUGCUGUGUUUCUACUCGGUAAAUAAAUCUAGAAUCUUCUUUUUAUCAUCGCCACGGCCCACGGGGACGAUAUAUGAUAUCUACGGGAUUCCCUGCUCGUCGGAGUGAAGAGUAGCGCGGGGGGAGAUGUGGUGGGAGGGGUUCAAAGAAGACGACGAAGCCGAGCAAGAGGAGGAGAGAGAAUCGCCCUUAGAUUUCGACUUCAUCUCCCAACUAUCCAAGCCUAAGGUAAACCCUAGCCAAAUCCCUUCUCUUUUCUCUAUCAGACGCACGUUUUCGUAGCUUUGCGCGAUUAAUUUGCCCUCAAUCCUCAUAUUUCCACUGUUUUUUCCGAAUUUUGCGCGGAAUUAGGGCUUUGUUUUAGGGGAAAUUUGGUGAUUUUCCAGGGUUUUUUUAGGUUAGAUGAAGCUCGGUAUGUCAGGGAAACAGUAAAUUAGGGUGUUUGAUGAGUAGUUCGUUAUGAAUUAAGGUUGUGCUUGUUGCGAGUACGGUAGAAGUAUGUUUGGCGAGGAUGUUUCCAUGUUUUCUGCUAUUAAUCCGUGUUGGGUAGCUAAUAUGUGGUGAAUGAGAAUGAUGGGUAGAAAAUUUGAAUUCUUCAGUAGCAGUUAUAUGCUACAUUUGGUGCAAUAUGUUAGCUCGUAUAUUGUCGGUGAUAGUAUUUUUCUUGUGGAUUUGAUUGGUUGCGAUGAAAAGUUAUUGCGAUAGAAAAGAUAAGAAACUGAGAUAAGUGAUGAAUGAUGGAGAUUGAGCCUUCAAUCUUUAUUAUGUUCAUGCGCUCUUCGUCCCAGGCGGACUCGGUUUCUUUGUUGUGUGGUCAUUGGAAGGGCUAAUCUUGUGGAAGAACUUAGGAAUUUUUACUACACUAUGGUAGGCUGUGAUUGUCUUGACUUCACAAACAGUUGAGUAUCACAUGCAUUGAGCAACGCAGGCACAUCUUUCCUACAUUAAUGGAUUUUCUCUUUUUUGUUAAAUAAAUUUGAUGUAAGAAUUUGUUUUCCUUGACCACUUUGGCUCUUCCUGAUGAAUAAUAUAACUCACUGAAUUCACUUAUGAAUAUAUGGAUUAGGAUUAGUAACUAGAAGCACGUUUCUUUGCUACAUGGGUGAAUGAAAAUGAGAGUAGCAGAUAGCAGCUCUAAAGUUUGCUAAGAAUGUAGGUCUUAGUUGACAGUCAGAAAAAAAGAAUGUAGUGCUGUGUUUGAAAUAUAUUGUUCCUAACAAAUUCCUUUGCAAGUGAGAAAGAGUAUAAAAUCCUGCUUAAUGGUUCAUUAUGUAGUUUGCUGAAGGUGAAAAAUCUGCCAUUACUAAUAGAUUAAUUCAGAACUCAGAUAAGUAGCAAUCAAAUACUGCUUAUUGUACAAAAUUUCCUCCCAAGGAAACAUUUUCUCAAUUUUCAUAUUCAAAUGGUUUGCAUAUUUGUGACCUAGCUUUCUUUUUUCUCUCUUUCUUCCUUUUUUUUUAAUAAUAAAUUAGCCUUCUUAUGAAGGCAUGAAACCUUGUGACUAUUGGAAUAGGCUCUAUUCCUGCAAUGUAAUAAUGACACAUAAUUCAACCACCGUCAGAUAAGUGUAAUCAUGUACUACCAUGGUAGAAUUACAUGGAGUAAGUGAGCAGAUGUUAGUAUGUGAGUAGACAUUGGCUGAUAGCACAUCCGCAGAAUGUUCCAGAUUCUAUUGUGAUGCAAGGAACUUGAUCCUUCAAGAUAGGGGAUGGCAAUAUAUUCUAUCUUCUUUUUCUUUUUUUUUUUUUUGUAUUGUUUUCUAUGUGGACUCGUAAAUAUCUUAUACAAAGAUACAUACACCUAAAUAACAUACGAUGUUGAGCAUGAUGAUCUUUUAGGCAAAUAUUGUGUUUUUCUUUUUGCCUUACUGGUACUUUUUUGACGUAUGAAUGGCUAUGUGCAGGAUUAUUACAAAAUACUGGAAGUUGAUUAUGAAGCUAAUGAAGAGACCAUUCGGUCAAACUUUAUCCGGCUAGCAUUGGUUUGUCCUUCUUUAAUUGUCAAAGUUAAAUUUCUUAUUUUUGUAUGCUUAUUUAACAAUGAGUAUCUUUUUGGUUUUAAAAUUCUUCUAAAACAUUGUGGUCAUGCAAAAUUAAUGAUGCUUAUAACAUACUUCAUUUUAUGUGUUUUUCUUCCAAGAAUCACUCUGUAGAUGAUGUUUAACGAUUGUAGUUUGAUGUGCGUGGAGUUCCUCAGAAGAUGUUAUAUGAGUUUAUGACUGUGAUGUUGUUGUUUUUCACAGAAAUGGCAUCCAGAUAAGAAAAAAGGCGAGGAGAGUGCAACAUCAAGAUUUCAAGAGAUUAAUGAGGCAUACCAAGGUUAGCUUGUUUGUCAGUGUAAUAAUGAGCGUCACAAGAACUUGCAGUUUUGCCGUACUCAUCUACAAAUAUCUGCAAAAUGAAUAUCAAAAUUUCUUGCUAAAUGAAUAUCUUUACAGUGCUUGCUGCUUCACAGUGUGGUUGGCCGUAAAUAUAUUGUCGUCGUAUGCAGUUUCUUUAGCCCUUAAUGUGUCGAAAGUGUAUCUUGCCAAGAAAUCUUAUCAUUGUUAAAAGGAGGCAAAACAUAAAUUCUUUUAUCUGCUAAGCUAAUAGAAUGAAUUGCCUACCGUUUAUGUCCUUGAAAUUAAAUUAGAUGGGCAAUGGAGUAGCAAUGCUUCUUUCUGUCAGUCUUUUUUGCCAUCUAGCAGUUUUAAUUUUGUGAGCUAGUUAAUCGCGAAAGUAUGGUCACUGCAAUUGAUAUAUAUUUCGUAUCCACUUAAGUCUUCAUUUGCUUGUAGAAUUUCCAUGAUCUUCAAACAAGAAUAUAGAUGCUCAGAGUUAAUUAUAUUCGUUGAUGACAAUAAUUCUUUUUUAAUUUAUUAACAGCUCAAGCUUUUCUUGUAGUCGCUUACCCUAUCAUAUCCUGUAACGACAAGUCACAUCUUGCUACCUUGCUCUUCAAGUUCCAUUGAUAGAAGUGCAAUUUUGCUCCAAAUUUUUAUCAUGACAUGCUCCUGAUUUGACAUUAUGCACUUUUGGACAGUUCUGAGUAAUCCUGUUAAGAGGCGAGAGUAUGAUAGGAAGGGAAUUCUGCGCAUCCAUGAUAACAAUGUUAUGGUAAGAAUCUCUCUCUCUCUCUCUCUCGGUCUCAGGGGACAGCCUAGCCGAAGAAACUGUUGUGUGUUUAUACUUUCUUCAUCUGCUAAUUUAUCAUAUUCUGACAAAAUGAUUUAUAAGAACCAAUUGCCACAUACCUCGUAAGUAAACAAAAGAGAUACUCUGAAAUAGAUAUUCAUGCACCUAAGAUAUAUUGUCCUGCUAACUGCCGCUUCAGAAGUUCAAGUGUCCUAACCAUGCCAGCUGCAUAGAAACUAUCUAUGUUGCUUCUCUUGUAUCUUUACGACCUUCAAAAGAGCUAUUAUAGUAUCAUAAUAUGAGAUGAAAGACAGUUUCCAGAAAUGUAGUUCCACAAGUGCAUGUGCAUUUACAUUAACCUCUACCUAUGUGGUUUGAAUCUGAAUUGUGUCCAAUCAUUUUAUCAGGGACUGCUGUCUUGAUAUUAUUGGUGCAUUUCUUCUCUAAUGGAAUAAUUAAAUCACCAGGAUGUUAUUUUUCUGAGUUCCAUUGUGUUGAGCUAAUAGCACACUUUCUGUUGCUCCAGAUAUGACGAUGUAGUGUUGGAAUUGUUCUCAUCAGUUGGUACUUUUUGGUUUCAGGAUUACCUGAAUCGGUACAAGGGCUUAAUAUUGACAUGCAACGGUCUUGGUAUCAGACACUCAAUAUGGUAAAACUACAGGUUGCAGCAACUUUUUGAGCGAUCCUCUAUAUGAUGAAUGAUGUAUUACAGUUGGUUGUUUGCGGCUGUUUAGCACAUUAUUUUGCUUCACAGUAGUACGCUAGAAUAUGUGUUGGUAAAGAGAAAAAUGAAAGGCGGAUACCAACUUCCUUUUUAGUAUAUGCCCUCUUCACUCAUGUUGAUUAAAACCCUGAAAUCCUUUUGUAUCAUAUUAAACUACUGAAAAUGUAAUCUGUGUAGAUUUCAUUUAGAAUACUGUGUAGUAGAUUUUUAUUUUUUUAAUUUUUUACUUUUUUUUAUUAAAGACGGGGUUUACCCUAUUGGAGAUGUGGUGGAUAUUAUUUGGAAAAUCUGUCCGACAGAUUGAAAAUUAAUGACAGGUGAAACUAAACUAUUUUCGUUUGACCAGGAGUAAAAUGUUCAUGAACCAAAUCAGUGUACUCUUCCAAAUUCAUUCGUUUGUUGUGUAAAAGCAAUCAUGUAUUAAUUUAUGCAAACCUGUGUUAUUACGUCGGGCUUUUGCAUUUAAUCUGUUGUUAGAUAGAAAAAAAAAAUGAAAUUUGGAUUGGUUUUGCUGUAUAAAAAAAAAUGAGAUGCUGGAAUUGAACAAAACUUAUUUUAUAUUAAUAUACAAUAAGAAAUCUUAAAUUUAAUAUUUAUCUAAUUAUUUGCAGCAUUUCUUAGUUUUAUUAAAAAAAAUAAUGUAAUGUAUGUAAAUUAUCUUUUAUUUUAAAUUUGUUCUUUUUUGUUUAGAAAUUAGAGCAUACUAUUUUCGAUGUUUGAAAAUUGUUUUGGCAUAUUUAUAUUGUUAUUGGAUUGUCGGAACUAAAAGAGUGAUCUGUUAUUAGAAAGAAAUCACUUUUAUCAUAUGAUCAUUAGUCGUUAUUAUGUUUGAAAGAAUAAAUCCGAAUGUUUUUGCGCCAAGCAUAAUGAAUACUGGUAAAGUGACUCGCGCUUUGCAGCGGAUAAAAAUCAUAACAGUAAUUAAUAAUAAUAAAAUAUUAAACAUUCUCUUGUGUAUCUCACUUGGUACAUUCAUUAUAGAUUUCUCACUGUUGGCGGAGGAUAUGGGUCCGACGAUGCCUUCUUCGGUGAUGGUGAUAGUGAUAGCGACGGAGGAAUCGUAUCUCACUUGGUACAUUCAUUAUAGAUUUCUCACUGUUGGCGGAGGAUAUGGGUCCGACGAUGCCUUCUUCGGUGAUGGUGAUAGUGAUAGCGACGACGAUUCCUCCGACCGCGGCGGAAGAGGAAAGUGAGCGUGCUUUCGUGAGAGAGAGAAAGAGGGGGAGCGAGGGAAGGAGGCGAUGGUAUAUAACAAAAGAUGAGAGAUAGAGAAUUGAUGAAUAGAUUGAAAAUAAAGAAUUGAACGACCGGUGGAGGAAAGGAAAAAGACUAUGAUGAAUAAUUGGAGAUAGAGAAGUUAGGAUUGUAGAUGGUAAUGAGACAAUUUAAAUAUACUAAUUGAAAGUUUGGUAGUGAGACUGUUUGUAUUAAUUGAAAAUAUAAUUGAGGGAAGGGAAGGUUAUGAUGAAUAAUUAUAGAUAGAAAUGAUACAAUUGUAAAUGGUAGUGGAACCAUACACUAAUUGAAAGUUUAGUUAGUGGGACCGUUAAAAUGCAUAUUGAAAAUUUGGUGACGAAAAGAAGAAGAGUCAUAUGCUAGUGAAGGUGAAGAAGAACUUGCCACACAACAAAUAUUAGAAAUUAAUAUAGAUUAAUAGAUAGAUUUGGUAUUUAUUUUUCUGAAUAAAUAAAGUCACACUAAAUUUUCUGUAUAUAAUGGCACAAUUAUUGACUUGUACUUAAUAGAUGUUUCUGGAAGCUAGGAUGUUAAAACAAAUACUUCACUGCUUAUAAUUAAAUUGAUCAUUUUGCACAGCAUUUUUUGCUUUUUUUGUCUUGAAAAUCCUUUUGUAAUUUUAUCUUAAUUUUUAAUUUUUUUUUUAUUUGAAAUGUUUUUAGACUCCUAACCCAAAGAAUCAUCACCAUCCCAUAAUAUUCGGACUAACACACAGAAUCCACACCAACCUAUAUUACUCUUUAAAGUUGGGGCUCGGGCCUCCAAUGUAUAUAUAGAUUUAAGUAAAUUUUAAGUUAAGUGACCUACAAUUACACAAGAUAACAAGUAUAUUAUUACUCAUUCUGCAACAAUCAACUCAUCAACCAAUUCAAACAAUUUCCAAAGUUUCCUCUCCUUACAAACAGUCUCAACCAAUCUCGCCCACGUUCCAAUCUCCGGAACAAAUCCCAUCUCGGCCAAUCCGUAGAAUGCAACAGUAGCAUCAGCCACCCUGCCGAUGUCGCAGAGCCCCAGCAGCAGCUCAUUCGAGGCCGCAAAGUGCGGCGCAAAUCCUCUCCCGAGCAUCAGCCCCAGCAGACCCACGGCCCUCUCCAUUUCCCCCCGCGCGCACAAGCGGUUCAUCACGAUCCGAUAGCUAGAGGCAUUCAGUCGAACACCUUCGUGCGGUAAACUCUCCAGCAGACCCAUGGCUUCCCCGACCCUCCCUCCCUUCGUCAAUCCCUCGAUCACGACGUUGUAGGCCACGACGUCGGCUUUACACCCUUUCUCCCUCAUCUCUCUCGCCAAUUCGAUGCCUUCGUCGACUCUUCCCAGCCUACAGAGACAGCCUAUUAACGUGGUGUAGCUCACCGCGUCCGGCGCCAAUCCUGAGCUCCGCAUUUCGUCGAACACCUUCUUCGCUUCUUCCACCUUCCCCUCUUUGCAGUAUCCGUUCAUCAGCGUCGAGUAAUUGAACACGUUGGGCUCGCAAUUGUUGUUCCGCAUGAAGGACAGGACGGCGCUGGCCUUGUCGAGCCGGCCUUGUCGGCAGAAGCCGUCGAUGAGCACGUUGUAGGUCAGCGGGUCGGGCGCGAUCCGGUCCUUGUCGAUCAUUUCUUCGAACAGGUGGAAGGCGUCCUUGAGACUCCCCUGCUUGCAGAGCCCCUUCAUGAGCGUCGAGUAGGUGAUCAGAUUCGGCGGCGCCGUUUUCGAAGCCCGCAUCUCGUCGAGCACUCGGAGGGCGGCGCCGAGGUCGCCGGCCUUGCAGUGGAGCUUGACGACGAUGUUGCGGACGCAGGAGUUGGGGUGUUCGACGCGGGAGAGCAGGUCCCGAGCGAGGUCGAAGCGGCCGGCGUCGACGAGGAGGUUGAGGGUGGCGGCGACGGCGCGGGGGGAGGGGCGGCGGCGGACGAUGGCGGGGAUGGAGCGGAAGAUGCGGAGGGCGGCCUCGGGAGGGGCGAGGCGGCGGGAGAGGAGGAGGGAGGCGAGGGAGAGGAGGGGGGCCUCGUGGAAGCGGCAGGGCUCGCGGCGCAUGCGGCGGAGGAGGGCGUCGACGGCGCGGAGCUUGCGGGCGCGGGCCAGGCGGAGGAGGAGCGCGGAGUAGGUGGCGUCGUUGUGCGCGAAGCCGCGCUGCAGGGCGACGGAGUUGAAGACGUCGAGGGCGCGCUGCGGGUCCUGGGCGCUGGGUUGAUUUGCAGCGCAAAAGCCGCGGCGGCGGUGGGAAAAAAAGAAGUAGCGGCGAGGGGGGCUUUGGGAAGCCGCGGAGCGGAUCCGCGGAAAAAGGAAGCCCUGGAAGCAAGGAACCGGGGGAAAGGUGAAGGUGGAGGGUUUGGGAGGUAUGGAGAAAGGGGAGAUCCAUGCAGGGGAAGGAAGAAUGGGACGGGGAACGGGAAGAGAAGGCUUGGAAACGGAAGGUGGUGACGAUGAAGGUUUAAUCCCCUGAGAUGUUGGAGAAGAAUUUUGCUCUGUUCUGAUCUCUCUCUCGCUCUCUCUCUCUUCUCUGCUCAGCCACGAGAAAAAAUCUAACAAAAGGGUAGCUUUAGUUUUUUGAAAAAUUUGGGUGAUUUAAAAUCUUGUUGUUCCUUUUUUUUUUUUUUUUUUUUUUUUUUUCUCCAUUCAUGUGUUCCUUUUUUCUUUUUUCUUUUUUUUCUCCAUAGACCAUAAAUGUCACUCGGUUAGUAUAGUUGAUAAAGUACUACUGUGUUUAACAAAUUUUGAAAAAUAUGAAUUAAAUUUGAAUUUCAAAAUUUAGAUUUGAAAUCAAAUUUAUAGUAAUUUAUGAAUGCUAAUUAUUUACAUUGAUUUUUAAGCUUUCUCUAGGACUUCAAUCCUAGAUGAGUUUCUAGGACUUCAAUCCUUCCACACAGGAGCAGGGGUGUAAACAAACCGAACACGAGCCGGCUCGUUAAGGUAUCGAGCCGAAAAAUUUACCUCGUGUUCGGCUAGUUAAUAAACGACCCGAUCGCGAGCUGGCUCACGAGCUGGCCAACGAACAAUAAAUUAAAAAGGAUUAGAUUAAAUAUAUAUAAAAAAUAAAUUUAUAAAAUUUUAUACAUUAGACUUUGAUCUAAUAAUUGAAACUUUACAUAUAAAUGAGUCUUUCUAUAAUUAAACUCGCAUUUAUAUUUUUAUUUUGCUAAAAAUUAAAUAAUUAAAAUAUAUAUUAUAUAUAAUUAAUUAUUUAUAUAUAAAAAUAUAAAUUAAAUAAAUUAUAUAAAUAUAAAAUAUAUGUAUUCGAGCUGUUAUCGAGCCGGCCGAAAAAUUCAACUCAUGUUCGGCUCGUUUACUAAACGAACAAGCCGAUCUCGAGCUCAUUUCGAACCGAACACGAGCCGGCUCGCGAGCAGCGAGCUGGAUUGCCACCCCUACACAGGAGUGAGUUAUCCUUGUACAUGAUCGAGUUUCCUAAGUUGCAUAUGUUAUAAGAUAUUGGAGGGAAAACAAAAAUUAAUGUAUCAAAAUAUCAAUAUAAGCUUAUGAAAGGGCGAUAGGUUUCGAGCCCUCCCCGCGUUUCGCGCUCUCCGUCCUCCCGUACGGCGGCGCCCCGCCCCGCCGCCCUCCCGUAUGGCGUGGCGUUACCGUCCUCCGCUCACCCUCCGUCCUCUCCUCCUUCUUUUCGUAGCCGCGACGCCAACGCUGUCCUCCCUCGGGAACACCGUCGCAUCCUCCCGUACGACACGGCGUUGCUCCCCUCGCCGUCCUUUCGUCCUCUCCGCCUUCGUGGUGGUGCCUCUCCGCCUUCGAUCGCCCCGUUGCCUGUCCCGUCCGAUAGCUCUCCGCCUUCUCUCGCCCUGUUGCCUGUCCCGUCCGACAUCCCAUCUGCCUUCUCCCGUACUCUCCGCCUUCUCUCGCCCUGUUGCCUGUCCCGUCCGCCAUCCCGUCUGGGAGGUGGCGUUGUGCCGUCGGUCGUGUGGGCUACGACUUUUCCUCCACCGCACGUUCUCGGCGCGUUCUGCGCGAGCGGGGGCGGGCGGGCGCCGGCGCGAGGGCGCGAGCGGCGCAGGCGUGCGANACCUAAAAAUAUUAAAUACAUAUAAUUAUCAAUAGCUACAUAUAAUAAGUGGCUUUGUGUUGCACAAUAAGAAAGUAUUAUAAAUUAUUUUCAGAAAGUUUUGAUAGUAAAGUCUAAAGUAUUAAUCGAUAAAUUGUAAUGAUUAACUGUAAUAAUGUCAGCCCGUCGCAUGGAAUAGCCCAAUAUGGAGAGAUGCGUAUAAUAUAGUACUUAGGAAAUUCUUAAAGAAAUAUCUCCAAUCCAGCUACCGCAAUCAACGUAAGAAGAAUAAUAUUAGUUAUUAACAUGUUUUUCUCCGGUUUUAUAUGUUAAUGUAUUUGAUUUUAUCUCAGAAGUUCACAAUCAAGUGCGGAAAUAUUUAAAUUGAGAAAGCGAAAAAGAGCUUUUAGGUAAUAAUAUUUUGAAAUUUAGCAUGUAUCAAUUCUAGCAUUUUACAAGUUCUUUUUUCCCUCCGAUAAAAAAUAAUAUACAUUUUUUUUUUUCCCAGUUGUGUCGACCAUUCUGGAUUAGAAGAUAAAUAAAGAUGAUCGAGGUUCCUGAUGCUGAUUAUAUUACUAUUAUCUAUAUACUCUUCAAAACUUCAGAAAUAUCUCAUUUAUUCCUACUUUUUUUUCCUUUCUAAUAUAACCCUCAUAUGUUCUUCCGUUAUUCCAAAAUGCCCUUAUAGUUACCACCUGUUAAUUUAACUUGGGUUAAACGUGAGUUAAUUUCUAUUAGAGUUAAAAAAAAAUUAAAAUGCCUCUUUUGCCCUUAACUUAAGGACAAAUAAGAAAUGUUGUUAAUGACACAUAAUAGUUCUUAUAAUAAUUUUUAGAGUACAAGAGAAAGGAUGCAAAAAAAUGUUCUUUUUGCUAUUAGGCAUAGAGACAAAAGAAAGGUAGAUCGAAAAUCCAUUGCUAAUUUUGGGUGGUGUAUUAAAACAUUUAAUCUCUGUUUUUUUUUCCUAUAAAAUAUACUAACAAGUAAAGCAGUAAAGUAGGUUUUUAAAAAGUCUACUAUUUUUUGGGAAUACAGGGCGACAAAGUUACAAAAAUAAAAUAAACAAUAAAAAUUAUACAUUUAAAAUUUUAAACUAUAAGGAGGUAUAGUAAAAAAAAGUUUAUUUAAUAUGGCUAUAACUUCUGUUUUUUGCUCUUCUUACCAAAGAAACUAUAACUAAUGUAAUGCACAAAUUACUAAUUGUUGGUUGCUGAUGGACUAAUAUAUAGUUCUUGCCGUUGAGUAGAUAGAUAUUGUAUUGUAUACUGAGAUGCAAAAACUAAAACUUCUUUUAGCAGUGGCAUUAAAAAAACAAAAACUAAAGUUUCGUGUCAGUUCGGAAUGAAAUUUUACAUUUAAUUUAAAAUUCCACUAAUUUGUUGAUUUCGAACUUAAAGUCCAAAUUUCGACUUACUGAAUCAAAAUUGAGAAAUAUGCAAACUUAAUGAAUCAAAAUUGCCAUUCGCAAAAAAAUUAAAUAGGUUAUAUUGAACAAAAUUUAUUUGAACUCGAAGCCUGAUGUUUUCCAUUGUCUGCUGAAAUAUUGCUGGAACAAAAUUUAUGUGAACUCGAUGCCGGUGAUGAUGACGGUUUCUAUUAAUGUUUGAAGGAUGGCAUAGAUUGCAAAAUUUGUGCAGCCCCACUUUAAUUGGAAACCAAAUGAGCUAUACUAAUAACGACAUCAUAGUGUGAUCCUAUGGUUAUGUAGUUUGAGAAGAAAUUACCUACUUUGAACUGUACGAUUCCAUGUUGAAUAUCGGUCUUAUAACUGCUGCUUAUAUUUGCCGUCUCUAUUUCUUGUGGUUGCGUGCUCUUUAUUGUCUGUUACUUUCUAGUGCUAAUAAUUUAUGCGAUUAUCACGAGUAUUGGUGUUAAAAUCUCCUGUUUAGUUGAUACCGUAACAGUUGGUUGUUCAAUCUUUGGCCUAAAAAAAUGCCUAACAUAAUGCAGGUGAUAUUUUGGUUCGCAAAAUUCCUUAGAGUUUUUAAAUUUUAAAUUUAUGAAAAUUACAGCUAAUUCUCAGUGUAAAUUAAGUGUAGAAUUACGUGUAUUUAUUUGUCACUGCUUAUGGUUUUCCUGUUGUUGUGUAGAUAAUUUGUAUCAAAUCCUCUGACUUAAAGAAUAUGCAGAACAACUACCAUAAUUUCCUAUAGGCCAUGAUUUCUGUUGGUGUGGCUAUAAUGGAUACAUGAUCAUUUAACUUUUAUUGUUUCUGUGGUUUGUGUAGUUUUGGUAAUUGUAAUGAUGGUGGUAUUUUUCUAUACCAAAAUGUGAGUGAUAGUUGUGUUUUUACUUUGUUGACUUCUUUUCCCUAUUCUGCUGAAAAAAAAAAGUGGGCUUAGGUGGUUACCAUUAGAUAUGGUUUUCUGGAAACACUUGGAUUCAGUCGUUAUCUGUUUUUUCUGAUUAUUUCGUGCAUUCAAUUUCAAUAUUGGUGAUUCUUUCCUUGCAUCAAAGGCAUAGACUGUUCUAAGUUAUUUUGCAUAUAUGCUUGGUUAUUACUGUGCUUAUUACUCACUCUUUGUUGAUGCAUGCAGAUGUGUUCAUUGGAGUUCGUGGCUGCACAAUGUUAGAGUAAUUAGGAGGGCUGAUUUGCGCAGUGGUAGGGUAUUGUGUUACUGUUUAUUCCCUCUACCCGUCCCACUUAUAGUUUUUCUCUUCUCUAUUCUAAUUUUUCUCAUUUGUUAUUGUCUUCUGUUAUGCUUCAUUGUGCUUCCUUAAUUAUAUGGGAUGAAGCACCAAUGAAUCACAGGAAUUGCUUUGAAGCUUUGGAUAGAUCAUUGAGGGAUAUUUUGUGUACCGGCGAAACAACACCCCCGGAUAAACUUUUUGGAGGUAAAACCAUUCUACUCGGAGGAGAUUUCAGACAAAUACUUCCUGUUAUUAUUGGUGGAAAAAGACAAGAUAUAAUAAAUGCCUCAAUUACCAAAUCGUAUAUAUGGACUAAUUGUAUAGUUUUUCAACUAACUACAAACAUGAGGUUGUAUAGAUAUUCAGAAAAUUUGAUAGUACAAUAAGAUUUUUUAAGUUUUGCUAAAAGGAUACUUGAUUUGGGUGAUGGAAAAUUAGAUGCUCUUAAAUUACCAUGUGAAGAAGAGCCUACUUGGAUUAAGAUACCGGAUGAUAUACUUAUUAAAGGUACCAGGGAUGGUAUUACAGAUAUUGUUUCACCAAUAUAUAAUGCACUCGACCAAAAUUAUAAUAAUUGUUCUUACUUAAGAGAUAGAGCAAUUAUCACGCCUGUAAAUGAAAAGGCUGAUGAUAUCAAUACAUAUGUAUUAUCUUUAAUUCCCGGAGAGGAAAAAGUGUAUAUGAGUUCGGACUCAAUUUGCAGCUCAUCAGCAAAUGUUGAAGAAACAGAUGUACUCUAUCCUACCGACUUCUUAAAUUCUCUGAAGUUUAAUGGCGUGCCACACCAUGAGCUUAGAUUGAAAAUUGGAGCUCCGAUAAUGCUUAUGCGCAAUAUCAGCCAAAGUUCAGGAUUGUGCAAUGGUACUCGAUUAAUUAUUACUCAGUUGGCUUCGCGAGUUAUUGAAGUACAAAUUUUUACAGAAAAUUAUGCUGGUCAAAAGGUUUAUAUCCCUCGCAUUGUAACACAUGUUACGGAAACAAAGUGGCCAUUUAUUCUUAAAAGAAGACAAUUUCCUAUUCGACUAUGUUAUGCUAUGACAAUCAACAAAAGUCAAGGGCAGACAUUACAACGGGUUGGCAUUUACCUUCCGAGACCGGUAUUCUCACAUGGUCAACUUUACGUUGGAGUUUCUCGAGUAACUUCACGUGAAGGAUUGCGAAUUCUAAUAGACAAUAAAAAUGAUGAACCCGAAGGAUAUACUUGCAAUAUUGUUUAUAAUGAAAUUUUUAAUGAUUUAUCUUCGUAAAAGGUUUUAGUCUAUUACUUUGAUAGUUAAUCUUGCUUUAUAAUUUGUAAUCAUAAAUAGUAAAUUUUUUUAGUUUGCUAAUUCCUAUACUUAUUUAUAAUAAUUGAAAUUUAUUUAUUGUGUUUUGAAUCAGCAAAAUAUUGCGAAAUGGAAUAUAUAUCUCUAAAGAAUUUGACACUGACACAACAACAUGUCAAAAUCAAAAUCAGAGUCAGCCGAAUUUGGGAAUCGACAACGCCACAGCUUAAGAAAGAUAUUCUUAGCCUAGAUUGCCUUCUUAUAGAUGAAGAGGUUUGAGUUUAUUUUUUCCUCUUAUCAAGUAUAAAAUAAUUUGAUUCCUUUUUUUAUAUAUUAUUUGCUUAACCAUUUUUUUUUUCCUAGGGAUAUGCAAUGCAAGCAACCAUUCGCAAACAUGAUGCAACCACUUUUAGAGCAUUACUUUCUGAAGGCAAUGCAUACAUAAUAGAAAACUUUAAUGUUAUACCAAGUAGAAAUACCUACAAAGUUGUCGAUCGCAGAUAUAUAAUCCAGAUUAGUAAAUGGACGCGUAUUGUUGAAGCAAAAGAAGAUGUUGCUCAGAUCCCUUUUUACAAUUUUUACUUCCUGAGCUUUGAUUAUAUAAAAAAUAAAAAAUAUGUAGAUGGUUGCCUUUUAGGUAUUGCAGUCUCACUUUCUUAUCUCAUUCCCCUUUUUUGGGAUAACUUAAAAAUUGAAUAAUAUCUAAUAACAUUUAUGUGUUUUUAUAUAUCUUCAGAUGUUAUCGGAAAUAUUGUAGCGACGGGUACAAUUUCUUAUACAUAUGUAGGACAAGAACGAACUGCAAUAAGAAAAUUGCAGAUUGGAAACUUAGAGUAAGUGUUGUAGUGUGCUUUUUCCAAAUUUUUGACUAUUUUUUUGUAUUACAGUUAUUAAUUGUAGUAUCAAAUAUUAAUAUAUUUUGUAGGGAUGAAACAUUAUCCGUGACAUUAUGGGACAAAUUUGCUAUUGAUUUUAAUGAUAACCAGCAUCAGGAAAAAGUCGAUGGUCCAGCUAUUGUUGUUUUUGCAAGUAUGAGUGUGCGAACCUACAGAGGUAACAUUGAAUACCUUCUUAUACUAAAAUUUUUAGUUUACAUGUUAUUAACAUUGUCAACAACUAAAUAUGUUAUUGUUUGCAAUUACAGAUCAGCUCUAUAUAUCAACAUGUUCAGCAUAAAAAAUCUACAGCAAUUUGGAAAUACAAGAAGUUAUGGAUUUUCGCAAUAAUUUGUGCAGGUAUUUAACAAUACUUCUUUAUUAUUAAAAAAACUUCUCUUUGGAUAUUUUCUAAUAUGUUUUUUUUUACAGAAGACAAACACCAAUUGCACCGAUACAACAUAUCAAAUCUUUAAAUGAGCCAAUCCUCAGUCCUUAUGAACAAAUAUCCAGAAAUCGCAAGACUAUUGAUAAACUACUGAAGUUAAAUCCAGAUGAAUUAGAAGUAAGAAUAUAAUAAUGCAAUUUUUUUUGGAGGUCAAUUAUUAGUCCUAAACUUUUAUUUCUUUAUUUUUCAACAUGUGAAGCCUAUUAUUUUAAAUAAAAAAAGAUUGUAUCAGCUUUUAUUUUCUUAUACAGAAUUCGAAAUACACUUGCAAAGGAAAGUUGGCGACAGUAGAUACAACCUAUGGUUGGUGGUAUAAAGCUGUUAUGAUUGCAAAGGAGCAGUGAAGGACUAUAAUGAUAGUUUUUGGUGCAGUCAAUGUGGAAAAAAUGAUCAGGCUCCUAUUCUGUGGUAUACAUUUACCAAAUAUAGAUAUUUUUAGUUAAUAAAUAAAUACGUAAUAUGAAACUAAUAUCUGAAUAAUUUUGCAAUCAGGUACAAACUAAAUGCUAUUGUCGAGGAUGAGACAGGAUCGGCAAACUUCACAAUUUUUGGCAAAUUAGCACAAGACCUAAUACAUGCGCCUGCUCAUCAUCUUGCAACUGCAAUCAAUUCAGAUCGAAAUGUUCUGCCUACUGCUAUAAAAAAUAUUCUCGGUCAAACUUAUAUUUUUCAAGUCUUAGCCGAUUCUCGAAAACAUAAUAUUGGUGUGCCAUCAUUUAGAGUUGCAAAAAUUUUUGCACCUGAUUUAGAUACAAAAGGAAAAGGUAAACAGGUCAGCACAAAUACUGAAAUAACUGGAGAAGUAACUGAUACAACUGCAAUUGCUACUGAAUCUCAUUAUGGAUUAAAUGAAGUAUCACCUUAUCUAACUGUGGAAUCAUUGUGAGUAUUCCAUUUUUUGGUUUAUUGUCACCAAUUUAACUUAUUAAAUUGUAUCUCAAACUAUUUUUUAUAUUAACUUUAUUAAUUUUUUUCCAGGAUUACACAACCAAGCUCAGAAAUGCUUCAACUGAACAAAAAAAAAAGGCUUUUUAGGUAAAAUAAAAACAAUAAUGAUUUUUUUUUUCUGUUUUCUUUAUACUGUUAACUUUUUGUGUGACAAUAUCGCUAAACUUUUUACUAUUAUUUUCAGUUACAUUGAAGAUUCUACAUCCGACAGAGAAUGAAGCCUAUUACUAAGUAGUAUAAAUAUUAUAUAUCUUUUUAAGGAAUAUGUUUUGAUAAAUAGCGUGUACUUAUAUUUCUUUUUAAGAAGUAUGUUUUGAUGAAUAAUACACACUGUGCUCAGCAGUUACUGCUUUAUUAAGUAUUUGCUUAAAUACCAGACACUUGUAUUAGUAUAUCAAUACUUAAAUUGGAUUCAUCCUGUAAACUCUCUCUUUCCACUCAAACAAUCCUCUGUGGAAUUUUAUUAGAAUGAUAUCUGUUCAACCUUAAAUGCAAACUCACCAUCUCUUUGUGGUUUUACCUGUAUAAUAUGGCUGCUGAUUAACUUUCUCAUCCAAAUCCCAGCAAUAAUCGCCCGUAUGAGACCAUGAGUUAUGUUAAAAUCUCAACCUUCAAAAUUAAUUGCAAAACAACAUCCAAUACAAACCUAAAUCUGGCACAAGUUACGCAACAGUCCUUAUUGUUGUUACUUGAUUCUAAUGUUGUGACACACCCAACAUAAACAUACUCAAAUAAGAAUAAACUACAUCACGAAUCUAUCUCUAACAUUCUUUAACAAACUUAAGAAUGCUUAUGCUGUUAGUAAAUACAACUUUGCAUGGAAGGUCACUAAGGAGAGUAUAUAAAUUGUAUAUGUAUAUGAAACAAAUUGAACAAUAAAUCCCAUUUGUUUUAAUGUAAUUAGAAAAUCAACAUAUGGAUUAGAAACCUUAGGACACUAUCCGCAUUCCACACUGCCGUUGCAUCCACCCACCUCUUGUGGGACGCACUAUUAUAUUGAUUUUUCUUUUUUACUUCACCCUAUGAUAUCUCUAUUUCCCCUAAACACUUUUUUUGGAGAAUUCUUUUGCGUACCACCUUUUAAACCAUAAAUGCAAACCCGCCGUUUGUUUACGCUUUUACUGUUUCAACUUGAACUAUUAACAUCAUUUUUUUCCCAUACCUAAUUAAUGACAUAAUAUGUACGUAUAUAUUUAGUAUUAAUUUGUUAUAAAAUAAUUAAUAUAGUUAUAUUUGUUGUGUUAUUUUUCUAAUACCUUAAUGAUCAUUUUUUUUGAGAAUAUAGGCCAAAUUUGGCGACUAUGGUAGCAUACAUAAUAUCGUUUAUGCUAGGAGUGUGCUUCCUCCUUCCCUUAAUGGACUGCCUCUGUCACAAAUACCAUUACUGCUCUAGCUACGGCAAAAAUGUUUUCUCUUUCUGUUAUACCUUCCUUUUCUAAAUAUACUCACUACGGAAAUAAAUAUUAUUCCAAAAUAUUAAUGGAUAAUAUUAAAAAUAAUAUUAAUAGUUCUAAUAAUUAACUAUUAUAUCGACUUCCCGUCACAACACGCAGGAUUCCGUUUACCUUUUUUUUCUAAAUAUACUCACUACGAAAAUAAAUAUUAUUCAAAAAUAUUAAUGAAUAAUAUUAAAAAUUAUAUUAAUAGUUCUAAUAAUUGACUAUUGUAUCGACUUUCCGCAGCAACGCGCGGGAUUCCGUAACUAGUUUAUCAUAACAACGUUUAACUUAUUUUACUGUUGUUUUUUAACAAUAAAUAAUUUAUUCCUAAAAUUUUUAUUUUUAAAAAUCUUGUGAUGAAAUUGAAAGUUAUAACAACUACGAUUCAAUUCAAGUGAAUUCAAAUUAUUUUUAAUUUAUCCAAAUUUAAGAAUAAUCAAAUUUUUAUAUGAUGGUCCUAUUCAUCCAAACUCUGAAGUAUAAUAUGUUGUCAAAUUUAAUCUAAACACUUAAUCCAUACAAACUGAAAAUAAAAAGUAUAAUCUUACCAAAUAAAUAUUCUUGAUUGGGACUUUUUGAUUUAGUUAAAUUGAUUUUCGCCCGGUUCCCUUGUGAUUAUUGUAAAAUUUUGAUUUUCGGUUUUGAUUUGAUUUGAACUUCAAAACCAACCAAACCGAAAACAAAAUAGCUAUAUAAUAUAGCUCUCUCUAUAUAUAAUAUAGAAAUGGAAUUAAUUUUCUGAGAUGUUUAUUAUAUCUUUUGAAAAAGAGGAAAGUAUGGAUGACUUGGAGCCACGGCUAUAACUUUUUUUUAAAUGACAAUCUUUUUUGAAAAAUAAUAAGUAAAAUUGUGAAGUUGUUCAUAACUCUCUGAAAUUUUCGUGUCAAUCUCACAUCCCGAGUAUAUGAACAUAAAAAUUUUGGAACAUAAAAAUUUUGGAACAUGAAAAUAUACAUCUGAACAAUAAAAUAAAAAUGAUGAAAUCAAUAAACCUAACCUUCUCGAGCUAACUACAUGAAAAAGAAAUACCACCAACCUUCUCGAGCUAACUAGAUGAAAAAGAAAUACCACCGAAAGAAAUUUGCUAAAAAUAUUAAUCAAGAGUUCACAUACCCAAAUUGGAUACAAAAAUAGAGUUCACAUACCCAAAUUGGAUACAAAAAUUCCAUAUAAAUAACUACAGAAGUACAAAACUAACUAGAUUAACAAGCAAGAGACUAACAACUCUAUCAUCUUUUUAGCAAGAAAAUUUCAUCAAACUAACCAUAUAGAAUGUUGCUAUUUAUCAUCUGUCCCGAAUACCUGCUGUUUGAGCUCAUCAAUUUUGGCGAACAAUUCAUCCCUGUUGCUCUGCAUAAUAUAUACAAGCUAGUUAUAAAGGUGAUCAGAGAAUAAACAGCUAGUAAUCUUCACUAAUAUACCAAUUAAUUACCUUGAAGAUCAGAUAGCGAGAGCUGAACCAAAUGGUGAAGCCAAGGCCUACUAUUUCCAUCACUUUAGGAAACUGUUUUCCAAGUGUCAAUUUACGGAUUAUUAUAAAAUAAUUAACCAAAUCUAUUUGCUCUUUAUCUAAAGUUUGCUAUUUUUUACAAACACAAAAAGAAUAUGAAAAGUACAUACCACAGGGAGAGAAUCAAUAGCAGAAAUAAUGGCUGACGAUAUCCACAGAGCAACCAAAGCAGUGGUUCCAUAGAUGAGGAUGCUGGAUGUGUCUCCCAUGUCCAACUACAUUAAGCAGUUCCAACAAAGCAAUUCCAUUAACUUAGGAGUAACAAACACUAGUGAUUGAGAAUGUUGCCUAAAAGUAAGCAGUGGUCCCUUUUCUAGCCACUUGCAAGAAUAGCAUUAUCAACCAGUAAAGUUGCGUAAAAGAAACUUGUUUAGGCUCCGUUUUAGAGAUCCAAAUCAGCCAUGUGUAGCUAUAUAUAAGCUGGUCAGACUUAACUCAAUUCGAGAUACGGUUCUAUUAAAUGAUCAAACUGAAAUCUCAAACAAUGCAAACAAACAAGUCAAGCCAAACCAUUCAAAUAACAAAGGCAACUUCAUUCUUGGGUUGCUUGAAAUCAAGCCUCUAUGAAAAUUUUUGUUCUUGGAUUGUUUUAGAAACAUUGAACGCAGCAAAGUCCAAGGUAAGCCAAGUCCAAGUGAAUUAUUUUUAUUUAUUACUUUAGGUCCAUUCUUUUGUGAAGAACCCCCAUCUCACUUGUAAUAUUUUGGGUAUCUCAUUGAUCCUACCCAAUGGUUGGCGGUUUCAGAUUCUAAAACCCAAAAUUCAACCGUUCCCACUUGCUUAGAACUAAGAAACAAAAUUUAAUUCCUAAUUCCAAUAUUGUUGUCGCUUGCAAUAUUAGGACAUCAUUCUGCUAAACGGUUAAGGGUUUUCCCACGUGAAUUUGCAGUACUGGUUCAACUAAUUGAAACAGCCAUCACGGUAUCAUGUAUUAGGGCAUCUACAUCUUGCUCUCCCCAGACUACAACCUCAUUUAUGUAUCUAUGCAUUCGAGCACUAUGCCUGUUAAAUGCCUUAAGAUUCGACCUCCAGCAUUUCUGCAAACAGUACAUGUCAUCAGACGCUAGGCUAAACCCUUACUAACAACUGCGCCUUCUAGAGAGCUGCGUGUUAAUCCCUUGAUGUCGCAAGUCUCCGCCAUCCAAAAAUUUCAUAAAUUUCAACAGAAUAACUUUGCCUAAUAGAAAAAUGCAUGUUAUCUAAAUAGUAUCAUCAGGGCGAAGAGUUGGAUGCAAACUAUAGCAAAAACACCAAAGAAUCAUUUUCCAAUAAGAGCAUUACAGAGAAAAAAGUUAGGGUUGGUGCAACUGUGUAGUGAAGAAGUAGUGAAUAUGAACAUCACGAGCAUGCUGCAAGGAUUAAAGCUUGGUCUGGAAGGGUCAACAAAAGAGUCUUAGCCUACGAUAAAUGGAAGCAGUAGUUGUAUUUUACAGAUUCCUUUAAUAAAGCUGCAUACAAGAAGAAAGGGUGAGUGUGAAUUUAUAGACCCCAUCUUCCUCAUUUAGGUAGGGACUAAGUUCUUUUAGAGAUCCAAGUUCAAAUUAUCACUAAUUCGGCAAUGCUUCAGUACCAACUCCAAUGAUUUCUAUCAUGCAUCUUAUGCUCAGUUAAUCAAACAUGCACAAAUCCAGCAUCAGGAACUGAUUUUGACUGUAUAAUAAAAAAAUAUCUCCAAUUCGCAAGUUCGUACUAGUAGAAAUGAGGAAUUCGUUCUCUGAGACAACAACACAAACACAUUGAGCAAUACCUUUAGAUUAAGCUGAUCCAAAAAGUUACCACUCGGAUUCUCCUCCCCAUCACCCAUAUUAGGGGACGAUUCUUCCCCAAAUCCCCCUCCAUACGAGCUCUUCUCGAUCUUCUCCGGCGCCUCGUCGUUCCCAAACUUGUUCGACACGGCCACAGUGGCCGUCGUCUCCUCCGAAGACGUCGACUUCGGCCACUCCGCCCCGGAGAAACACAGCCCUAGGAUCAACCAUGAAGUGAAGUGAGAAAGGAAGAAACUAGGGUUUUGACGAAGAUGUUUGAUUCGUUUCAAUGCUAUAUACCUUGCUUCGAUCGGGAGAGUAGGGUUUUUGCGUGAGGGAGCGAAGGGGUUGAUCGCGGAGGGAGGAGGAGAGGGGGAUUGGGGACGAAGAGGCGACGGUGAGGGAGAGAGGGGAGGGCGCGUAGAGGGGAUGAGGACGCCAUUUUUGAGCCUGGGACGAGGUAAAAGGAAGCGUCUAAUGAGGAGUCGCUACGGUCCUUGUGAAUUGGGAUUAUCGUUUAAGGUGGUCGCGUAAGGCAUGUUAAGGUGCGAGAGUUGGAAAUUACCACCUAAACCCGGUGUAUCCGUACACCUCCAUUUUAUACAAAAAUUCUAAGUCUAUAGUCUAUACUCCGUAGUAUAUUUUACAACAUCUUUAGAGAUUACAUAUCAUAUAAAAUUUAUCUAAGUAUCCAAAAUUCAUUAUUGUGACAUUAAAGUUCGAGAAGCAUAUAUAUCGGAGUCAUUAUUUGAUUAUUAUGAUAUGCAAGUCCUUUAAAUAUAGAAUAUUUUUAAGGAGUUAUAUUCUAAUUUUGAGAAAAAAAAAAUCUAGAAUAUAUUUUGCUGAUGUAACAUUUCUAUCUAAUCAGAUUAUUUUUCUUUAGAUUCACCAUUCAAUCAGAGUUAUUAAAAAAAUAUUUUAUUAUACUUCUUUUAACUUGCUUUGGCCGCAUGUUUGGCUGCAGGAUUGGCUGGUUCCAUUUGCUUUUUUACAUCAAUGUUAAAGUGAUGGUGAAAAAAGAUAUAUAUACUCAAAUUAAAUUGUGAAAACUUUAAUUUGGUUUUAGUUUGAAAACAAGGAUUUUAAAAGCUAACUUUGAAUUGCAGGAUAAUCCAAUCAAUCAAGAUGAGCAUUUUUAGCAUUUUUUUUUUUUUUUGAGAGAAGGGUAGCAUGCUACCCGUUUCGUUUAUUUUUUUUAUUUAGAAAUAAACUUAGCUGAAAAUGUGAAUCAACUAGGAUUCGAACUUGGGUCUCGAAUAUCAACCAUCAAGUCCUUUUGCCACUUGCGUUAGGAACGGUCGAUCAUUUCUAACAAUUUUGAUGUGCUAUCUCCGAUGUUAAUGUUAAUGCAUAUUUUGCAAUCUAUUUUACGCUAGAUCGUAUUUUUGAAUAAUAUGAAAUCAGAGUCAAUUUUAGAUUUUUUUGGUUUAGUAAGGUCAUUGGUUCGCUUGCCCUCCUCGUGAGAAGUACCUGUCGAGCCCGAGCAGAGCCGCGUUGCUGUGAAUGCUAUGGUCACUUACAAGGAGGCAGAGGUUUAGGCAUCUCAAGCAUUUAUUAGAGUACUAAACUGUGUUCAUUAUUUUGCGUCACAUCAGAAAAGAACAUGCCAAACCAUUAGUCUCGGAACUUGUGUGAGUCUUACUUUGAUUCUCGAACGGGCUCCGUUGCCACCCAUUUAUUUUCGAUGAUAAAGCCUUCAAAUCGACGAUGCACCGUUGAAUAUGAUCUAUAUCACUUGAAGUGUUUAGAAUCAAAUUUCAUACAUUUUCGAUAUUGUUCUCUUAUCCAGCGAGUGAACAUAAAAAUGAACGGCUGAAAAUGAAUAUUCUUUAAAAAAUGAUGGUAGGAGUCUUGUAAUCAAGAUCAAGAGUAUAGAUCUUGUUUUAAAUAGGUUAAAGAAUUUUCUAACAAAAAUUCAAUUGAUUUGGAUAUCUUUACGCCGUUAAACGAGAAAACACUUCUUAUCGACCAUUAAAAUUACAAAUUUUGAAACCCUUUGAUCAUUAGGCAAAUGAUGUCAAAAAGAUUUAAAAUUUGAUUCCUAAACACUUCAAGUGGUAUAGAUCAUGUUCAACGGUGCCGAUCGUCGAUUUGGAGACUCUAUCAUCGAAAACAAAUGAAUGACAACGGAGCCCGUUUGCUAUCGAUAGUAUUCUAGCUCAACUCUAUAUAUAUAUAUAUUAUUAUUAUUAUUAUUAUUAUUAUUAUUAUUUUCCUAGAAAAAUCACUAAAUUCUAGAGAACCACUACCAUCCCACUUCCUUUAUGCUUCUGAAACUAUAAUAACUCUACAUUAUAUAUAUAUAUAUAUAUAUAUAUAUAUAUAUAUAUAUAUAUAUAUAUAUAUAUUAGUAGAGUCAGAAUACUUGUAAAAGUAUCCACAAGUGAUAUUUGUGUGUUUUUAGCCUUUGAUGGGAGAUGUGAGGUUGCAGAUGGAUGUGGUAGGUGAUGGUAGGUGGUGGUAGGUGGAAUAGUGUUUGAUCCAAGGCUAUUAGUAUAAAAAAGUAGAUCCAAUGCUAAAAACACACAAGUAUCACUUGGUGAUAUUUGUAAAAGUAUUCUAGCCCUACUCAUAUAUAUAUGUAUAUAUAUAUAUAUAUAUAGUUGGACUAAUAGCAAAACUCUAUUGUUGCUACAGUUUUUUAGCCUUUAGAUCAGCUCUUUUCAUUAUUUCUAACCAUUGGAUUAAAUACAAUAACAGUGGGACCACUCAACCCUAGGGACUCAACUCUAACUGACAAUAAUCUCCGACCUUACAAUUUUUCAUCCAAGGGUCAAAAACUGUGAUAGCAAAAAGGAGCAUUUUACUAUUAAUAGAUUCCAGCCUAAUUCCAUUAAUAUUAUAUAUAUAUAUAUAUAUAUAUAUAUGGCUAAAUUAUAGAAAACCCCCUAUAAUAACCCGCUUUUCCACUUGCCCCCCCCCUGACAUUUAAAAACCUACACUUUGCCCCUUUGUAAAAUAAAAAAUGUGCACUUCACCCCCUACCGUUAGGGUUCUGUUAUAAAAUAUUUUUUUAUGCGAAAAAUAUCCCUCCGCCCUCUUCCUUGUUGCUUCGCCUCCCUCCGGCUCGCCGUCCUCCACUGCCUCACCCUCGCCCACAUCCCCUUCGCCCUCCUCCACCGUCUCGCCUUCGCCCUCGUUGUCCUUACUUACCUCUCCAUCAACACCCACCUCGAUUUCCUCCCUAUCGAAAUCGAGGGGUGGCGAGGGUGCAGGAGGAGAAGAAGAGUAGGUGGAGAAGGAAAUGGAGAGAAAUCGCGGCCGAUUGAGGUGGAAAUCUCGGCUGAUCGAAGGGGCGGCUGAGGAAGAUGUGGAAGAAGACGAAAAUGGCGAGAGGCAAAAUUGUCAUUUUACACACCGUAACCCCCAUGUGAACAUUUUUCAUUUUACAAGGGGCACAAUGUAGGUUUUUAAAUGUCAGGGGGGGAAAGUAAAAAAGGGGUUAUUACAGGAAGAUUUUUUGUAAUUUAGCAUAUAUAUCUAUAUCUAUACUAUAUAUAAAAGCGUAUAGAAAUUCCGAUAAUGACAGACAGAAUCCAAAAAGGAAUAAAAUAAUAUUCCCUACGAAUGUUAAAAAUAUCUCAAAUAAAAAGAUCAAUCUAUUAAAUUUCUACUACAUAUAAAAAUCUAUUCCCUAUAAAUGGUUAUGAUCAAUUUGUUAAAAAAAAUCUCAAAUAUGAACAGUUAUAAUCAAUCUAUUAAAAAAUAGUAUUUGCAUGCAUCUAUAAAUUCAAUACUAUGAACGAUUAUAAUCAAUUUGUUAAAAAAUAUAUCAAAUUAAAAUAAACGGUUAUGAUCAAUUUGUUAAAAAAUAGCAUUUCUAUUAAUCUAUUUUAUAUUAAAAUUAAAAUUUGAGUUUAAAUUAUAAAUUAAAUUUAAUAUUUAGAUAUCAAAUUUGAAUUAAUAAUUAAUUUUUUUAUUACAGUGGAUCAAAAUUAACUUUUAAAUUUUAUAUUAAAUGUGAAUUAAAUUUUGAUGCUUUUAGUUUAAAACAUAUAUUUAAAUUUGAUUCAUCAAAAAUCAAAAAGUAUAUAAAAAUAUUCUAUGUAUAUAAAUAAAAGAACACGGUAGGAUAUUAUAAAUAUUUUCUAAUAAAAUAUAACACAUUGAUUUAUAAAUAUAAUUUUUCUUGUAAAAUUUUGGAUAUAUAUAAUGUACAAAUUUAUAUUGAUUUGAAAUAAAUUAUAAUAAUUAUUACGUGCAUUUGUACGUACAUUCAACUAGUAUAUAUAUAUAUAUAUAUAUAUNCGGCACACUACGGCCAUAUAUAUAUAUAUAUAUAUAUAUAUAUAUAUAUAUAUAUAUAUAUAUAUAUAUAUAUAUAUAUAUAUGAUCUAAUUGCAUAAUAAAACAAAGUUCACAUAAUAAAAAAUUUUAUUCAUUAUGAAAAGCAUUUUGUUGCGACAAGUAUGAUCCGAGCUUUUCACAAUUGACGCUACCUGUGAGGGAAAUUACUAGCCUAUCUAAAUAAUAAGAGCGUGACAAGAAGUGACGUCAUGGUGCCAUUUUCUUUCGUAAAAUGACAGCAUUUCUACUGAUAAAAUUUCUGCCGAUUAAACUUCAGCUGACGCUCCCAACAAAAUUUUAUAUGGAGUUUAGGACCCUCCGCUCGGCUGCCAUGUGGCAAAAUAUCCAUCUAAAAAUUUAUUGGAUAUUUUUUAAUAUUAAAAUUUUUAAAAGAUUUCUAAAGGUGAAUUAUAAUCUUUGUAUGAAAGCAAAACUAAUACACGAUAAAGGAUCAAUGACACUUCAAUAAGGAUUCAUUGAGGAGCUCUCCGCAAAAGUUUUAUUCUAUUUCUACUACUUGCGCAAACAAAAUAAUUUCGACAAUCAAUCUCAACUGUAAGACUGGACCGAGGCCCUUUGACCCUUCAUCGCUCUGGCCCAUUUUUUUGUAUUGAAAUUUACUCUGUUGCUUCCAGUUUUUUGAUUUCGAAACGGUAAGUGUAGGGUAGUCUUUUUUAUCUCUUUUGUAUCUUUGGGACCUAUUAGGAGGUCUUAGCUGCCUCCAUCAUGUACGCUUAGGGCGUGUUUGGUUCAUCCAUUUUGGAUAUGGAAUGAGAAUCGGUUUGAUCAAAUCCGAUUAAUUUUGUUUGGUUUGCAUGAAUCGAUUUGGAGUUCUUAUUCCGGAUUGGAAUGAGAAUGACCCAUUAGCCUUCAACUUGAUUCCGGUCUUCUGGCCCGGAUUGAGAUUUCAUUCCGAAAGCCCACUAAGUUCUCGAAGCCCAUGUGACCAUCUCACCCUCCUUCUCUUCACCCCUUUCUCAUCAAAAAAAAAAAAAAAAAAAAAAGUUAUCCUCUCUCAAAAUCCUAUCCCUAACUCACAUCAAUGAAAGUUUUUUUAAAAAAUUUGAUUUUUUUUUUGAAAAACUUAUUAGAGAAAAGUAUUAUAUUUUUUAUAAAUUUUAAAUAAUAUAAAUUUAUAUUUGAGAGUACAAUUAGUAUUAUAGUAUCCUAUAAUUCUUUUAGUUUAUACGAACCAAACAAUAAAAUAUGAAUAACUCAUUCCAAUUUCCAAUUCAUAAAUAAACCAAACAUCUUUGGGAAGUGGGCCAUUCUAAUUACCAUUCUAAUUCAUUUCCAUUCCAUUAUCCAUUCCAAUUCCACCCCUGAACCAAACAAGCCCUUAGUUCAUUUCACUUAAUGAAUGAAGCAGCUAGCUUGCUACCUAUUUCUCGAAAAAAAAAAAAAAAAAAAAGACAAUCAAUCUCAACUAAUAAAAAAAAAAAAUCUUAUAAUAAAAAUUAGUAAUAAAUACCCGAUUCCCAUUAAGAUCAAAUUCUUUUCCAAGUGAUUCCAUCACCAAUUGUUGCAAAUACCGCCUAAGGAGUAGAAAAUUGUCCUCAUAAGGAAGCACAAUCAUGUCCUGUAAGCAAGAAAGAGACACAGAAGAUGAGCCGAACAAGCUGAACUGAACGUGAUGAAUGUAAAACUACAGUUAAAAUAUAUAUAGAUCUACGCUUUUGAUCAUUUUCACCCGUUAGAUUAUACUAUUCAACCAACCACUCACUCAACCCUAGGGGGCCCACAUCAUCUUAACCGCACAUUCUUUAAUCCAAGGGCUAAAAAUUUACAAGCACCAAUAACUUGGUACUUUUAAAAGCAUAGGAGCUCAAUUAUAUAGGCCGACCCUAUGAUAGCUAUCGUACUUCGUAAACCACGAUAGUUCAAAAGACGGCAAUCUAAAUGGAGAAAAUAGUAAAAGUAGACAAGCUAAUAUGAUAAUUUGGUUGGUGGGUGAGUUGGGAUCCCCUGGGUAUAGUAGGAUUGGCGUGUAGAAAAUUAGGUUCCCAUCUUUUGAAUUAUCGUGGUUCAGUAACCACGAUAAUUAUCAUAAUAUCGGAUCAAGAUAUAUAUAUAUAUAUAUAUAUAUAUAUNAUAUAUAUAUAUAUAUAUAUAUAUAUAGAAUUAUGCUACUAUACUAUCAAUAGAACCAAGCCCUUGGUACUAUUGAGUUUAUAUAUAUAUAUAUAUAUAUAUAUAUAUAUAUGAGUAAACAUUGCAAACCUUAGAUCCCACAGCUUUGGAAGCCCAGUACCAACACAUAGCAAGCAACGCUGCUGGAUUUUUUCUGAGCUGGGUAAGAUGAAUGAAUCAGAAGUAACUAACUUAAUUACUCUUAAUUGGCAUGAAGUUUAAGCAACAUAAAUUAAGGGUUCAAUUUAGAAGAUGUAAAGUAUCUUUACCUCGGUCGUCCGAGUUUCCUCAUCCAUCAAUGCUGCACCUUUAAGAAUUUCAUCGAUCUUGAUACCCUGGGAAAGUAGUACUGAUGUUAGUCCAAAUGACGAUCACAUUAGCCCAUAACAACUUUAUAGGCGUCAAGACCGCACCUGGAGUGCAGCUGGAAGCAGACCAGCUGCUGACAUUACUGAGUGUCUACCUCCCACCCAGUCAAACAUAGGAAAUCUUUUUAACCAACCCUUCGCUUUUGCAAAAUUGCCCAAUCAAGAACUCUCCUGAGUAAUUGCAACAGCCUGCAGAAGAAUCGGUGCUCUGAGCAAUGGAUCCAAUGAGAUUGAAGUUAAAUGUCCGUGCGUACUUCAUUUGUAUGAAUUUAGCAUCAAACUUAAGAUUACAGUUUGAAAAUUUUACAUCUCUUGUUCAAAUAAUAAAGCAAUGUGAAGGUGCUUUCUUUAAAACUAAUGAUAUACGAUAUACCGAACAUGGGCUGUUGUGCCACCAAUAUGAACAGAAGCAAAUGAAGUGCUUUCAGCUGUCUACAGGGAUGGUGCGUGUUUAAGUUUCAAGAUCGAUGCUACAUAGAAUUGCAAAAGACAGAUUAUGCAGCUAUAAUGAAGAGAUAGAAUUUCUAUGGAAUUUACUAUGGUCAUCUACUACGUUGUCGCUCAAAGAUCUAAGCAUGUGUGCAGUUACAUUCAGGGGCAUUUCUUUGUUCAGUUAACAUCAGCUUGACCAAUUUCUUACUAUCAAUGUUUAUGGAAUAAUGAACUUUUAACUUGCUUUCUAAAAUAAAACAUAACUCUCAUUCACUGACUAACAGAAAAGGCGAAUACAAUGCUGUGAAACAGGACUCGAGGCUCAAUAUCUCCAAAAUAUGCACUGAGAAGCACAUGAAAAAGAAUUAGCCAAUGCGAGGUUUUAUUGGACAUUGAUAUUUCUGACUAUACAUUUGAAUCCACGACCUCGCAAAAUUGAAAUGGUCUAGAAAGACACGUGGAUGACUUUGAAAGGCACGUGGUAUUGAUAUGUGAGGUAAGAAAUGACCAUUUACUCCGUUAGAAUAUAAUCUGAGAAUUCAAUCUUUUAAAUGCUGGAGGUAGGAAUUGAAUCCACAACCUCACAAAAUGGUACGUUUAUUAGUCCUUUCAUAAAAAAUGACGAACGAGCACUUCUAUUGUCCAGAUGGGCCCACAGACAUCCACGCCACCGUCUAAAAUAGAGAUGAUAUGUAAGGAAAAAAAAGAACCCAGAUUAAAACCUGUUUUGGAAAAUCCAGUCCAGCUUUCUGGAAAGCUCCCUGCACUUCUAAUAGACCUUUUCGGGUUUCAGGGUAAGCUCCAGUCUGAAAUUACAAAAAUAAAAAUGAAACUAUACUACAUUAUGAACAAUUUCGAGCAAACAUUGGCAAUUCCUUGGAAAAAAAAAAGAAAGAAAAGGAAAAGAGCAAAAGGAAGACAAUGGGAGCAUCUUGCAAACCUUUGAUAUUGCAAUUACAAGAGUUGAGGCAAGUUCUCCUCCAAUUUGUGCAAUUUGAUGAUCAAUACCAGCUGGAUCUGUACUAUCAAUAAAUCUUAUCUGGCACAUCGAGAGAGAUGGAAAAACAAACAUAACACGUAAGAACAGCAUUUACGUAGCAACUGUCGCAGAAAUUGUUGAAUGCUAAUAAUAUCUUGUGAAAUAGAUACUAAAACACACAAGACAAUUAGCCAGAUAACAAGCACUCGAAGCAAAACUGAAAGAAGAAAUAUAGAAAGACUUCAGAUAGACCGCAUAGGGAUACCAAUUGUUGCCUUGGUUAAUGGCGGUACAUCAUACUAGGACAAUCCAAGAGUAGAAUUGUCUUAAAUAAGGAUUUUGAAAAGGAUGAGCUUGAGCAAUCUGGACGCUUGAAAUUUCUAAAUAACAAGAUCACAAGCUCUUCUGAAGCUCAAUUCAAGCCGGGAAUGUGUUGAACUUGGUUGGCAACAAAAUCAAGAAAACUGAGCGAACCGAAUCAAUCGCAAAGCUGAGGUAGGCUCGUUUCUUCACACCCUUAACCGAAAGGGGAUAGGAGAAGACUUUCGGGUGAAGUUAGCGAGAUCUUUCACGAGGCAGCGGCCACGAGAUGAAAACAAUCCCAACAGACGCGGGCAUCCUUUCAUCUCAGUUACAUCGACAUUAGGAAAAAGUUAUAGGAACAGAGUCGCUACCACGGCUUGGAAAAUGAAGGGUCUACCUUUAGAGAAGGUGUCUCAGGAGCCAAUGCCUCAGCAACAAACUGAGGCCCUAUAGCUGAACCUCCAAUUCCUAUGCAAAGUAUCUGGGUAAAGCGAGCAGCUGUAGAGGACGGCGGCUUGAUCUGUUUACACACACAAUGCCAACAGCACAAGAGAGAAGCAACAUUUAGUAGGAGCAAAAGUUGAUAGAUGCUUUGUGGAACAUAUGAUAUAUAUCUAGUGAAGUGCUCGCAUGUCGAGCUAACGACAAGGCUAAACCGGGUUAGGCAAAGCAAUCUGAGUCGAUAUGCAUGGUUAUUUUGAUGUAUCAGAUACAUGAUCAAAGAUCAAUUUUUAUACAAUUGCUAAUCCGAGGUUGCUUCUUUCGACGGUUGCGACAAAAAUAGUAAAGAGAAUUGCAGCCUGCCUUACCUCGCCUUUGACGAUGUGGUCUGCAAAUUCACGGAUGUCCUUAAGUGUGUUCUCGAUCUGCGACUUCAGGUACUUGGUCGGCGCGAGCCUAGGGCUUCUGAGCCAGUAGUGGCGCACCAUCCGCCUCUCGUCCGGGUUGGCGAUCGCCCCCUUCUCGAGCUUCUGCAUCACCUGGAUCACCUUCUCUAACCUUGGCUCCAUCCGCUUGACGAAUUCGUCGGUGAACCCUAUCCGGCUCACGUCGAGAGACAGGUUUAGGUCCUUGUGGUGGUACAACCAGUCGACGUAGCGGUUCCAGAGGCGGAUCGGGUCCUGUUCAAUGCCCCCGGGAUUCUUCUCGAUGGGGCCGGAGGAGGAGCGGGAGAGGUCGGCGAUGCAGUGCGGCGGCAGCAGGCGGCGGCGGAAGGGGGCGACGCGGAGGGAGGCGGCGUCGGGGCGGAGGAAGAGGGACCGAGGGGGGCGGCGGAGGGUGGAGGGAGGGCCGAGUAUUACCACGGAGGUCGACGCCAUGGAAAUGGGAAGAGGGAGAGAGCUCGAGAGAGAUCGAGGGAGGUCGUCGAGAGCUGGGGAGGGAAUGGGAAGUGGGGGGUUUUAUUAGUUGGGGGGCUGGUGGCACGUGCGGGAGAAGGGCGCGCGCGAGGGGUUCGCACGCGCGGAGGGGCGUCGUCGGUUGCGCGCGGAAAAAUUUGAAAGCCUUGAUGGUCGUUGGUUACAAAUUGCGACGGUCGUUGAUUGGACGGAGGCUCUGGGGCCGUGGACGGCUGUGAUUUACUGACUCAUGGUAUCUAAUGUAGGUGUGGCUCUGCAGGCUAGGAAUCUCGUAAUAAUUACAUUUAAUUAUGAAAAAAAAUACUAAAACAUUUAAUUUUGUGAUUACAUGUAUAUAUAACCCCCAUCCCAUCAUUUAAUUCCAAAUAAUUAGAAAUUAAAAGAAUUUGGACGGGGCAAUUUCAAAAUUGCCUAUAGUAGAGGAGGUCUCCAUACAUUUGUUUUAGAAAAUAAAUAAAGGCAUUAGCAAUCAACCAUAGAUUAUGUAUAUUAUUAUGUAUAAAAGCAGAUAGAAAAUUCUUGAAAAAUAAAAUGGUUUAAAAAUAGAUCUAUCAAAUCAACAAUUGUAUAAAUUCAAAUAAUGAAUUGAAAAUUAAAUUUAAAUUGAGUUUAAUUCGUAAAUUUAAAACUAAAUUCAAAAUUUUAUUAAAUUUUAAAAUCAAUUCAAAAUUUUAAAAUUUGGAUAUAUAUUAAAAAGUUGUAUGUUACAUAUAAAAAAAAAUUAUUGUAUAACUAAAUUAGAAACAUACUUAAAAUAAAUCAAAUUUACAGAUAAAUUAAUUAAAAAUAGAUUCGGUUACCAAUAACCAUUUAAAUAUAAAAUAUAAUUCAGAAUUUAUUGCGAUAGAAUUUAAAAUAUAAUGUAAAAUUUCUGCUUCGAAUUUUUGGUUGUAAAGCUUUUGCGACAGAAUCUAAUGUUUUUUUUUCUUUAGAGAGAUAUAGGUAACAUGCUACCCGUUUCGUUUAUUUCUAUUAGAGAGAGAGAGAGAGAGUGUGUGGGUAAAGAGGAAUUAGUUGUAGCCUUUCUUAUUAUAGAGGAGGAGUUCAUUUCUAUAUAUAGGAUACAACCAGUUACAACUAAUUGUAGAUAAUACAACUAAUUACAGCUGGAUAGCAUUUCAAUACCAUAAUAGAACGAGAGAGAGAGAGAGAAUUUCAUUUAGAAAUAAGCUUAAUUAAAAAUAUGAAUUAACUAGAAUUCGAAUUUGAAACCUCGGAUAUCAACCAUCAAGCCUUUUGCAACUUGCGCUAGGAACAGUCGGUGACAGAAUCUAAUGUUGCGGUUCAAGUUUUCCUAUCGAAUCACUUAUUUCUUUUUUCAUUUCAUUUCUUUUCUUUUCUUUCCUUUAUUGAAGAACAAACAACGAACAAAGGCUUUACGUGAUGCUCAUGCUCUAUGAUGGUGUGCCUAUAUAUGGAUCUAACAGGCUUAAAGGAUGGGCUGUAUCAACAAGCACUGUAUACAUACAAAAACAAAAAACCAAAAAAAAAAAAAGGCAAAAUGUGACAGUUUAGAAAUAGAGGCUGUACACUAAUUCACUGAAAGUAAAUUUCGCUUAACAAAAAAACUCUCCCACUGCCUAACAAGGCUUUUAGCUCUUUCAUCAACCAGAAUGGGGUAUAUAUGUUGUCCAAAUAUCACAUUAUUUCUCUCUUACUAGAUCGUCCAUCAUAUUACUGCUAGAGUACUCAACCUCUUAUCUACGAAUUGGAGAGUUCUACGAAAGCUUUUUCCAGGUGGUUCUAACAUCGGUCCCAUUUCUCGGAUCGUACUCGUCUUCAAGGGACGACACUAGCUAAAACCAAGUAUACACAUUUUAAGAGAAGAUGAUCAACCGUCUUGGUCAAGCCAUCACAAAAACAAUAUCAGUCCCACUUUUAGGCAAUGGACAUUGCCACCACAUUUUUCCUUUUUUUUCAUUCCUUAUGGUUUAGGCCUAGUUGCCUCACCGAUGGUAUCUACGUUCAUUUUCCUAUUGAAUGAAAUAAAUGGUGUGCUAUUUUCUUCUCAAAAACAAUCACCAUAUAUAGUAGUGUUUAGUUAGCAAGGUUAAGUUGUCUCACUUUUGUAGCCUAAUUUAUUUACCAUAGCAUAUGAAGCAGGCAACGUACAACCCUUCUCUCAAAAAAAAAAAAAAAAUACUGUUAGGUGAUGCGAGACGUUGUGUUUUGAUACAUUAUUCUCGUGCUCAGAGAUUUGCAUUUCAGAAUUCAUGUUAAAAAAAAAGAAUAAAAAUAAAAAUCUAUGGAGAGCUCCUGAACUAUGACAAAGUCUUUGCUGUCUUAGUUAUAGCAUGUACAGGGUAAACAAUAUUCAAUUAAAUAUUUUUACAUUCCAUAUAUAAAAGUAAAAAUAUUUUUUAAAGCAUCAUUUUAAUGUGUAAUUACAAGAUUGUUUUACACUUUUUUUAUUCAGUUUGCAUAAUAGAAUUGGUUUAGAAUAUAUACUAUACUUUAUAGCUUAUUACAAAAAAAGACUUUUUACUUAACUAGAGGCCAAUCUAAAACUGAUCUCUCAACCUUUUUUUUUUUUUUUUUUUUUUUUUGGGUUUCUACAAUCUUGUAACUUCUAACUUCUAUGUUUUAUUUAAAUUAUUCUAGUUAUCUAAAUUAUCAAGUUAGUGGCUUAAUUAGCUACUACCAGUUAAUUAAUCUUAAUUUCAUUAGCCACAAAACUAUUAAACUAUUAGAAUUAAUAAAAUUAUCAAAAAAUGUUGAUAAGAUCUCAAAAUUUUUUGGGUUAGAAUCGGUGAACUCCUAAUUUUUUGUUGUUAUUUUAGAAUGACCUAUAUUAAUUUGAGGGGAAGGAAUAAAAAAAAAAAGGUAAAAAAAAAAACUGAAUAGCAUAAUAGUACGCGAUUAGUGGAGAAACAAUCUACAACUUCAACAACAACAAAAAGAAAAAGGAGAAAAAGCUGCAUUCAUUAAUUCCGAUUUUAUUCGUACUAUUAAUGCGAGGCCACGCAAAGAAGAAGAUGCUUAACUUCGAUUAUAAGAUCUGAACAUGGAAAGCAGGUUAUAUAAUUAGGUGCUUUUGGGCUUACAUUAAUUCGAUUGACAUGAGAUUUGGCUUGGUUGGUAAGGUGUUUGAUUGCUUGUUUAAUAAUAGAGUGGAUAUAAUUAAGCUUAAUUAUACUCUAUUAAAUUGUAAUUUAGUGUUAUGUGUAUAUUAUACAAUUUUUUAGUUUUAAAGACGCCACUAAACUAUUGUUAUCUUUUCAAUUUUUAUUUACUUGUUUUAGUUUUCUAUUUUCUACUGUAAAACCUUUUUCACAUCGUUUCUAAGGAAUAUAUAUAUCCUCUGUGGUCUUAUUUAUUAAGACGACAACCUGAUAUGAUUUCUUUUAAUUGUUUGGAGAAAUCACUGUGCAACGUAAUUUUGAAUUUAUAUGAAAUCAAAUUGAUAGGACCUUUAUGUUCUAGCAAUGAUUUGUUUUCAUAUUUGAAUCAUACUUUUCACUGGCGCGACCUUCGCAUGAGAGCAAAUUAAAAUGUUUUGAGCACACAUAGUGCUUUAUGGAGCGAAAAUUGUACUAUAUAUAUACGUACGAUCAAAUUCGAAAAUGGAGAAAUGCAGGAAUAGAUCGAAGCGCCUAACCAACUGAUAGAACAAGGAUAAUUUUGCAACGAUCAGUUAAUAUCGGCAGUCGAAUGAUUAGCUAUCAAGUUUCUGGUUGAUCGAUCUCUCGUGCGAGAAUGAGUUUCGUUCAGUUCUCGAAGGCUAGAAAUCUUGAUCUUGACCAAAGGAUAGAUGGACUACAAUGCAUAACUUAUGGAGAAAAAGGUAGAAAGGAAAUCCAGUUUAAUUCACACGUACAGCAGCGGCAGCAGAAGAAGAAAUGCAGCGACUCAGAUGAGACAAGGGAUUGCUUUGUUGCUUCAUUCGUCGCAUGCUAACAAUUGUUAUGUGUCUCUAUACAAUUUUUUCAUUUGGAUAGAUUGACUGUGUAGAGAAUGUAAAUCAAGCAUUGCUCGGAGGGACGGCUACUUGAAAUCUAGUCUCUCAAAUUUUUGUUCAGCUUACUUUAGGUAUAGUAUGCGGAUCUCUUACGAUUUUAGUUGAUUAAUCUCAAUUGACAAUAGCUAGAGGAGGAUCUUUGUAUUCUUCAAUAAUGUGAAAUCAUUUCUUCUGCCACUUUUUUUAAUUUUGCCUACAGCCAUCUUUAAAGUGGAAGAAUUUGGAAUUUGGGCAUUUCAUGGCCGACCUCACUGCCGGAACAUGUCUGAUUGAUUGUGGUAUGUCAGGUAUGGCAUUUUUCAGAGACUCUUGCUGUGAAGUUGUACUAUGGGCAUGUUUAGUCCUUUCUAGAGCUCGAACCUCAACAAAAUGUUAUUUGAAUAGGUCUUUUUGAAGAAGCACUAACAAAAGGCGUACGUCGAGUCGAAAAGUUCAUUUUAACUUCAUACUAUAGCUAGAACUCAGAUCAAAUAUUUUGCUGAUGCCUCUUUAUAGCAAAGAAGUUAUUCUAUAUAUACACCAUACCAAAUUUCGAAGCAGCAAUCAACUGCACCGAAACAAGUUCUUGAAUUGAUAGUCAUUCGGAUGCAAUUGGUUGCGCCGAUCCAAUUGGUUGCGCCGAUCGACAUGUACUUAUGUACUGGAAUUUCAACAUUUUGGAUAAAUCACUAGAAGCGUUACUAUAGUCAUACGUAAUGCCAUAGCAUGAAAGAAAAAAAGCCAUAUCCAUCUCAUGUACGACUAUCUGUAAGCAAAAAUCAGGAGACCAACUCGAACGCAAGUGUCGGUUCAGCUAGCCCGUUUUUAAACAGUUGAUCUCCACAAUUGAGUUCUUUGCAAAUGAAAGGUAUACAGGUUUUAGCUGUCUCAAAAAGGUUAAAAUAAAUAUAUAGCCUCAAAAUUAGAAUUGUUUUAAUUUGAUGUCAAUACAACAGGAUUAGGUUAUAGGGACACAUAUUUGGGACACUUCUGAGUAAAUGUCUCAUUUAUGCUAAAACUUAAAAAAAUAUUUACUAAUACCUAAAUAUAAAGCCCAAUCCAACCAAAAAUAAAAGAUUAUUCUAUUCAACCCAACACACCUAGUCUAUUUGGCCCGAUUACAAAUAGAAAAGAAAAAAAAAAGAAAAAUCAAUUACCAUCUUUUCUUCUCUCUUUACUCGAUCCACUGAAAUUAUAGACGAAGAGCCUUUCCUGUCGUCCUCCUCCGCCACCGCAGCCAACGAGAUAGAGUUUCGACUGUUGCUAAAUACUUAAAUAAGUGUUGGUAAAUUAGCAGCACUCUUUUAGGUUAUAGCGACAUUCUUUAACUGUCACUAUAUACCUAGCGACCCCACAUAUAGCAACACUUUUUAAAAGUGUCGGUAAUUUUAGUUAGCAGUACUAUUUUGACAUGUACCUAUAUUUAAAAGUGUCGCUAUAGACCGUUUUUGCUGUAGUGUCGAUUACUAUCUCCCCUUCUCCUCUCACUUAAUCCACUAAAAUUCUAGACGAAGGGCCCUUCCCUCUCGUCCUCCUCAGUCACCGCAACCAACGAGGUAGAGUUCCGACGGUUGCUAGAUACUUAAAUAAGUGUUGCUAAAUUAGUAGCACUUUUUUAGGUUAUAGCGACACUCUUUAACUGUCGUUAUAUAUCUAGUGACCCCACAUAUAGCAACACUUUUUAAAAGUGUCGGUAAUUUAGCCAGCAGCACUUUUUUUGACCUAUACCGACAUUUAAAAGUGUCGCUAUAGACCGUUUUUGUUGUAGUGAACUUUGACUGACUGACCUGCCUCACUUUCCAGGAGGUCAUUCAUUCUAACACGCUUAACCUUCUUAAUUUCUUAGACUUAACCACUGUCCUACAUGUUAUAGUCGGAUUUAGAAACUCAUAACCACCUGCCAUAUGAGAUUUAUCUCACUAGCCUUAGCCGAUCCGCCCCACUUCCCACAGAGGUCACUCAUCCAAAAAUUACUCCAGUUCUAACACACUUAACCUUUUUAAUCUCUUAAAUCUAACUACCACCCAACAAGCGAUUGCCGAAUUAAAAAUUUUGGUCCUAUUAUAGCUUAUAUAUAGGACUACCUCUCACAAUAUUUCUAAUUAGACUCAAUGAGAAGCCGUUCUUUGGAUAUGUUGAAUACGAGGCUCUUAGAGCUCUAACAGCAACACUUAUACAAGAUUCAGACAAAACCAACCCCUAAAUCUAGAAGAGUCCGAUAUGGUUUGGCUGUGCAUUAGUAAGCUCGGUCUCGGAUGCCGAUCGAUCUCUACAGCCCUGCAUAUUGCGUGCUAAUGCAGAAGCUCCGAAUCAAAGUUUCUAUAUAUAUGUGCUAACACGUGCAAUAUGGUCCCGAACCAAGUCCCAGCCAAAUAGGCCCUUACAUCCUAUGCUAAUUUCGAUAUUAGUACACAUUCAGCAUGCAAAUCCAUUACUCUAUCUAAUGCAUAAUAAAAUAUGAAUAUAGAUCGAACACUGCAUAGAUUCGUAUCUUGCUCGCUCCACCGCUACAAAUUCAUUUUCUACCACCCAUGUGGCUAGGAAUAAAUUCCCAGCGGCUUCUUUGAAAGUUGAGCUGCUGCAGAAGCUUUAAAUUCGGCUCAACGUCGCGGCGCAUGCACUCAUCUUUCACUUGAAAGGGAGAUAAUACAUUGAACAUAUAUAUAUAUAUAUAUAUAUAUAGAGAGAGAGAGAGAGAGAGAGAGAGAGGGGAAAGAAAAAGAGGAGGGGAAAGAGAAAUGUUAAGUCCUUGAAUAUGUACUGCAUCCUAACUAUUGCCUUGUUGUGUAUUGUGGGCACGUAGGAGAGUGGAUGCCCAUGCAUGCACGGGGUCUGAUUCUUUAUUCGGCUCGUCAGUAGAGUCCGUUUUGACCGCCCUCGUGACCCGCAGCAUCCAGCUUUGAACGCCUUUUAAUAGUGCUGUACUCAAUCAUCAGGAAAAUGAUCCCCUCCUUUUUUACAUAAUAAUGCCUCUCACAUAUUAAGAAUUUUAUAUUAGCUCUGCUGGACUACGUACUGUCGGUAGCAAACGGCUCAGAUUACUAUCGAUUUAUUUUCAAUGGUGAAACUUUCAAAUCGACGAUUGACACCGUUGAUUCUUUUGUUCACCAAGUGGAUAUAAAAUGAUUGGCUGAAAAUGAAUAUUGUUUAAAAAGUAAUUAUGCGAUUUUUGUAUUUAAAAUUUUGUUCUAAAUAGUUAAAAAAUUUAAUAAAUUACAAUUCAGCAGAUUUGAACUCUUCUACAUCGUUAAGUGAUCAAACGUACAUAUCUGCUGUUAAAAUUAUAAUUUUUGUGACUCUUUUAUUGUUUAAUUAGCGAUGUCGAAAAAAUAUGAAAUUUAAUUUUUAAAUGGUUUAAAUGAUUUAAAUCAUAUGCGACGGUGUUGGUCAUCAAUUUAGAAGCUUCAACAUUAAAAAUAAAUCGAUAGUAAUUAAACUGAGCCAUUUACUAUCGAUAGUACUCUAACACAAUCCUUUCUCUCUCUAUAUAUAUAUAUAAUUGUUAAGGAAAAUUUUGACUUAAUUUUUAUUAGGCAAUGUAUGUUGGAGUCACUUUGCAUGUAAAGCCACUAUAAUGUAGAUAGAUUUUAUUCUGGGCACCUUUCUUCUGGGCACAGUAACAUGAUUUUGAUUCUCGUUAAUUUCAAGCGAGAUGUAUGUGUAUAUAUAACCUCCGAGCAUUUAUCAACAAAAAAAAAAAACCUUAGUCAUGGUCUUUUCAUUACAUCAUCAGUGAUCAGUUAAUUAUAAGCUUUAAUUUGUUAUUCACAUAAAGAGAAAUUUGUGUGUGGGCGUGCGCAUGCAUGUGUUUGUGUGAGGUAGAGAGCUUCACUUAUUAUAUAUUUCUUGUUACGAGCCCACCUGGUUCUUAGUUUGUUUUCUAAUGUUACCUAUGACUACAAAAUAGUAAUAAGGUUAAAAUUAAGUUGGCUUAAAGAAAAGAAUAUUUCAGAAAUGUACUCUCAUUGAUAGAAGUAAACAAAAAUGUGGUCAAACAAAGUGUUUGAUCAGAGCAAUUUACUAUACAUUCAUUUUUUUACAAUCAAAAUCUUUCCUCCUAGGUACAGUAGGUAGCGCCCACAUGUACAACUACUUUAUACAUAUAUGUAUUAUUAGUUUAUGAUUAGUCCCUAAACGUUGCCGAACUUUUAAUUUAAAAUACUUUAAUCUUUUAACUUUCUAUUAUAUUGCAAUUUCAUCUAUUGUAACCAUAAAAAAGAAUUCAAUGCUACCUGUCUCUUAAAAAAAAAAAAAAGAAAUCAAUUUUUCUUUGUUUUGCAAAAUGCCCAUUUUAGUAGUUUUAGAAUUAAUUUAUAAUAUAUGAGAAAGUUCAGAAACUAAAGUAACUGAUCGUCUAUACACAUGUAGACCAAGUACAUAUGUGAACAUGUGCAAAUCUGUCCCCUCUAAGUAGGGAUGCAAAUGAGGCGGAUCUGGGGCGGGAGCUCCAUCCCGCCUCCCAUCCCGACUAGCAAAACUCCGUCCCGCCUUCCGCCCUGAAUCAGUGACGGGUUAAAAAAUACAUCCCAUAAUCCGUCCCGUCUCGUAACCCGUCUCUUGCCGGCGCCCCGAAUCUGCCCCGCCAACUAAUAUUUUUUAUAAAAUUAUAAUAUUGUUAAUAUUUUGUAAAAUAUAAAAUAAUAAUUUUUAAUAAUAUUAUAUAUAUAAUUCAACAAUAUCAAUUAUAAAAAUCAAAAAUAUAAAUCAUAAUUUAAAAGUUUCAAAUACAUUAAAAAUAAGAGUACUUAUUUACUUGUGUUUCGAACUUUUUUGUAAAUAUAUUAUUCUUUAGGAAUAUUUUUUUAAAAUAUAAAUAAUUUUCGGGACGGAUUCAGGACGGAUCAUGACGGGACGGAUUCAGAGCGGGUCAAAAUUUCUCCCGUUUCCUACCCUGAAUCCGUAUCGUAAAAUUUAUUCCGUUUCUCGCCCCGAAUCCGUUUAUUUUAUCCCAUUUACUGCCCCGUCGAAGCGGAUCGGGGCGGGAGCUCCACCAACCCGGAUCCAUUUGCAUCCCUACCUCUAAGCCACGGAUGACCGUGAACAUGCAACCAGAAACAUUUGCCGCAGCUUCGGUGUCGCCGCGAUUCUCGCCGACCGAUCGUGCCCCCACGGGCCACGGUGCAUCGAUUCUACGCUUUUCUUCUAAUCCCCAUACUUAAUUACACUAAUUUAUAGUUAAAAAAGAUGUUUGAUGCGCAUCGGAAUGCACCCGAUUCAAAUUUUGCAGUACAACGCGAUUGAACAUUGGGUGUACUACGCAUAUAUACUCUAUUAGAUUUACGUGCAGCUGUGUUUAUUUAUGAUUUAAUUGAAAUGUGAAACAUAUAUAAGCGCUGAUUUUAAACUGAGCAACUCUCUCGAUUACCCUCCUAAUUAACUCUGUCUCGAUCUGAUUAAUUUGUCACAAGAGAAAAAGUAAGAAGUAAGUUAUUUUGUAGCUAGGUUACAUUUGAAUAGUAUAUAUAUUUAGCUAUUUCACAUUUUGACCAUGAGUGCACACAAAGACGCACUUUUGGAGAGCUUUAUAUAUAUAAAGACAUAAAACUAUAUGCUAAUACAUACGCUCGAAAUAUGUUAGUGGAAUUGUUUGUCCCCCGUCUAUGUCCAACCUUUUCAUUUUAAUUUUUAAAUCUUUUAAUAGAAAAUGUUACAGAUCAGUUCCGACAAUUUAGAUUUUGAUUUGACCGUCUCUCCAAGGUUUCAAUUUCAUGCUUAAAUAAAAAAAGGUUAAUUUCAUACAAUUCUCUAUAAACAUGUCGAAUAGUAAAUAUAUCUUGACAAUAAUUCAGUGAUAUUAAUAUUUGCCUCUCUGAUAUAUUACUAUUAGAGCACCGUUUAUUUUUUUAAUAAAAGAUAAAUAAAAUAAUAUUUUUUGCCAUCAUAAAUAUAUUUUUUCAAAAAUUUCAAACUAUUAGAAGUUUACAGAAAUGUCCUUUAAAAAAUUUUCAACAAUUACCUUCUUUCUUUUUAUUUUACUAUUAUAAAUAAUAUAAGAGGGGCAAAAAGGUCAAUUUACAUCAUUUAAUAACUAGGAUUAAGUAUUUUACUUAUGAUGGACUAUAUUUUUCUAACGGAUCCUAACAACAGGAAUAUAAUUGAAAAUAUUAGAAUUUUUGCAAGGAUAAAUAUAAAGAGUCGAACUUUAUAAGGAUAUAUUUACUAUUUAUAUGUUACCAGGGAGUUGUAUGCUAUUAAUCCUAAAAAAUAAAAUAAAGUGUAUUUUAAAAGUUUUAGUUAUCUUAAUAACUUUGUCGGCACAAUUGAUUGUUUUCUUAAAUUUUUUUAAAAGAUCGGAGAAUCUUACGGCUGGUAUGCAUUGACAAAAACGAAGAGUUUACAUUUGGGGCCUCUUGAGUUAAUGUAUACAAUAGUAAUAUUUUUAGGAAUAGUUUAAGGGGUAAGAGUGAAAAAAAAGAAAAAGGUGUUAAUUAUGUAUCUACAAAUUAACCCCCCACUGUAAAGAGAUUAGAUGUUUGACGAAAACAACGUGUUGAUUAAUUGAGUCUAAUUUAUUCUCAAGCACGAAGAACAAUACAAUCUGUUUAAGUCAACCGUUAAUUCGCAUGCAAACCAAGUACUUUAUAUUUGAAAUUAAUUGUGAUGGAUCUAAAAUUUCUCAGAUCUUUGCUUCGAAAAAUUAGAUACAUCCAAGAUCCAACACUUUGCUUGUUAAGGUAAAUUCAUGUCACGAUGGGGCCUAGGAUUUGGUGUCCAAAGUACUAGAACAAGUGAUGGUGGGUCAAGUGGUCUAUAUGCUUCCACAUAGAUUUAGGAUCUGUUUGUUUUCAUAAUAGAUUUCGAAGAGCGAGCUCGUAUGUUCGAGAAAAUCAAACAGGUCGGGGUUUAUUUCGAUAUUGAAAUUGCGAGAUCAUCUGAACUCUCACUUGUAGUGUUAUGGACUUCUGCCUUUUGACGUCGGUGGACUUGAGGGCGAAGUUGACUUUGCAAAACUCAUGAAUUCCUUGCAUUCUUACUUUCUGAUUCCAAACAACUACUAGACAAUUUACUGAACGGGUGUUGAAAAAUUUGCAAUGUGUGUAUUAAUUUUCUCUCCAACUAGUAUUGAAAACUUUAAACAUUACUUAUGUAAAAUUAAUGUGAAAUAAUCUUUUUUUUUUCUAAAAGCUUAAAUUACUUUCAUGUUUGAGGUUAAGACUUUUUAGUAGGUUCAGGAUAGACCGGUGAAACAACUAUUUUUAAUUUUAAAUGCUCAAACAUCAGGAAAUGAUGUUUUUAAUAUUUAAAUUCAACAUUUCAUUUGAGGGAAAAAAAAAUCAUAAUAGUUCGUAAAUUGUAUAAAUAACGAGUGCUAGCUAAGCCUUUGUGAAGCAAUCUUGUUCUGUUGCAUGCCUGUUUAAAAUUGUAUAUUUAAUGAGUCAAAUCUGGAUAAAAAAGAAAGGUUGUGUUAGAUCGCUUAGAAACUAGUGUUAAAUUUGUUGUCUCAAGAAACAUCAAUAAUAUAGUUUUUGUUACGACAAACGCACAAACGGAAACAAAAUAACGAACACAAAAAAUAAUCAAACCACAAGCAGAAAAUAAAGAACACAGAUUUACGUGAAAAACCCUUUUCCAGGGAAAAACCACGGGCGAGGAAGGAGAAGACUUCACUAUGGAACGAAAUGGGAAUACAAUGUUCUUCAGGUUACAACCAACCAUGAUCACACGCCUCUAGGAUAUAAACGAUAAAUGAAAAGAAAAACUCAUAACGGGUCUACGGGCUCGGGCCUGGCCCGAACCCUCCGCUACCCACCAUAGGCAUUCAUUUUUUCUCCAUAAUUUUCUUUUCCAAAUUGGUCGCACCGCGAAGCUGUCGGCGAGUCGUAAAUCCGAACCUGAAUCGAUAGUAGAUUUCGAGUCACAUCUAACAGUUUUGUUAUUAAUAAUAUAAUUUUGUUCUAUGCAUAUUAUUAACAUUCUUCUUGACUUGAAUGAAGAUACGAAAGUAUAUGGAAAUAAAAUAUAAGGUAAGAGAAAUAAGCAUUUAGCUGGGUUGGAGGAGUUUGGACUUUGGUUUGAGAUUAUGUUACGCAAUAUCGAUCUAUACUUAUACUUCACCUCAAUUUCGCUUUAUUAUCACAUCACAUAAUUCAGUGAUAGUACUUGGCCCUCUUGUGAUUUUGGUUUUGAUUUUUGGGCAUUUGCCACUUAAAUAACAUCAAAGAAAAGCAACCAGUAUUAAAACUUCGAAAUCAGUAGAACAGCUGCAUUACAUCAAGUUCUGGACUUUGAAAUAAUAUGGUAUAUAGUUGGAUUUCUCCAAAAUUUCUUCUCCAAAAUUUCUUCAAAAUUACGCUAAAUUGGUUGCAAAUAAAAUGAAUUCCAAGUUAUUCAAAGUCUGCGGGUAGCUAAAAAGUGUGGUAGAAGAUUAUUUUGUUAUGGUUAACUUGUCUUGCAUAUUACAUUAAUUCGGUUAAAAUGUGAUUUUCAUUUGACUAAAAAGAAAAAAAAAAAGUCAUGUUUUAUGUACUUUUGAACUAACUCGUUGUACAUACAAUUCGAUGACAUUAGAUUACCUUAGUAAUCUGAUUAAGAACUUGUUCAGUAUUAAGAAUAUUUCUGUAUUGCAAAAUGAAGUUAGGAUAAAAAUACACAUGAAUAUAUUUCUUCUACAAAAAAGAUAUAUUAACCCGCACAUGCAUUGAGCAUUUUAUUGUGAAACAUCAUGCAAUCUUCUCACAGUUUCAAAUUAGAGUCCGACUCAGAUGCUUCUAAAAGCUGCUACUUUGAACUUUUGGAUGUUUGCAUUCAUAAUAUAAUCACCAUCAAAUUAAUAGUAAACUAUAGUAGUGAUCCACGGAUCAAUGAGUUUAGCAUGUAACCUAAUCUUUAGAAGCACGUAUUCUAGCUGAUCAAUACAGGUUAAAUAUAUUAACCUAAAACAACAUUCAAGAACCAGUACUUAACACAUCAGUAAUAAAAGAGGCAACAGAAUGGUCCAGCGAUUCUUUCGAGAUCAGCUCGAAUCUCAAACAGAUGCAGAGCACUUCCCCACAGUCCCAGACCCUUCACCACAACAAAAAAGAAAAAAAAAAAGAAAAAGAAAAAAGUGUAAAUAUACACGUAAGGUGCCAUUGCCAUUGUGAGGUCUCACUCGUGCUCAACAUCUCUGGUCACAAAAGCCACGAGAGGCGGAGGAAAGAGAUAAGGCUCAGAGAGAGAGAGAGAUAGAGAUAGAGAGAGAGAGAGAGAGAGAGAGAGAGAGAGAGAGAGAGAGAGAGAGAGAGAGAGAUUAUAACAAUUAAUUCAUGGGAAUCUGUGGGCACGUGCCGAAGCUUUUUUGCGUUACUUGGUUUGAGCCUUUCCCCCACCCAAUGGGAAUUUUUGGGUCACAAAAAGAGACGAGUGGUAAAAGAGGAGAACUGUAACGAAAAAGGGAGUUCAUACAUGCAUACACAAAGCAGUAUGUGUGAACUUAAAAUGAUAACGAGAGCAUGCAGAUGAGAGGACCCAUGCAGUUUCCAUGAUGUUUCGCGUGGAACUUAUGGGAAAGAUAUUCAAUAUUACUGCUUCUAUGUGUGAAUCAUAAAAUCAAACUAAGUUUAAAUGGCAUAAUGAAAUUUUUUCGAUAGCUUCAAGUUGAUUCUACUCAAAUUUGCAAAAAUAUUUAUCAGGUUUGAUCCAUGUAUCGACUUCAUUCUCAUAUUUAAAUUGCAGUAGUUUGGAAAGUAACGUUUCUAUUCAAUUUAGACUUCAUACUCAUUAGCUUCCGAUUUAAUAAUAGUAGCGAAGGAUGGUGGAGGACAAAGGGCAUGAUACGUAAAAGGAGCUUGAUUUUGAUUCGAAGAGCUACAAACAAAAUAUGUAAUUGCAAGAUAUCAAAACAAUAUUGGUUUUCCAAUGGUAAGGCACUUGAGGUUAUGAGUUUGAAUUUCAGGUGGGAGAUUCCGGAUAGAACUGCACGAAUCAAGCUACUGAAUCUCAAAAAAAAAGAAGAAGAAAAGUUACCAAACAUUGGAUCGAUACAGGUGGUUUUCUUUGCGAAAAUGCCAUAAAGUUGAUGUUUUCAUGCUUGCAUAUAUUUUGACCUUCAUUUGUUAUAAAUAGUACAUGUUUAUUUAUCUCCUUUGAGUAACGUUAGUUGACUAUUCGAAAUUAAUUAUAUAUCCUUCCAAUAUCCCUCCAACAAAUCUCCAAUGUAAGUAAUGGUAUCAAAUACAUAAAGUGUGGGGUAAAUAGUAGAUUCAAUUGUGGAGGAAAAUAUAACUUAUAAAUUAGUAUAUUGUGAUCCAUAAGUAUACAUAUGUCCAAGUAACGUACAUGAGAUUCGUUUUGGCAAAGCCAACUUGCACUGUACAGCAGGGUUUGGGUCGCAGUUAGUGAGUCCAAACUGAUGCAAUAAUCUGUGCUGGACCUGGCAAGUAAGCUAAGUAAGGCAUUGAAUGCAACCACAGAAACUGUGCGGGUGGUCCAUGCUCAAUUAUACUAUAAUACUACGUUCUAAGCAUGCAUUUUAUGCGAAGAGAUAGAUUUAGUGUAUCCCCCAGUUGUACAUAUGUUUGGUAACUUGCCUUUUUUAAUCCGUGAACCAAUGAGUAGUCGAUCGAUCAGAUGUUUGAGAAAUAAAAAAUCUAGGUCGAGUCUUGGAUGACUACUGAAGCAAAAGAUUGAAUUGAGUCUAGUUUCACGCCAAAGGAAAUUUUUCAUCACCAAUCUAAUGUUUGGGAGAGCGACACUAGAAAAAAUGUUAUAGGGGAGUUGCAUAUUUAAAGCCACCGGAGAUCUCACUAGAAAAUGUCGACGGAUGGUAAUUGAUUGAAAUAAUUGAAAACUUUCGUAAACAUUUGUGCGACAAUUUACGCGCAGCACGGCGAACUAGCUAGUUGAAUACGUACAAUGCUUUCAAUACUUUCCCUACCAAGUUGGGAGCAGCAACUUCAAAUAAAACCUUCUUCUAUUAAUAUUAGUACUCCAUAUGCUACCAUUUUAUUUAUUUUUUUAAAAAUAAAGUUAACUAAUAAAAUAAAAUAACUAAAUUUCAAACUUAAAAUUACAGAUACCAAUAAUAACACUUAGUUUGCCAUUUGGCCAAAAAGUACAUGACAAGUAAUUGCAAAGGAGCACCAGAAUCCUGUUGUUUGUACACUGAGCAUCUCAGAGGGGAAAAAAUUGUGGUUGAGCAAUUACACCGAAUACUGUGUUCUCACCUGCGCAGCCCAGUACACAGUCAAAGUUAAAGCUCAUUAAAAAGAUUGCAAGGUAGUACAUAAGCAAUUUAAUUAUGACUUAUCGACUACAAUGAUGAUAAAUUAGUAUGCAUUAUUAAUCCCGAGUUAAUUAUCUAAAUUGUUCUCAUGAUACUAAUUAAUUAGUGUACUAAUACGAACGGAAAUCAAUUGUUUAUGAUGUACCUGUAGACAAGAACCUCACCAUGGUUGGCUGAGCAAAUAAGAAACAUAUUACGCAGACGAUAUUAAUGAAACGGAGAUAAUUAAGAAGCAAAGUUCGCGUUCACGUGAAAGAGCAAUUAAGAAAAAUAAUUGGCAUUCAAACAGGAGGUUUUAGACUAAUGAAUCUCGCUAUUCAUAAUUUGCAUUCGUAUUAUUAAAAACUCAUAAUGGUUUUAAUAUAACUCUCGCAGAUUUGUUACAUCUGAUUUAUUAAAAACUCUCUAGCUAGUCAAACUUUUAACAUGGGUAGCAGAUGCUACUCAGGAGUUAGGAUAAGUACCCUUAUUAGUUCAAUAUUACUUGUAUUAUAGUUUGAUAAAAAAGGUCAAAUCAUUAGAAUUCCAAUUCUCGAAAGUAAAAUAAUUAUAUAGAAUUUGUGGGGACUAUUGUUAUAGAUUCUGAGUCUAAGGACUCCGAACAAAAUUGUACGACUAUUUCUUUUAAUUUUUUCUUUUUUAAGUAAUAUUAUAUGUAUAUUUAUUAUAUAGGGUAAAUUUGACACCCUAGGCACCCGUUUGAUUCGGAGUUAACAGGUGGAAUAACUUCUUAACGCCAAAAUUUUUUUUAAACACCCAAUUUGAGAGGUGGGGUUAGCUAACCUCACCCCAAAUAGGCUAUUCUGGAAUAGCUUAUUUGGGGUGGGGUUAGCUAAUCCUAACUAACCCCGCCCUACCUCACUACUCCAAUCAAACAAAAUAUUAUUUUAACCACUAUCUUUCUUAUCUCACCUACUCUAAUCAAAUACUAUUUUAUCUAUAUCUGGACUAAACCCAAUUCUUAACCAAACACAAAAUUACUUUAACCCCACCUUAAUCCUGAACUUAACUCUAUUCCUAGAAUAACAAAUUUUUACUUAAUCCCGAAUCAAACGGUAGCUAAAAUUUCAAAAAAGUUUUAGAUAAACUCAUUUAUUUUAUUAUUUUUUAUUACUAAAAAUAUUAAAGAAAUUAAAUCCUUACAU
rnacentral:lncRNA from 1 species